rnacentral:lncRNA from 1 species
UCAAAAAAAAAAAAAAAAAAAAAAAAAACCAAAAANNNNNNNNNNNNNNNNNNNNNNNNNNNNNNNNNNNNNNNNNNNNNNNNNNNNNNNNNNNNNNNNNNNNNNNNNNAAAGUUUUUAGCCAGCAAAAUUGGUUAUUUAAAAAAAAAAAAAAAAAAAAAAAAAGACCAACAAUCUUCGGAAACCCGAAGAAAUUAAAGUAUUUGAAGAAAUUAGAAGUUUUCUACUUAAUGGAAGGAUAUGUAAGUGUUUGAAGAAAAUUAGAAGACUUGUGCUCAAAGGAAGCAAUUCAAUGUUGAAGAGUUUAAAAUCUUAAGUUAGAAUGUCCUCAAAAGAAAGGUAUCUGUACUUAUGCAAAAACUUUUUUUAUGUCUACAACAAAGUUUCAAAAUUGUUUUAAGAUUCUAGCAGCAAAAUUAGAUGAUAUGAUAAGUUGAGUUAUUGUGUAAUUUUGUAUAGAUUUGGUGCAACUCAUAGGUCGGAGGUUAUUGACUUAAAAUACUCAAUCUAUAUCAAUGGGUCAAUGUUUUUUUAACCUAACCUAACACAAUAACUAAAUGGUGAACGCUCAAGGUAUAAAUGGGUUGAGUACGGGUUAGAUAUGAACCUACGGAUAAAAAAAAAUUGUAAAUAAUAUAAACUCGGCAAACUUUUCAUCUAACCUGAGGUUGUAGGAAAAAAAAGUUCUUGAUAUCUCUACCAUAGAAUAGGAAUCUAAAAUGACAAUACUUUUUUAAGGCAAGGACCUUAAAAGUGAACUUUUUUUUCUUGGCAAUAAUGAGCCGAAGUAGUAUCUGCGGUGAAUCCAUAUAUAAUACCUACCACUAGUUAAAAGGUUGCUCCAAAAAAAACAAGAGGAAGAAAAUUUAGAAGAAGACAUAAGCCUAUGACAUCUAAAUAUGAUCAUUUGAAGAAGGAACAAUCAGAUGCGAUUUGUUCUAAAUAUAAUGAAUAAGGUAAUAUUAUUUACUAUUAAUGAAUAUUGAGAUGAAUAGUUUGAUACUCUUUUCUCUUAAAUGAAAUCAAGGGUUUGAUCGUCAUAUAUGAAGUAAAUACUUACUGAAGUACUUUACUCAGUUGGUAGACUCGGUAAAGUCAUAUUAUUUAUAUGUCCAAAAUUGAAAAAGAAACAUAAGGGCUACAUGAAGCAAUGGUGAAACUUCGUCAUCUAACGGUGAGAAGGUAUUUUUACCUGUAAUAAGAGUUCAAGGUAAAUUCUGAAUCUGUAAUGAGAGCUAACUUUUAAAGAUCAAACCUUAUCUAUUGUUCCACAAUCAGCUGAGCCAAGUGGUCAGUCUAAACCCGCUACAAGACAUUAUUGAACUACUAUACUGAAUCCUGAAUGCCCCACACUACACUUCGAGCAUGCUUUAGCAUUAAACGACAUAGUGAAAGUAGCUAUUUAUAUAUGGACCACCUAAAAUACAAGAACCAAAUCUUGCCACUUUUUCAAUUCGAGAUAUUCAAUUGCUCAAUGAAGCCAUCUAUCAUCAAUCAAAUGUGAAAAGAAAAAGACUCUUUAGCAUUUCCUGUCAUCAUUUUCUAACUAUUAUUCUUUUGUCUCCUUGUCUUUUUUUCUUCUAAGUGUGCAUUUGAUCAUUGCAUUGCCAAAUAAUUCCAUAAUCACUAUCGUUUAAAUAAUUUGAAACUUGAAGCUUACUUUAUUUUGGAUAUGGAAUUAUUUUUGUUUUAAAUUAAUAAUGUUAUAUCUGCUAAUCAAAAUUGAUCUAAUAGCUUUCUUAUACUUUUAUAAAAAUGUAAAAAGUAAAAAAUUUCAAGCCCGAAUCCCUUAAUUACAAUAAUUUUUAUCAAUUUACUGAGUUAGGAUUGAUUUUGUUAGCGUAGCUCACAUUCUUAUUUCUACAUGCGGAAACCUGUUGAUCAAUUUUUCAUGAUAGUCUUAUGAAAAAACAAACAAAGAAAGAUUUUUUUUUUAUAAUUACAUAUUAAUUAAUUUAAAGGUCCAAAAAUAACAUCACUAAUAAGUAGUAAUAACCCUUAGAGGUCCUUUAAUACCAGUAUACAAAAAAAAAAAAAAAAUUCAAAUUUAAUGUUUUGUCUAUACAAUUAACAACUAUUAAACCAAACUUAAUAAUUUGAUUCCUUUUUCCCCUUUACCAAAGAGAGUUAAUGAUUAUACAGAAAGCUUAUAAAACAAACUAAAAUAAUUGCACAAUACCCCCACAUAAAAGCAAAAAUUACCAAACUUACAAACCCCUAAUUAAAAACCAAAAAUAAUAACACCCAAUAAUACAAUCUAAAAUUAAUUACAUAAUAGCACAUGCUUGUGGGUUCUCAUCACUAAAAGCAGUAGUGUACCGAACUUCAGUGGAGCUAGCACGUGCGAGAUUCGACACUUGUGGGUCCUCUGCCCUUCGCACGUACCCAGAUGGUGCCUUCUUGUCAUACACACCAGGGGCAUAUGGGUGGGCCACUACAUCAUACGGCACGUAUGGCCAUAGCUCUGCCUUUUUACCCGUCCGAUGAGCCACGCGUGCCACUACCUUGGAGGGGUCCACAUAUCCAACGACUGUGACUUUAUUUGCUUUACGCUCCACAUCCACUUGUUUUACACCUUUCAUUCCUUCCAAUGCUCUUUUAACCUUACGCUCGCAUCCUUCGCAGUCUAUUCGAACCUUGAUCUCCACCGUCUAAUCAUUUGAAAAAUGUCAAAACACAUACAAUCAGAAUCCAGUGAAUGCAAAUGCAUGAGAAGACAAUAAUGGCCAGACCAAAAUUCAUUAUAUUGACACUUUAUGGACAUUCUAGUGGAUCAAAAUGUCCUUUAGUAGUGCUAUAAGCACAGAAUCUAUAUGCUCAUCAUAACCACUUUUGACUACUUCUUUUCUUUAAUUUCUUGUAUUUGUUCAAUUAAGUUGUCGAUCUUUAAUCAUAAGCAGCUUUCUUGGAUUAUCCUUUUUAUAUUUGCUUAAAAUAUAUAUAUAUAUAUAUAUAUAUAUAUAUAUUUUUUUUUUUUUUUUUUUUUUUUGAAUUCUAAUUCAGUUCUAACAAUAUUUUUAAAUUUCUCAAAUUUCACAUAUUAAUUGUUAUUUUUGAUUUGCAUAUAAAAUAACUAUUUCACAUGAUAAAAUAUUUAUUAUUUACUUAUUAGAAAAAAAUAAUUUUUGCACAUUUAAAUUUAAAAUUAAAAUAAUCAACUGCUUAUUUCUCUAAGUUUCAUAGUAUUACAUGAAGCAGUCAAGUUAAUGAUAUCCAUACAAAUGCAUCAAAAUAAAAUUUAAAUAUAAGUUUUGGUUAGCAAAGAUUUUACACAUAAAAAUUCAUUAAUUUUAAUCCCAUAAAAAAAAAAAAGGAAAAAAGAAACUACUACUUCCAAAACUACAUCCAAAAACUUUAAAAACUUAAUUUGAUAAUAGUAACAAACUGCAAAUAGGUUAGAUCUGAGAUGAACUUGAAUAUUUAAAAAGCAUUUUUGAGAAAAAAAAAAAAGAGAGAGAGAUAACAUAAAUUUCUUUCUUUCUUUUUGGUAAGAACGAACAAAGCCAAGAGCAGAAAAUUAAUCUGAGCUCCAAAAAGAGGAAUAUAUAUUUUAUAAAAGAAGAGGAAAAUGAAAGAAGCUAAUCAAAAGCACAUAUAUACCUGCAAUUGCUUGCGUUUCUUGAGCUUGGAUCUGCCAUGAGAGCAGUCGAAGAUAUGAGAGAAAUGAUCGAGAGCACCCAUUGAUUACCUCUACUUCAAUACAAGCUUUGAUUUUGAUUUUGAUGUAAAUGACUACAAUACAAAUCAAAGGCACAAGAACCAAGAGUUGUGUAUAAAAAGCAGAUAAGAAGAAGAGCUUUCCGCUUUUAGGUUUUGAGUUUAGAACUUAAGAAGUGAAAAAUAUACCGCCAGCUACGAAGUGUGUGACAGGCAUGAGUCUCCAAGACAAAUCCGCCCCUUAUAUAAUAAGGAAGGAGCUCCAGCUAAGGACUUUUUGGUCUUCUGCUUUCGAAUCUGGGUCGUCCGAUUCAUAAGUUAUUGUCUCCAGAUCUAGGUUGACGCCACGUGUUCCUGUUAGAUUUGGCAUUUUUAUAAUCGAGUUUAGAGAAUCCAUAAUUGACGAGGCUAUCCAUGCACCGACUGGUCGGUCCCGCAGGGAAAUAUUUUGGCGCGAGAUGGGAGGUGAGACCCACUCUUUACGACCCUGAUAUUCAGUUAUGGAGUUAUGAUAUUUUUGAUUUUUUCUGGCGCCGGUGGGACCUGUGCUCUAUGUUGGGGUCCACACUUUGGAUGGAAGCAGUUCUGUGAGUAAGUACGCGUAUGGCUUGGUUGGUUUGUGGACCCUUUCUUUCGGAAUUUGACUAAAGGCGAUCGAGUGUCCGCCAUCUCUUAUCAUCCUGUGCUAGAACUUAGAGCUCGUUUGGAUUAAUUUGUCAAUUCUAUUAAUUCUCAUUAAUAAUAAAACUUAAACUAAUUUAUUUAGAAAAUAAAUAAAAUUAAACUAAACUUUAUUAUUUUAACUUUGUAACGUCUUUAACUUUUAUUUUAAUUUUUUAAACACUUUAACGAAAAAAAUUAUAUAUAUUAAAUACUAUAAUUUGCAAAAAUCAUUUUAUUGAAUACUUAAGUUAUAAAAUUAGAUUCAUUAAUUAUCUAUUAGAUAUUUUGAAAAAAAAUUUAAAAUUAUUAUUUCAAAAAGUUAUGCUAACUACACUUUAAAUUAAUAUUUUUACAUGUAAAAUUCAAAAACCCGAAAAUUUAUUGUUAUUUUAUUAGUAAGAAAAUGUAUGUAUUAUUAUUAAUAUUUAAAAAUUCAAGUGUAAAAUAAAUCAUUCAUAAAAUUUAGGACGCGACAAAAUUAAAAUUAUAAAAUUUACAGGUGAAUUUACGUGUUUGACCAAUUUAUUUUCAAAAAACCCUUUACAUCUAUGGAAUUCAUAAAACAUAAAAUUUAUAUUUUGCAACGUUUUCCAGGGUAGAGGAGCAUAACCAAAAAACUUUGUCUGGAAGGAGAAGAAUAGAACAGCAAAGUUACAAAAAUGUUACAUUAUAUAGUAUAUAAUAUAAAGUUUAAAUAUCACAAAUAAAAAGUAUUAAACAUAGUUCAAAAAAAUAUAUGUAGUUGAUUUUCGAAAUAUCAUUUCAUUUUCUACAUUGAAUCAAAAUCAUUUAUUAUUUUUCUCUCAAAAUAAAACAUUUAUUAAUUUGUUUUUGUAAAUUUUUUGAUAAGUUUUUAUUAUAAAUUUCAAUUUUGUUAAUUGUGUUUCUUUCAAAAAUUAAUAAUCAAUUAUAUUUCUUAGCAAAGUAAAAUUUAAUUAGUUUAAAUUUUUAUCGAUAUUUUACUCUUAUAUAUUUGAAUAAAGUAAUUUAAUUAAUAUUUAAUUAGUUUAAAUUUGAGGGUAUUAAUGAAAAUUUUGAAAGGAUUGAUAUUUAAGGGAUCAAUAACAGUAAUAAAAAAUGGUGCCACUCGUAUGCAUAUAGAAAUUUUCUAACAGGCUUAUACAUGUAUUGGUCGAAAACCGCGUUUUUUACGUGGAUAUUUAAAUAUUAUUUUAUAAAUUAUUUGGAAUUGAUUUUAAAAAAUAGCAUAGCAUCAGAAUAGAAUUUUAUUGAGAAAAUUAUUAAAUAUGAGAGCUACCUAAUUUGUUAAUCAUGCACACAUUAAUUAUUUUUUAUUAGUGUUAAAUAAAUAUUGAAAAAUUUUUCUAUGUUUUUUUAUCUUUGUAUCAUUUCAUUAUUUUUAAAAAUGUAAAUCAAUAAAUUUAACUUUAUGAAUAAAUAGUUAAUAAUUUUUUAUUCACAUAAUAAACGAUGAAUGCUCUUACUAUAAGGAUCUGACCAUCUUGAAGUCCAGUUUUAAUAAUAUAAGUAGUAUAUAUCAAAAGAUAUUUUAUAUAUUAAUUUUAUAUAUCAAAAUCAUUUUAAUUUUGAAGUCUUUUCACAUAUGAUUUUUAUAUAUUAAUCUUAGUUAAUUAUAAGAAGUUUACCAUAUUACAUAAGAAUUCACCAUUCAAAAUAUAUAUCAGUUGAUUUCUAGUAAUGUAGGCAGUUUUCGUACCGUUGAGAUACAUUAAAAAAAAUUACAAUGAUAAGAUGUGUUUUCUUAAGUAUUAUAGGCAAAAGCCAUGCAUGAUAUGACCUAGAGGUGUCAAAAUAGAUUGGCGUGUCAAGUUCGACAACCUAACACGUGACACGAUUAGCGUCAACAUUAUCAUGAUCAAUUUAAUAAUUGUAUUAAAUUUAUCGAUAUGAACACAACACGAAAAUUAGACAGGUGAUACAAACACGAUAUGUUUAACCCGCCUAAUAUCAUAAAUAGGUUAUAUAAGUGGGUUGUGUUGAUCAUAUACAAUCCGUGUAAUCACUUAAUAUCAUAAACAGGUUAAAAGGGUCGUGUUGACCUGUAUACGACUUACUCAACAUGCUUAUAAUAUUUUUAAAAUUUAACCUAUUUAACUCCAAUCAUAUUUAAAAAUAAAUUUUUAACAUAACAUGCGUAAAUUCUUUAAGAUUCAUAAGUAAAAUAAAAAGUAAUACAACAAUAAAAUUUAAAUAGGUUUUAAUUGGAAUAUUUAUAUAUAACACUAAAAUUACUUCUUUACUCUUAAAUAACACUCGUCUAACCCACGUGUCAAUCCGUGACACGACACGUUUAUAUUCAUAUUAUAAAUGGGUAACUCAUUUAUGAAAUGAACCCGUUUAACCUCAACCUUAACCCAUUUAUUUCGCGUGUUAUACGAAUCGUGUUCGCGUGUCAUAACCCAUUUUGACACCACUAAUAUGACCUGUAUAAAAAAAUAUACACACACUAUUAAUGCAUUCAUUUUGACAUCCUAGUAUGACUUGUAUGAAAAAUGCACACACGCUAUUAAUAUAUUUUGAGAAUUUAACUAACUAUAUUGAAAUAAUAAAUUAAGUAUUUUUUUUAAUUUUAUGCUUAUGAUUUAUUAUAAAUAAUUAUUUAUUUAAUUGAAUAGUAAUGUUUAUACUUAUUUAGUGUAGUGUGUCCUAAGCAUGUGGAUGUCCUAUUUUUUUAGAAAUUGUGCAUAGCGUACGUUCUCGUAUCUUAUAUCUCGUGUCCCGUGUUUGUGCAACUUAGUUCUUGGCAUAUGAAUUCCAUUCACCAAGCUAAUCAACCAAUAUUUUUUUUAUUACCAAGAAAAAAUGGAGUGUUUUUUUGCAAAUUUAUUUUUCUAUCUUGUUUUAUUAAUGAGUGAUCAGAAAAAAUAAGAAGGAACUAAGUUUUUUUUAAAAAAAACUUAUGUUAUAUAAAAGGAAAAUAAAAUUAAUUUUUCUCUAUAAAUUAAUUUUUAUAAUUUUUUAUUUUUCUUUUAAUUUAAAGAGAAAAUUAUCAAAAUUAAUUUCCCUUAUAUUCCUUUCUUAUUUCCAAAUAAAAUAAUUUUUGUUUAUUAAUAUUAGUUUUCUUUUCUUUUCUUUUGUCCUCCUAUAUGAUAUAAAAUAACUUAUCUUCUUACGAUUGUUGUUAUUACAAUUUAUCCUUCUUACAAUUACUCUAAAUAAUUGCUCUUCUUAUAUUUGAUUAUUUGAAAGAUUAAAUGAUAGACUUCUCUAUUUUUAUAUAUUAUUAUCUUUAGAUAUAUUAAGAAAUUAAUCAUUAGAAAAAAAAUGAUAAGAUAAGUUUAAUUUUAAUUAUUAUUAAUUAAGAAAUUAAUUAAAAAGUGGUAUACUAAAUUAAUUACUGCAAUUAACUAAGUUUAAUUUUAAUGUAAUAUUCAAGAUAAGAUAGCAACAAUAAUGACUUUAUUUUUCUAAACCAAAAAUGAUUUUAAUAGAAAUAUUAAAAUGUUAAACAAGCAACAUUAAAAAUUAUCAUCCUUUUUAAAUAAGAUAAGAAUUCAAAAUAAAUUAAAAAUUAUUUUAUCUGUUUCAUUUUAUUUGCUUGUGAUUUUUUUUUAUAUCCUAAAAUAUUUUUAAAAUUUUUAAAAUUAUAUAUUUAAAUAAUUAUUUUUCUUAUAAUAAUUUUUAUAAUUGUGCAUUAAAUAAAUUAUUUUUAUUAAUAUUUUAAUAUAUUAAGGAUAAAAAAAUAAAAAAGAUUUUUAUUAAUCAAUUUUUUAAUAUGCGUCUGUCAAAUCAAAACAAUAAAAUAGACGGGUGAUAACGUCAAAUUAUAGGACAGAGUGAUGUCAUUAAAUUAAAAUUAAUUGGUUGCGGUGCAUUGACUUUGAUGCAGUUUACACAUGUAUAUAGAGGCUGCGAAGCCACCUGUACACAUAGAUGCUGUACUCAGGUCAUGUGUUUCAUGCACAAGUGCCAUCUGGACCACGACAAUUUACAUCUUAAUUUUUUAUCAGUCUCUCAUUAAUUAUCGCCAUCUACCAUCGAUUCCAAAAAUUCCUUAAUUUUUGACAUUUACCUACUCUAAUUUUAAUUAUAGUGCUUGUUUCAAAUGGUGCAGAUCUAAUUCUACAAAAUAUUUCGGAUUUUUGGUUGAUUAUUAAAGAAUGGAAAACAAAAAUCUGAAUUUUGACUUUUUUUAUUGAUUCUAACCGGUUCUUUUAAUUUUAAUAAUUAAUACCGCGUACAUAAUUUUCUAUAUUAAUUCUAGCGUUCGUUUAUUUUUCGUCAAUUUCAUGCUAACGUGACAAUUAUCUACAUCAUAAGCGGGUAAAUUUUUAUAGUCUUAUGAGUUAAAAUUUUUAUGUUAAUGUAUUAUUAAUAUUUUUAUAGUCUUAUGAGUUAAAAUUUUUAAUGUUUUUUAAAUAAUUUUUCAAUAUUGUAACCAAAUAACAGAAAAUAAGUCAUUUGAAAAAUAUUUUUCAAAGAUAAGUUAUUUUCCAGAAACAAACGGAGUCUAACCUCCUUUCUUUUUUCCAUCCUAAUUUCUUAUAUUUCUCUCUUAUUUCUCUUAUAUUUACUUUUCUCCCUCUUGAAUUCUUAUUAUUCUAAUAGGCCCCUACCAAUUAAUCUGAUAUAUUCUAAAACAUUCUUAAUAAAUGCAAACCCAGACGACCCUAAUCGAAUUUUGAACCCAAUAGCUUUUAAGGUGUCCAUCUAACUUAGAUAAAGAUAUUCAAAGGACCUCUUAUAAACAAAUUUUAUGGGGCGAUUCCUGGAGAUCAAUAUGGCCAUUUCGUUUUUCAGGGAGUGUGCAUGAUUUACGGGACUCCCCAACCCAGGGCCCAGAGUUAUUUAACUGAGGCUGUUCCACUUCGAGAGACUAUUCUGUGGCUGCAAGCACAGGAAUGAAGUCAGGUUGUGCGAAUUGGAUGGCCCAAAAGCCCCAGUCCAGUGGGCCUACUUCAAUUAUUUACUGGACAUAGCCCAUUUUAUGGUUCAUAUUUUAUUAUUUUUGUGUUUGGUUUCUCCCAGGUUGAAUCAUGUGUAGUAAUAUUCAAACUGGAAUUAGAGAAUUCACCCAUGAAAAAAUUACCUCAUUUCUAAAUUAAUAAUUAUAAAUUAAACUUGUACCUAAAAAAACGAACCAAACCUCCUCAUAAUAAUUUAAGGAAACAUAUAAUUACCUGUUCUGUCAAAAAAUAAACUAAUUUAUGAUCCAUUUUUACAUUUUAAUUUUACAAAAGUAAUUAUAAAAUAAAAUUUAGAAAAAUUGAUACUUGUAAAGAUACUCUAAACUACUAAUGCUAUAAAUAAACAUUAAUUGCUAAAAUUUAGCGCAUAAGUUUAACAUUUAAUACAUAAUCAUUCUUGAAUAAAAUAUUUUACAAAUAAAUUGAAUUUUAUGUUUAUUCAUUUCAAAAAAUAAUAUUACGUGAAUUUUAUUUUUAUUUUUCCAGUGAAAUAACUUUAUGAGCCCUAAACUAAAAUUUUAAGAUCAAUUUGAUGUUCAACCUUGUGCAAUCUUGGAAUCAGGAUAAAAAAUGAACUUCAGUUGGUGUUUAACAAAUAAAUAUUACUGUUAUAGUCAAUCAGAUGGUGGUCUGGUUGAUUUUUUUAUUUAUGUGAAGAGUAAUAGACCUCGAGAUCAAAUUCUGUCGACCACAGUUAUUAUAACCGUUCAGAUACCAAAGUCUUUGGUGAGUCAAAGAGCAUGGGGUCACAAUUCAGAUACCAAUGUCUUUCAAGCAGAGGAUGCGAAAUGCCGCUUUGGCGAGUUGAAAUAAUUUGACAUUCCUUUGAAAACCACAUUUCUAGAAAAGUAAUUCUACAAAUACUGAAUUUUUUAUAUUCGAUUAUAAAUAAUUUUUUUCAUAAUGCCCUUAAUUUACAUAUAUUCUAGAUUACAAAAGUAUAAGCAUUAAUUCAAUAAAAAAAAAUUUCUAAUAACAAAUUAAUAUAAAGUAUAAAUCUUAUUCAAAAAAUAAUUAAUAAACAUAACACAAAAACAAUUUAGAUAAACUAUAGAAAAUGAAAAUAUAAAUUAGUCAAAUUUAAUCAAUGUAUAGUUAUAUAAUUAAGGGUAAUAGCAUCUUUAAUUUUUAUCACCCGAGACAAUGGCCUGGUAAUAAACACAUAGAUUAUUUGCCCAUUUGUUCCACGUUCGAUCCUCCAGGAACCUCAUAGGAAUAUAAUUUUCCUACUGCUUUAAAUGGGAAAGCAUGAAAAAAAUGGAGUUUAUAUCUAUAAUCUAAGAAUUUUUCUUCGAUGAAAUAAUAUUUUAUAUAUGAAACAAAUAUUAUAUUUAGUCACUUUCCUGUAUGAUUUAAGAUAACCAAACACUGAAAGUCUUAAUUACUAAAUGAGAAACGACAAAAGUAUUAUAUAUAUGUUUUGUAAUUUUAAUGUUAAAGAAAGCAAAAGUCCAUAUGGCCUACGUAGGUAGAGCCUCCACCCCACCGCCUGUUUGCUCCUAAGAUUAGAAAUAUUAAAAUCUUUGAUUCAAAGUUGAAAAUGAAAUAACAAAAACUUGUAACGUUGCUUGACCGGAUACACAUGUGGAGAAAUGUAUGCAUCGAUCCCACUUCUGUCACACGUAACCUAAACUUAAUACUAGUAUAUAUCUAAAGUUCUGAUCAUCCUCAGUAAGACUCUGCACGUUACAUGUAAGCUUCUUGGAAACAAGAAACCAAGUCAAAUUUUGGAAAUAUGCGUUUCAUAUACUGUUAUUUAACAAUUUGUCCACAACAUGAAAAAGAUAAGAGAUGGUAAUUAUGGGACAGAGAGAAAGAGAGUCAAAGUUGCUCAAGCAGAAGCACUGGUUCUCUUUCUUUCUUUAUUUUCUUUCAAAAGACAAUUCUUGACAAGAGAUAGAGAGAUGCGUGUCGUGUGUCGGUCUCCAAUCUUGAAAUCUGAAUAACCUAAUCAAAGUUAUGACCGUUUGUCUUUACUUAUGCAUGGAAAGGUAAUGAGUAAUGAGUUAAUUUUCUUGGUGGGAGCCAUUCUCUUUUAUUGCAUUUGUUUUUUUUUUUUUAUUAUUAUUACUACGUUGUUGUUAUAUGGUCCAAAAAAAGCCUGUGAAUGAGUGCUUCCCAAUUUGAAAAGAUGACUUUCAAAAGAGAUUCCAAUUUCAAGAACUAUCUUCUAGCUUCUUAUCUCAUUCAUCAAAACUACUUUUGUCUUGACAUUAAAGAUAGCAUUUAGACCAAGAAAAAUAGAACAAUUUCAAAAAUUAGCUCCUUCAAUCUUUAAUUAUCUCAUUAUACUAAUAAUUCAUACUAAAUUAUAAAUAACUUAAUAACAAUUAUAACCUUUAUAUACCCACUAUACAAGAAAAAUAAUUUUCAAUUAUUUGAUUAAAGAAUAUUUAUCAUACCUCAACUAAAUUAGGAAAAACGAAUUCUGUAAGUUACAUUAGAAUUUUGAGUCAAUUUGUCAGUAUACCAUUAAAAUGACUAUUAAAAUAAAAUAAGGGAUAUGAGAAUUGUACAUAUGGCUGCUACACAAAAAGAGGCAAAUAAUAGAAUGAACAUAGAAAAGUCUUGUGAUAAGUAUAUUAAAUAAAGACCACACCAUCUUUUUGUUAAAAGAAAAGGCAACACUCUCAAUGUAAGUCUUUGCAUUGCCAAAUUGGCCCAUUCUGCUCGGUCUCGGCAUUUUAUUUUAUUUUUAUAUAUAAAAUUUUAUUUACGUUAAUGUGGUAACACUCAUUAUAUAACUAAAUAAUGAAAAUAGUAUUUCAAAAAUAUUUAUUAUUGAUCAGAUAAAGAUGUGAUCAUCUACCGGGUGAUAAAUGGCAUUAAUUCAAUAAUUCCAAGUUUUUAGCAUAUAAUUAAGGGUUCCUCCAAGCUGAAUAUAGGUUGUGGAAAAAUGUGGGUGUCGUCCCCAUUUGAGUCAUAAAUUGUGGCCAAAAGGUUUAACCCAUUGUAAGGGGUCAAACUGUUUCUUUUUUCAAUGGGUGGGUCUCACUUUAUAAUAAUUCACGACCAAAGCCUUCUUCGUGGACAAUUCACUUGUUCAUUUUUAUAUUUUUUUAGUUGAUUGGAACUUGGUCGGCAGGUGAAGUACAGUAUUCUCUUUUAUUAGGGUUUAUAUAUAUUACGUUUUUGAAAGAAACUUCCGAGAAAAUACACGUAUGCUUCUCUAAAGUUACAUCCGUAGGGUCGAGCAUAAUUCAGUGAUCCAACCGGAUAUCCUCUAUGGGAAAAAACAUGUUCAUUCGAUGAUUUUAUUUAUGGAUCAAACCUAUUCUAUAUAUUAAUUUAUUCUAUUUAACUUUUAUUAAUUUAUUUAAUUUACAUUGUUUGGUUCAAAUUAAAUUGAUUGAACGUUGACCGUUCGGUUAAAAAAAAUAAAUACUAAUAUGACACAAACAGAUAGAAAAAUUGAUGAAUGAAUCUUCAUGUUAGUUAGAAUUUAAAUAAGGACGUUAAUUUGUCAAUCCGUGUUCUAGAAUUUGCAUGGAAAAUGAGUAAGGCCUUUCUUUUUCUUUUUCUUUUUUAAAAAAAAUUAAAAGAAAAAAUCGAAGCAUAAUUGUAGAUUUUUGUUGAAUAUUGGUACAAUAGAGUCCAAGUACAAUAAUGUUUUUCACCAAAUGCUUUUCUUUUUGGGGACCUCAAUUGUGCUUGUUCCAUUUUGCUUGCCAUGACAAAUGAUUGAAGAAAAGAAGAAGAAAGAUCCCAAAUCUUAUCUCAAAUAUUUUAUUUCUCACCCUUUAUGUAAUGAACUAGUAAAAAGGUCUUUCACACUAUUUUUAAUAUUAUAUAAGCAUAGAGAUAAAUAUAUUUAAAGAAAAUAUUUAUUGUUGAAUGGAAUUAAUGGAACGCAAGAGUUGCACUUUUUGCCUUUCAACUUUAAUCCUUUGUUCCCUUGAAUUUGCUUCAGCAAAAAACAGAAAAUUAUAUAAAGUCGGAACACUUCUUUAAAAUAAACUUUAGUUUUAUUUGUUUGGUUCAUAAGUGAAUCAUGAAUUUCGUCUAAGCAAGUUUUUUCUAUAAACGAAUAUAUAAGUACAAGUAGGGAUGGCCACAGUUUCGGAAUCGAACCGAAAAUUAAUGGUUCCGAUUUCGACUGAUUUUUCGAUGGUUCCGGCCGGUUUCAGACGGAACUAGAAUCAUCAGUUCCUACUGAAACUGGAAUCGCUUGUUCACUGUUCCAAAACUAGUGGAACCAGAAUCGAACUGAUUUGGACCGCUCCGAUUUUGAUUCGGACCAGUUCUGGUUCCCACCGGUUCCGGUUUCAGUUCCCAUUGGUUCGAAACCGACGAUUCUGGUUUCGAAAACUGGAUUUUGGCCACCCUUAGGUACAAGUGGAUUAUAAUUUUUUUUAUCUCUCCAGCACUUAUUUCUUUGAAAUUUCAAAAUUUAUAUUUAUAUUUAUUUGAUAGUUAUUUUUUAAAAUAGGUCAUAUAAUUGCUUAUCAGCUAUUGGUUUAUCAUUCACGUAGAAUUACAGUAAAGAACUCCUAUAUUAUUAUUAUUAUUAUUUUAUAUAUAUAAUAAAGGAGAAUCAUGGAUGUUAAUAUGACACUCUCUUUGAAAGUGAAACUCUUUAAAAAUUGAGAAUUUGGUUUUAACCUCACUAGAAAAAAUUGAAGAUUUUGGAGAGGAAUCAUGCAUCCCUUGCCUCUCUCUAAUUUAAUGACUUCUAUGGAUUUUACUUUAAAAAUUAUUCUUUAAUUUAUAACUUUUAUGACUUUUAAAUACGAUGUCUUCUCUAAGUUAUCAAUUAGUUAGGAUUUAAAUUAUUGAUUAGUUAGAGAUUAAUUGUACUCUUUUUUAAAAUAAUAAUUAUCUCUAAAUAACUAUAAUUAUCUAAAUAAAUAAUGAAAAAGCUAUUAAAAAUAAGAAAACUUAUAAAAAAAGAUCAAAGGUUCGUAAAAAAAGAGUGUUAUGUCAGCUCUGUGAUUUUUUUUUUUUUUUUGUUUCAAGAUUAUAUAUAUAAAUAGAUCCUUGAUUUUAGUGAUUUAAAAUCCUCUAAUAAAAUUAUAGUUGCCUUAAUAAUACAAACGUUAAAUGACAAACGUUAUAAGCAUUAGCCUUUUAUUUCCUUUUCUAAUAUCAAAAGAAAAUGACUUUCUAAAUUAUACAGUUCCUCUUAUACAUUGUCACUCUAUAAUAGACUAUAGAAACUCACAAGAAUUUAUUCCAAAGAGAUGGUAAGAUUUUCAUCUCUCAACCCAUAUCUUUUCAAGAUUGGUCUCACAUAAUUUAGAAACAAGAAGAUAAGAUGUUGAGUAGUUGUCUUUUAUUCUCCUUUAUUAUGUUUGAUCAUGAUUUUUUUAUUUUAAAGUAAAUUAUUUAGGUAUAAGUUUUAUUUCCUUCUCAUGGUAAGUAAAAUAUUUCAAUGUCAAUAAUAUUUGUGAUCAUUAAAUUCACUUUAUAGUUUAUAUGACUGCAGUUGCAUGAUUCAAAUUAAACUGAAUUUAUCGUGAGAAAGACUAUUUAUGUGUGUUUUUUAUGAUUUUGAUUUAAAAUGUAAAAAAUUGGGUUGAUGUGAAAUUAAUGAUUUUAGCUUUAAAGAAGAACAUUGUGGCCUUUUUUUUAUUUACUUUGUCUGUGUUGUUUGCUUAGUUUUAUUUUUCAAUUUCAUUAUCAUUUUGCAUUUUACUAAUUUUAGUUUAGUUUUAUUUAUUUUUAGAGAAAUUCAAGUGUGUACAAUUCAAGAUCUAAUUGCAAUUUUAUUUUAUUUAUUUUUAUAGAAUUUGAAGUGUGUGUGCAAUUUAAUAUGAUCUCAAUAUGUUUUAUGUAAUAAUAAAUUAGCUAUUAUGUUUUAAUGUAUUUUUUUAAUUAAUACUCUGAAUAAGUUAAAUCUUUAAAAAAAAAAAAAAACAGAAAUCAAGUGUUUAUAUCAUAUUAAUUAGUUUAUAAGUCCACUUUAUUUUAGAUAAUAAUUUCAAUCAUUUCUUUCUAAAAGUUUAAUUUUUUUAUAAUUUACUCAACACAGUAUUAAUAUUUUUAAAUAAAAAAUAUAAAUAUUAUUAUGCCGCGGGAUGCGCAAGUUACUGCGUAGCAAACAUAUAAAACUUGAAACAUAUCAUUAACAUGACGUAAUUUUAAAGUUGCUUAGUUGGAGUUUUUCUUUCAUUUAAAAGAUUAACAAUAUUGUUGAUGGAAUGAAAUUAAUACAAUUAAUAAUAUUAAUAAAUUUUUAAAUUUUAAUAAUUAAUAAAAGUAAUAAUGUCCUCAAUACUAUAAAAAUAUUUUUAAUAAAUAAUAAAAUAUUUUUUUUAAUUUUCUUUUAAUAAUUAAUGAAAUUAAUAUCACUAAUAGUAUUCAAAGUAACAACCAAAACUAUAAUAUAAUUAAUAUCUUUAUGACUUAGAAAUAAAUUAAUAUAAUUUAUGAUAUAAUGAUUUUUUUAAAAAGAGAAAUACUAGUGCAUUAAUCAAGGAAAUAAAUCCAAUAAACAAGAGGGAAUAGCAUCCCAUAACUAAAAGCUAGCAGGAAGGUAGAACGCUCUAGCUAGCGCGAGUUCCACAUUAGCUUGCCUCCUAAUUCAAAAUUUCAAAUGACAUUAACAUCCUCACCUAUGAUAUAAUGAUGCUUUUCAGUUUUUAAUAAAAUAAAAUUAAUAAUAUUGUUAAUAUUCUUUUAAAGUAAUAAAAUGCUAAAGGUUUUUAUAAUUAUUAAUUUAAUUAAUAAUAUUAAUAAUAUUUUCAAUUUUUCAAUAAAUAUUGUCAUUAGUAUUUUUCAAACAACAAAAAUUAAAUAUUUGUGAAUCACACUGAUUUACAAUUAAUUUAAAAAGAAUCUCGAAAAAUGCUUAAUUUAUGAGAAUAUAAUUAACGUGCAUUCCCUCCGGCUAAAUGUAUAAAUUCACCUCUGAAUUUUAUGCAAAAAAUUUUGUGACACCUGUGCUUUUAAAGUUAUGAAUUUUGGUAAAAUUACACACCUUCUACACUAGCAACAAUAAAUUUUGGUACUUUUGCUAUAUAUAUAAAUUAUUAAUUUAAUAUGUGAUUACUUUAAUUUUUAAACAGUAAUUUUUACAUCUUUAACUAUUUUCUAUAAGCGUUUAUAAAUCAAUUUAAUUUUACAAGUUCAAAUGUUUAAUAGAAAAAUCAUGCUAGUUGAAGUGUCCAAUAAUUGUAAUUUUAUAAAUGAAAAUAUUUAAUGGCUCAAAAUGCAAAUUUUAGGGUGAUAUAAGAUUUUAUAUAUAUAUAUAAAAUAGAAUAAUAGUGGAAUGUAUUUAUGUAUUUAGAUGGUUCCUCAAUUUUCAACUUAAUCAAAAGCUGCCUUAAUUUAAUUAGCCCUUAGGUCAUUGCCCACUAAUUAAAGUAAUUAAGACCUAGAAACUUACUCCCCACGUUAAUCAAAUGGUGAAAUCACUUUUUUUUUUUAUUGUUAUGGCGAUUAAGUUUCCCACUUCCUUUACUUACCCCACUAAUUUAGCAAUUAAUCUACCACGUUUUCCAUACAAGACUAAUAAUUAGCUUGAAGAAAAUUUUCUGCAAUCAACCGCACAUAUUCAUACCUCUACUUCUAUCAUUUUUUUUUUCUUUUUUAUGUAUUUAAAGUAGGCAAAACACAUUAUUUAAGUCUUUAAGCUUAUUAAGGGUCUGUUUGGCAAAAUUAGCUGUUAAUUAUUUUAUACUGUAUUUGGCAACAGCUUUUUAAGUAACUUUUAAUGUUUUAUCAAAACGCUAAACGUUGUUUUUUACAAUGUUUCGUAACACAGUGUUUGAACUAGCUUUUCGAAUUUAAUGUAGCGUUUUAUAAAAAUUAAUUCAUGUAACAUUUAGUUUUUAAUAUUUCACGAAAAGCUAUUCAAACAGCUUAUAGUUAAAUGCUGCUAAAAAAACUAAUUUUGCCAAACAAACCCUCAGUAGUGCUUAGCUGUUAGCUGUUUGAAUAACUUUUUAUAAAAUGUUAAAAACUAAAUGUUACACGAAGUAAUUUAUAAAAAGCUACCUUAAUUUCUAAAAACUAAUUCAAAUAUUAUGUUACCGAACACUAUAAAAAAUAGGGUUUACGGAUAGUUCAUAAUUGUUUUGCCUCCAACCACAAUUGUUUAGUAAGUAAUAAAAAAAGUAGUUAAUUGCUGAAUGUAGUUCAAUUAGCUGAUUCCGCUUAUAUAUAUGAUCUUGAUCAGACACAAUAGAAAUACAUUUAAUCUAUUGUUAACAAUCAUUGAAAAAAUAUGAUCUAUUGCAAUUUCACUUAAAGAAAAAUAUAGCAAAGCACUGACAAAAUUAACAUUUUACAAACAAUGUCUAGCUAUGUACAAGUCUAACUAUUACUUAUUAUGUAUUACUAAUAAUUAAUUACUAAUUGUCACUUAUGAAAGUAUAAAUUAACUUAUACGAAAUCAAUGUGUUAUAAAAAUUAGAUUGAGACACAUGGGUUAAUUUAAGUGUUGAGAUGGAGAUACGUGUAAGCUCUCCAAUAUCUAAAUUAGAGAAAAAUUAUAAGAGAACUUGUAAAAUAAUCAACGUCAGUCUUUGUAUACCUAAUUUGGGAUCUGUUAUAUAUAGAGAGUUUGAAAGACUCUUUAUCAGAGAAUGAUUAAAAGGUUUUCUUUUAGAAAUUUAUAUUUGACUAGAAUUUAUUGAAGUACAUAGAGUCAUUAUUUGACUAGAAUUUAUAUUUUUGACGUGAUACAUAUGAAUUGAAGAUUUGCAGUUUCCAAUUAAUUCUGGCAUAGAUCAAUUUAAAGAUAGAUAUCGAACAAUAGUUUAAUUUGAUUUAUUACAUGAUUGGAAACACUAAUUACUCCAACAAAUUCAAAUAUGAAUUGCUAGAAAUAUUGACUUUAAAUAUUUUGAUCAUAAUAUUGAACUGCUAAUCACUAAUUAUCAAGGAAUUAAAAAUUAGAGAUGCAUAGAGUAGUAAACAGUGGGGACUAACGUGUGGGUCCUUUCUCCCCUAUCAUGAGAAGCAAGACCCAGCCAUUUUCACUGUGAAAAGCUAAACAUUAGUUGAGAAGUUGCACCAAAUGCGAGAAUGGAAGAAAGAAGACUAGCAAGUCAAUGAUGUGAAAGAGAAAAGAAAAGAAAAGAAAAACAAUUAAUAGAGAAGUGCAGUAUUGAAUUGAAUUGAAUUGAAUUGAUGCUUUUCGUAGUUUCACAUGGGUUGCAGCGUUGGUGGUGCCAUGAGGAGCCAUUCUUGGUCAUGACUCAUGGGAGCCCUAAUGGUUGGUGGCCAGCACAUGGGUCCACCCUCCCCCCAUUACCUUUAUAUUCUUUAUAUUAUAUUUAAGGGACAACAAAAUAACUGUGAACACUGAUUUUUUUUUUUUUUUUUUUUUUUCUAUUUCCCUUUGGUCAUAGUCUCAUAGAUCUUCAAUUAAUAUCGUUGGCUAGCAUUGACAAAAUUUCCGUGAUUUAAGAUCCAUUGUAACCGUGCAAAGAAAUGGUGUGUUGUACAAGUUCAUAGGAACAGGAUGACUCCAUAUAUAAUUCAAAUAUAACAGAUGGCUAGUUACCGUACGCUGGCUGGUUGGUUUACUGAAUCGGUAAUUCUGGUUUAACGAAUCGUUGGUUCGAAUCCAAAUCAAAAUCGAUUCAGAACUUGUUAUUUAUUAUUCCUUGUUUGUUAAUGGUUAAUCAGAGAUUCUUUUCUGACAAAUUUUGUAGAGUGGAUCAAUGGAAGGAACCCUAUUUCUGAAGUUCACAGUUUCAUAGGGUAGAUGUGGAUAGGGUUGUUAUCCAUUUUACAAUGCAUAAAAAACAUUAAUUAUUGAAGAUAUAUAUAGUUUUAGUUCAAUAAAUAAAUAAAUAAAUAAUUAUAAUGGUGGUAAUAGACUGUGUCACUAUGAGGAUGUAGGACACUAUUUUAACUCUAUCAAUAUUAAAAACCUUAGGCUAUUCUACCAAUAGCAUUAGCCCAUGCAUCCACUACUUUUUUAAUUUAAAUACUCUUUUUUUUUUUUAAUUCUGUUAUAAAAUACAACAACGACAUCAAUGCUUGUUUAAUUUGCUAUUUUACUAGCCAGAUAUAUAAAUCCAAUCUUAAAUUUUAUUAUUUUGAUUUUAUAGUAAUUUUCAACUUUAACUUUGAUAUAUUUAUUAAAUAUUUUAAUUUAUAAAAUUACACAUAUUAAACACUUGAAUUUGCGAAAUAAUUUUAUUGAAUACUUUAACUUGUAAAAUUAGAUCAAUCAAACACAUAUUAGAUAGUUAAAACUAUUUCUGUUAAUUUAAAAUUUUGCUUUAUGUAACAAAAAAAAAAAAAAAAAACUAUUGUUGUUAAUUUAAAAAUAUGUAUAAUAUUCUAAAAAUUGAUAAUUUUAGGAGCACAACAGCUCUCUCUCAAAGUUAAAAGUGUCACAAAUUAAUGUAAUAAAGUUCAAUGGUGAAUUUAAAUAUUUCGUCUUAUUCUAAUUAAUUAUCUAUAUUUUAAGUAAAAAUAAACAUUUAAAAAAAAAGAAAAAAAGAAAUUAUUAAAAAACAACCAAUAAAGAGUUGAAUUAAUAGAAGGAGAUUCCAUUUUAGGAAAAUUUAACCUCUACAAUAUGAGUUCAAAACCUCAUUAAAUGAUUAUCAUUAAGAAGGCUUACCAAAAUACUACACCCAAACAAAACUUAAAGUGGAAAUGCGUUUGGACAACAAAAAUUAAAAGUUAGUGAGAACAAAAGAUAAAAAUAAACAUCGUUUCAAAGUUGAUGGUUUGGUAUAUUUUGGAAUUUGAAAAUGAAGUUAUUAAGGAGAGGUUGGUCUACAAACGCGCUAUCAAUCUUUGAUAGAAAUUCCUAUUCUUAGGUAAACGGUAGGACAUUACUGCAUACAUACAUUUCUAGCUAAUAACUAAAUCCUCUUAUAAUAGUUAUUAGGGAGGAAUAUGGAAGAUUAGUUGGAAAAUAGGGUUUGUCAAUGCAUUAAUUAUGAAUUAAUAUAUCAAAGUCAAGAUUGUGAUCGGUAGUCCCAAUUCUUGUAAUUCAUAUUCUAAAUUUCAAACCAUGCCCACUCUUCUUGAAAACAUAUAUAUAUGGACUUGCCCUCUCUUACCCUUUUUAGACUAGCCUUUUAACAUUUUCUUUACGUGUAUUUUCUUGACAUUUUUCCAGAGCAUAUAAAAAGUAGAAAAAAAAAAAAUACAGUACGAUUGCUGUAGUUUGCUAAAUACAAUUAGUUCAUUCUUGUUUUUUUAAAAAUAUAUCAAUUUCUCUAUAUUUUAUUUCCGUUACACUACUAGGUCUAUUGCACAAAAAAAUACAGAGGUCAAAUGAAAGAUACUAAAAUAUUAUACCAAAAAAAAUUAUAGUACGGUCUUUAUAGUUUGAAAAAUAUAACUAGUCCGUUUUUGUAUUUUUGAAAAUAAAAGAGGUAUUUUCAUCAUUUCAUAUGGUAUUUAAUGAAAAAAUGUAAAAAUUGAAAAGAAGACCUUAUGUUCUAACAAUAAUAAAGACGGACUAGUUGUAUUUCGCAAAUCACAGAGAUCAUACUGUACUUGUUUCUAAAAAGUAUGCUUCAUCAAAUCAAUGCAAAUAAAAAGAAUAAACGAUGUGGUAAUUUUUUUAAAAAAAAAAGAAUGAAAUAUUUUGUUAAGAAAACAUAUUGAGAGAUAACAAAAUUUGAAAUCUGAAAACUUGUAUAAAAGUAGGGAGUUCUUGCUAAAGAGUGAGCUCCUACGUAUAUUAACUUGCCUCCAAACUCAAUAAAUUAUCAUUUCUAUGAUCUAAAAUUAACUUAUAAACACCAAUAGUUAAAUCAUAAACUGAAUUGUAUAAAAUAGAUGAAUACAAGACAUAGACCAAUUAUUGUGAAUCUGUAAAAAUUAUCUCAGCACCUACACAUUCGUCCCUGCCCAAAUAAGAGUUGAUCUCAGAGUCAUAACUUCAAUAUAUAACAGCCACAUCAUUGUGCAAUAAGAAAUGACCUGAUAAUGCAGCACCAAAAUCAAAAAAUGACAAAUUGAUAAAUACUGCUCCUUCCACAAAACAUAGCCAAGAGCUAUCCACCGCAUUACUACCGCGUCAACAUGAAGAGGCAGUGACAACAUCUCCAUGCAAUUAAUAAAUCGAACCAAAUACUAAAUCAUAAAAAUUGAAGAUCAAUCAGUUUGACGCCAAAUAUUUAAUAAUAAAGAUAUAUUUCAAAUAAUUAUAAUGGAAUAAUAUACAUUUAGUUAAAUGUAUAUAUGCAAGCAAAUAUUUAUAAUUAAGUUUUAUUUAUUCACUUUUUUAAUUGAAUGAAACAGUUAUUCCUCAUGGAUUGUGAUUUAAUGGGCCGGAUUCCGAAACGGUGGAGGUGGAUGGGAACCAAUAGUUGGAAUAGGUAGCUGAUGACAGUGGCUAUUAAUAAAUUUAUAAAAUAUAGUUAAUGAGUACCGUGAGUUUGAGUUCGAGUUUGUUAGAUGUUCAAAAAAAAUAUAUUUUCCUCUUUAAUAAUUUGGAAUAUAUUUUAUAAAUAAGUUAUUUCUGGAGAUAAAUAAAGUUUCAAUCUAAUAAAAUCUCGUUGGCGUAAAACAAGAACAAUUUAGAAGGAUAAAUUUUGCUAUUUUCAUAAUUUCAAUUUGUCGUUUAACCAUUGAAUGUACAGUAACAAGAAAUUGCAUCCAUCCUGAUCUUCAAGUUUCAUUUAGUAAUUUUCAUGCUUUGCGUAUUAUAAUUAAUCAACAAUAAUCUCCAAAUUAAACAAGAAUGAUACGAGAUAUAUAGUCAUAUAGAGUCUGCUUAUCCAAUUUGAUAAAAUUUACCUAUUCAAACUGAAUAUUGCAUGUGCAAAUCAAUGUAAUUUUAUUUAUCUAAAAAAAUAAUUAUUAUUUUUAUGUAAUUUUUAUAAGAAAAGGGUUGAUAUGUAACCUCCAUUGCGUAGAACCAGAAGAAUCAAGAAGCUCAAUGUAAUGGAAAAUGACGACAUGAAUAUGACAAAUUGAGAAGUAAUCUAGUGGUUGUAGUUUUAUAUCCAAACUCCUAUGUUUGGAUUAUUUUAUUAUAAAUAAAUAAAAUAAAGAAAAAGAAUUCGUAGUGGUUAAUCAAUUUAUCUUUUUUUUUUUCCCAUUAAAAUCAUUAUUAAGAGCUAAGUAUUCUUGGAUAUGCUCAUUAAUUUAAUCAAUUUAUAAUAAACUAAUAAUAACCUAAUUGUGUAAAAGUGAAAGAUGAAGGUAGUGAUAUGGGAGUGCCAAGUUCUGUGUAUUAAAAUAAUAAUAAUAAUAAUAAAAAAGAUAAUGAUUAGUUGACUUGCACUAAAUUGGUAUUCUCCAUUCCACAAAAUGGGUAUAUUUUAUUUGAAAUUUCUAAAUAAAUAACCUUAAUUUAGGUCGCAUAAUCAUAUAAUAUUAGAAAAAAAAAUAUUAAUCCAUGAUCUUAUUGAGUCAAAGUGAAAUAAUAAUAGACUAAUUAAAAUAAUUUUUAGGGUACUGUUUAUAGUUAAGAUGCAUUUUAUUAUAAUUAUUAUAUUACAGUAUGAUUGUGACUCAUCAAAUGGAGUCUGAAAUUUCACUAUUGAAUUAAUAUUUUAUUAGCACUAUUUAUAUAAAAAAAAUUGAAAUUAUUUUAUGUUAAGAAGGAAGGGUUUCCACAUGGGAUUCUUAAAUAAUGAUUUUGUUCUUAUCCUGUCAUUGUUAAUUGAAAUUUCCCAAAUAAAAAAUUAGUUUGAUUUAAAAUAAAAAAUUAAUUUGAUUUAAAAUAAAAAAUUUAGGAAUACAAAUCUGUCUUUUGUAUAUUUUUGGUACAUAACAACUCUUAAUUUGCUGGAUUUUAUAUAAUUUGUUAACAAUAAGCUUUUUCCUUAUUUGUUAAUUAUUUGCUUUUAUCAUAUAGGGUAGGUAGUUUCAUGGAAAUUGGAAAGUACAAUUAUAUUCCCAAAAAAAAAGGAAAAAUAUAUUUAUUUAUUUUGUAUUUUUAGGUUCCCAAAAGAAGAUGUGAUUGAAAUUCAUAUUCCCAAAAGCAAAAGAAGAAAUAAAAUAAAAAGAAAAAAAAAUCCUAUUCUUCAGGCUUUCCAAAUGACUAAACUGACAAAUCUUUGAUAUUCUCUCUCUAAAAAAAAAAAAAAACACUGACUAUUUUUCUCUCUCUCUCUCGCAUCACUCAAAUAAAUUUAAUUUUCUAAUAAUAUUUUUUUUCUUUUAAAUUAAUAUAAUUAAUAAAUAAUACGUCAUUCAAAACCAAACAAACGCCCUCUGAAAUCUCUGACCCGAUAGUUUAGUCACAAAAUCUGCAUGUGUACGUCGUUGUUUACCGCGUCCUAUACAUAUCUCCUUCUUUUGUUUAUUUUAUUUUAUUUAUUAAUAAUAAUAAUAAUCGAAGAGCAAUAAAUAAAUAAAUAAAUAAAUGAAUAGAGAGAGAAAAUUAGUAUCCUAAGCCUUCUCUUUCUCCUUUAUCUCUCUUGUUUGGUCUCUUUUCACUUUUUCCUUUUCAAGUCUUGCGUUUCAGUUACUUUAAUCCCAUCCCCUAUUAUUAAUCCACAUCACUCCUCCAUUUUCUCUGUCUCUCCCUCUCACUAUAUAUAACCCAUCUCACCUUCUCUUGUUUUUAUAUCUUUCUGUCUUCUAAAACCGAAGAUUAGAGAUUUCUGUCUUUGAUGAUCAAGAAAGGAAGAAGAAGAGGAAAUUAAAGAGGAAGGUUUCAAGAAAAGAAAAGGGUUUUCGCUUGUUUUGCUUUCAGAUUUAGGGUUUGGUGUUGGUUAGGAAAAUAUGGCAGUAGAAGCGCAGCAGUUUCCGUUAUGCGGUUCUCAAGAUUUGGUUAUGGACAAUAAUGGUUGUGGUGGUUUUGGGUUAAAUAAUUAUUCGUAUAUCCAACAACAUCAACAACAGCAAAAGCAGCAGCAGCAGCAGCAACAACAACUACUACUCCAACAGCAACAAUUGUUACAAAAUCAUCAGCAGCACCAGCAAAAGAAUCAAAAUCUUUGCUUUCAAAGUAGUGUUCUUGUUCCUUCUGCUUUAGAAAACAAUCAUAGCCCAUCUAUGGCUUUUUCUCAAUCCCCCAUUGCUGCUUUUGAUGAAAAGCAAAGACAAGAAAUUGAUCAGUAUAUCAGAUUACAGGUUAGAACUCAAUCUGGGUUUUUUUUCUUUCUUUGUAUUGAUUUUGUUAAUUGCUUUUUUAAAUUGUGGAUUUUAAUUUGUUUUUUAGUUUUCAUUCAAGUCCACGAUGGAUUUGGAAAUUGGAUUUCAUUUUCUUCUAUAAUUAAGAUUUUGUUUUUUUAAUUUCUGGCAAAGCAGAACGAGAGAUUGAGAUUGUUACUCCAAGAGCAAAGAAAACAACAUUUUGCAUCAUUGUUAAAGAGAAUAGAAUCAAAGGCGCUUCCUUUGAUAAGACAAAAAGAUGAACAAAUUGCACAAGCAACUAAAAGAACAAUGGAGCUUGAAAAUUUCUUGAAAAGAUUAGAGAUGGAAAAUCAAGCGUGGCAAAGGGUAGCACAAGAAAAUGAAGCAAUGGUUCUAUCUCUUAAUAAUACAAUUGAACAGUUAAGAGAAAAAGCCUCUUGUUGUUUUGAUAACGGAGCAGAGGAUGCAGAGUCUUGUUGUGAAGUAAACAGAGCAGAAGAAGAAGGAGAAGAAGAAACCGAACAAAGAGGAAAAAACAGAGCAUUUUUCAAUGACAAUUAUAAAAUAACAGAGGAAGAAAUAGUAAGAAAGAAGAUGAUGGUAUGCAGAGGCUGCAAUUCUAGAGAUUCGUGUAUUUUAUUCCUUCCUUGUAGGCACCUUUGUUCAUGCAAAGCUUGUGAAGCUUUUCUUGAUUCUUGCCCUGUUUGUCUAACGGGAAAGAAGGCCUGCAUUGAGGCUUUAAUAGUUUAGGUUUCCUAGGCUCAAAAUUUUCCGGGAAAAGUGAAAGGAAAAGAAAACUAGAAAUGGAAAUUGGCAUUUGGUAUUAGAUAUUAGUUGUCUUUCUUGGUUGGCCCUUUUAAGAGACCCUUUUGUAUUUAAUUAGAGAUAUCAGAUAUAAAAACUGUAAUUUUUCCAAAAAAAAAAAAAAAAAAAAUGAAAACAUUGAACGGAAUUAUAGGACAAAGUUAGAUAGCAUCUUUUCUUUCCCCUUUAAUUGGAUUUAUUGCUUUUUUCCCUAUUCUGGAUUUGAUUUUGAUUAUUCACAUGAGAUUUAUUGCCAAUUGUUUGGCUGUGGCUGUGGACACCAUGAUAAUAAUUUAACAGUGACUGAACAGAGAGAGAGAGAGAGAGAGAUUGAAAGCUAUGUCAGAUUCACAUUCACUCCCCUGUCUUUGUUCACACACACCUUUAUAUUAAAUUUUGGUUUAUCAUUUUUGGUUUGAAAUCUUACUGUGACUAUUAUAUUCUGUCCUAGACAAGAGUGUGUCUAAAACUGAUUCUUUUGAUUUUAUGACAGUAUGUAUAACACAAUUUUAGUAACUGAUAAAAGCCUGAAAAGGAAAUGAAAAGCUAAGUUUGAACAGAACAACUCUAUUAUAUGAAUAUGACAGAGACACACCACUCUUUCAGUUUUUAAUUGUUUGCUGUAGAAAGCCAUCAUCUUUCCCUCGUUUAGGUCCAACUUAUCCGUUGCAAUGACAAAAAUUUAAGCAUUUAUUGGUGACUUUUUGGAUAAAAACAAACAAUUUGGGCUUAAUUUCCCUUAAUUGUGUUUUUAAUCAAUCUUUUUAAACCUAAUCUCUGACACCUAUUAGGUUAAAGCUGAUUCAUCAAUAUAUGAAACUUUCAUUCAAAAAUGGGAAUCUCUUUUGUAUGCUCAAAUAUGUAAAGAUCAUAUAUUUGGAAAAGAGAAAGAGAAACAUCAUUCAUUGGCAUUGUAAUUAUAACUGUAAUAUUGUUUUUUUCUUUUAAUAUUGUUGUUAUUAUUACUUUUUAUAACUGAUGCAUGCAAGGUUUACAUUUAUUAAGGUAAUUUCAUAGAAUAAAAAAAUUACUAAUAAAUUACAUUCGGGUAAUAUUAGAUAAUUAACAGAUUAAAUAUAUCUUAAACAACAAAUUCUAUAUUUUAGGAUGGAUAAAUUUUUUUGAUACAUAAUGCCUAUUAAAUUGUCUUUUCACAAAAAAAAAAAAAAAAAAAAAAAGUGAUUAGUAGUUAAGGGAAGGGUAGUUUAGUAAUUUAAAAAGUGACCUCGUAUUGUGGGGCCCCUCCUAAUUCCCGCCUGAUUCAUAUGGCAGUACGUGUGAAUAGUGAGUUGGAGAGAUCAUCUUAUUCUGCCACUUUUAUCGUAUCUUUUACCGUUCUCUUCUUACCUUUUUUGUUUUUGUUUUUUUAAUUAAUUAAUUUUAAUUUUAUUUACUUUUGUUUGUUAUGAAGUGAAGACCACGGGAAUCUUGGGAAAGUUGGUGUUGACGUGGUCGUUGACUGUGCAUUAAAGAGGUGCCACGUCACUGUACCAACAAAUUCCCGGGCUUUUAGUGGCGGUGGUUAUACGGUAAAAAAUGAAAUAAAAUAACUCCGUUAAUGGUGCCCUUUGGCUCCAACGGCUAGUGCGUUCAGUUACCUGCUUCAAAGAUAAUGCUUAAUAAUUUCUAACGGCGGUUUGGUGUGCCUAUAAAUUUGUGGAUAAAGAUCACUGGUCGCUUUAAUUUUUAUUCGAUUUUGCAAUUUUUUAGUUUAGAAUAAAUGGAAAUUUGUUAAAAGAAAUUCGUGGUCCUUUAAUGACGAUUGACAAGUAAUUACUAAAUAUAUAAAAUUUUCAUUUAUCGACUAAAUUAUCCUUUUAUAAAAUUAUAGAAAUAAUUAUUUUUAAUAUAAAUGAGAUAACUUAAAAAAAUCAUUACUAAUUACACUUUGAGUAGACAAAAGAACUACUCAAAAUGACUUACAUCGAAUGACUAUCUGUAAAAAAAUUAAUUGCUUAUGUAGGGUAUAUUUGACAACAGUUUUUAAGUAAUUUUUAACAUUUUGACUUUUAUACUAUUUAGUAACAUAAUAUUUGAAUAAAUUUUUAGAGAUUAAGAUAUUAUUUUAUAAAAGUUAUCUCAUGUAAUGUUUAGUUUUUACAUUUUAUUAAAACUACUAAAAUAAUUAAAAUGUUUCGAAAUAAGCUAACAGCUACCAAAACCAGCUAAUUUUAUGGAAUAAAAUUAAAACAGUUUUACAAUUACUUAUAGAUUUAGGAUUUCUAAGAGCAGGAGGCUGCUCUAUCUUAGGACACCAUCUUCUGUUAUGAUACCACUCUUAAGUUAUGUUGACACCUCAUAACCACUCUGUUUUUUUCUCUCAUCAUGGGAAAAUUGGAAUUCCCAAGUCCUUUCUCAGCAGAUUUUAUCCUUCUUGUUUUUAGUCUCUUUGGUUUCUUCAUGUAAUCUGGUGGCAAUAUUGGUGGCUCAUCGACAUUAUGCCACAUGCCUUGUACAUUUAAAGGUGCGAGGCCAUUGAUGUAUAUCAUAUCAUAACACUUUUUCUUAAGGUACUCAUCAAUACAAUCUAAAAAAAUCAUGUCUCAUAUAGUGAAUGCAAGUUUGCAUGAUUGCAUGGCACACUAGACAAUUGCCAUGACCUACCAGAGGAUUUCCUCUCUCCAAGUGACAUAACAAAAGCUUUUCCCUAAUCUUGGCACAGAAAUUUUUUCCAUUAGAUGAUCUUGGGACAUAUAAUGAAGUUCCAAGCUUUCUUAAUUCUAUCUUCUCCGGUUCAACUCUAUCAUUCUAUUUAUGGACUGCUUUUCUACUAAAAAAAAAUUCAUCUGCAUAAUUUUUGUCCUAAUAUCUUUUAAGUUCAUUACAGAGGCAUUGUCAUUGCCUCUGCUAUGUAGAAAUUAAAAACCUCUAAUGUUACUUGUCGUAUCAUCAACUUUCGGAUAUGUUGAUAAAAAAAGCUCUACAAAACUUAUUCUUGUUCCUCUUUAAAAAAUUAGAUGCAAUAUAUGCACUUAAUUAGCUCCUCCAAUUCUUCAAGAUUUUUAUUGAACUCUGCGUCAUAAGUGGAGUAUACUAUAUGGCCCACAGUGCCGGAGUCAAAAAUUUUUCUUGAGGGGUCAAAAUAUAUUUUAUCAUAUAAAUUUUUUUAUGUAUGCAGUUUAUUAUACAAAACCAUUGCUUUCCAAUCAUAUAAAUACAAAACGAGCAUAAUUACAUAAGCAAAAUAUAUUACAUAUGGUCAAAAUUUCUUAAUUAAAACAGUAUAAAAACAAUAAAUUAGUAAAGAUAUUUGAUAUAAUAAUUGACCAAAUUAUCAAUAAUAAACAAUUAAAUUUAAAUUUAUAAUACUAUUUUAUAUUUUAAUAUUUAUUGUUGCAUUUACAAAAUGAAACCAAAUCUAAAAUUAAAAUUAAAAUUAAAAUUAAAAUCAAACCCAAAACUAAAAUUAAAAAAAAAACUAAAAUCAAAAUUAAUGGUAAAACCUACAAAAUAUUAUUCUCUUUAAUUUAUGCCCACUCUUUCUUAUUGCAGUUGGAUCCUUAUUAUAGUUCAAUAAAGAUUUAAAGUGGAUUGUGGGGUUCUAAACUGUUAAAUAUUUGAAAAAAAAAAAAAAAAACACAUUAUAAGAGUACAAAUUAAACUUAGGCCUUUUGACUUGAAUGUUCGAAUAUAACACCAUUAGGCUAUCAAGUAGUCAUAUAAAAUAAGUGAACUAAAUAAUUUUCUUGCACUUAAUAUGAAUAUGAAUAGCACAAUUUAUGUGCUCUGCAAAUGAGCAAGUUCUAUGAUUACAUUCUCCAAACCUUGCAAACAACAUAAUUCUAGAAUUUAGCAAACAUAGAAGAGUAUCAAAUAAAUAUGGCAUUUUCAUACCUUUUCUUGAUUAUUGACUAUUGUGAGUCCAAAUCCAUCUUCAAUUGCUAGGUCCUCAAAGAGUAAUUAUAGAAACCAUAUCCAACUCUCCUCGUUCUCCCUCUUAACAACAAGUUAUGUAACUAGGAACCUUUGAUUGUUCUCAUCUUUAGCCACUGCGCUCCAGAGUUGCCCACCUAACAAGGUUUUAAUAAAGCAUCCAUUCAUAAACAAACAUGCAUUGCAUCCUGAGUUGUGCCCCUUUCCUAAAGCAAAAAAACUAGAUAAACUCUCUCUCUAUAUUUUUUUUUUCUCUCGUUUUUGGUGUGUUGGGUAGAGGUGCAUCUGCCUCUAUUUAUAGGCGAGGAUACGAGAGAGGUAAUAUGAGAGUCGUGUUCGAGUUACACACGGCUCUCCAUUUAUAUCAUGGUUGGUUGCUAACCUUUGAAUAACUUUCGCUGCCAACUUUGAUUCCUUAAAAAAAAGUGUGUUUUAUUUUUUCAAAUGUAUAUAGAUCCCACAUGUCGGAGGGACCCCACAACAAAACCUAUGUACAACCUCUUAAACACAUUCCUUCCCCCCCCCCCCUGACUGUAACUGCAUAUUUUUCAUUCAUGUCCUUCACCAUUUUGUCUACUCUAUAAUUAGGAUUAAGUCGAAUUUGGUUCAAGAAUUCCAUAACUAUAAAUUAUUUAGUGGCUUGCCUAUUUGUCGAUGACCUGAAACAAUUUUGUUCCUCUUGGUUUAACCUAAUCACCUUUGAUCUCUUCCUCACGUGCUCCCACACAAUCUCCACCUACAACCAUCCUGACAUCUACAAUCAACUCUCUUAGCUUCGCUUUUCUUCCACCUCAUAUCGAAACUCUUGAGUAAUGCAAACUUCUUUAUAAUCAUCUGUAGUUGUUUUUUACUAGGAAAGACCAUACCAAUACUGAAUUGCAAUAACUUAUGAUCAGAUGCAGGAUCAUAUAUAUUUCUCUUUCUUUUUCCUCUUUUUUACAUGCAUAUUUCCUUCUUCACUAUUGAUUGCGCUGCAUCUGAUUCCAUAUCCUUUCAAGUAUGAUCCUAGUUCAUUGACUGUAGGUCUUAGUUGUGUACUAGUUGGUCCUCCAUCUAGCCUUAAACCUACCCUAUUAUCAAUUAUUACACUUUUUAGCUUCUUCUCGUUCUCCCUGGUAAUCACACAUUCCUCAUCAUCUUUAUCACUUAAAGCUACUGAACUGAAAUCAGUUUCUUCAUUUGCAUUUAGCUACUCAAGUUCAUUAGCUUCUCUGUUAACAUUAAAAAAAUCAUCAAGUGGUGCAUGCUGUGAAUAUAUAUUUUUUCUACAUCAUUAUACUAUGAAUGAAGAUCAUCUUGAUGAUUUCAUGAGCUUUAUGUUGUGCAUGAGGCUCUUCAUCUUUUUUUUGUUCAUCUUCAUCUAGUGUAUGCACUUGUCCAACUUCAACGUCAAGAAACAUCUAAGCCAUCAUCUAUUAGGAUGCCAUCUCUCUCCAUAGCCUGCAUAAGCCAAUCAAUCUCUUCCUCAGCCCCUGAAAUCAUUGAAUUGACUCCAUUUGUACUUACAGAUCAACAUUCUUAUACAAAUUAGAUUUCUCAUCACAACAUAAACUUUAUGUUCCAUAUACUUAUUUUCUUCAUCAUUCUUGCAAAUAUCAAGAGAUCUCUGAUCUCCCCUUGGUUUAAAAUAACCAAUUUUCUGCAUUUCUCCGUAUCUAAACUCCCUUAUACUAUUAGCAAUGGUAAGACAGCUCUUGAGAGUAACUUUGAGUUGUCCACUCUUGUAGAACCUUUCUACCAAUGUAGUUUACAUUCUUAUGCUUACUCAUUUUACCUCCGACUCAUAUCUCAAGUAGAAACAUGUUCAAUAAAUGCAAACCACUAUAUAAAUAAAGACUCAUUAACAUUCAACAACCCAUGCCCAUUUUACAUAAGAUAAUACCUCUGUAAUAAAUCAAGAUGAGAUAAACUUAACACAAGGACUUGUAUUUAAUACCCACGACAACCUACUGCAACUGCCAUAUUGUAACUACAAAAUUUAUGGCCACAGUUUAGAUGCAGUUUGUUUCAUAGCUACACGUAUUUAAUUGUUCAACUAUUUAUUAUUCCAACAAAGCAAAGUUCCUUUUCCCUAUUCAAAUAUUUUGGUAUUAAAAUACUACCCAGUAUCCAUUGUGCACCAUUAUUAAAUCAAAAAACAUUAACUACUUUCUUUUUUUUUUUUUUUAUCAAAAAUUUUCAGACUCAAUAAUAGUUUAUUAUUAAAAAUAAAAAAGUUCAUUCAUUUUUUUCGAGGCUCAAUACAUAAAUUCAUUAUUGUACUUUUUACGAAAAAUUUUGUAACACAUUCAACUUUUACUUUAACCUAUUGGACACUUCAACUUAUAAAAUUGGAUCUCUUAGCCCAUUGAACACCUCAAUUUAUAAAAUUAAAUCAAUUAAACACUUAUUGGAUAGUUAAAAUAUGAAAAUUAUUAUUUCAAAGUUAUAUUAACCACAUACCAAACCAACGGUUUACAUAUAAAAUUUUCAAAAAUAUUUAAAAUUAUAGUUUUUGGUGUAAGGUGUAGGAGUAUUAUGAAAAGUGAAGUUAAAGGUGUGACAAGGUCGAUUUUAAAAUUGAGGUUAUUGAAAGGUUUUUGUCAAAAUUCAUGAGUUGAUUAUGUAUUCGACCAUAUGUCUUCUUCACUCUUGCUAUUUUGACUUCUAUAACCUAGCUGAAGUGCGACUAUAACCGAAGCCUUCACAAUAGAGCAAACGAGGAAGACAAGCAAUGAGGAUAAGAGCGAUAAAAGAUGAAGGAUUAAACAUCAUUGGGUGAGAGAGCAGAGGGAGAUAGAGUUUGGGUCUGCAAAACAAUGUAGGAACAGAGAUGAUAGUUGGGAUUGGGUUGUUAGACAGUGAAAAUGCACCGUUUAGUUACCUAGGCUGGGUUAAUUUUAACUCUACAUGCACUAAUAAGUCUCGGGAGUCAAGUUAUAAACGGGGUAUGAUUGUAAUAAUACGCAAAGUUCAGGGCAGUUUUUUGAGCAUCGGAGAAGAUGGAUUUGAAAUUGAAUCUAUUCCCAAGUCACCGUCAUGCUGUACCUUGGAGUGCAAAAUCUAGAGUAGUUUUAAUGAUUUAUUUCUAAUAAAAAUAGAUUGUAUUUAUAAAUGAACUUUAUCUCAGAGUUCAAAAUUUAAAGUUAGUAAUAUUAGAAAAGUUUGAUCCGAAUAUCACCUUCGACUGAGCAUGAAAACUCAUGUUUAUGAAAAAAAAAGAUAUUUUAUUUGAAAUUCAUAUUUUAUUUUCAUUAAGUACAUGAAACCAACGCUUAUUAGAAAAAAACAUGAAAUUUUGCAGAUUUAUAUAGUUAAUGCUUCUCAUAUAACUUAAUAUGGAUGCCAUCUUCAAAUCGCAAAUGAGGAUCUCUACGAAUCUUCCCGCCCUUGAUAUUUCUCCACCUAUAAAUAUUAGCUCAUAAGGUUAAGAAUGUAUAUUGGUAGUUAAGUAGUGGUUAAUUUGAAUUAAUGAAAGAUUAGGUAUAGACAAAGAAGAGCAAUAUACCUGUACUUUGUAACCAGGACAUGGAUGAACAUGGAGAGAAAUACCCUGCUGUAGUCUGCCCCAGCACAUUGUCUUGUUCCUCCACCAAAAGGUGUGAAAUUCUUGGAUAUUGUUUGUGAAUCCAAAUCCUAUAAUUAUUAAUUAAUUAAUCAUUUACCCAAAAUCAAAUUUCAAAUGCCAAUUUAUUCUGUUUAAUAUCAUCCUUCAAGAAACAACAAUUAUUCUAAUUACUUAUUACAAUAAUGCAUUUUGAAUUGUUUUUAAAUUAAAUAAACAAGGAAUUAAUUUCAAUGACAAAUUCAUUCAUUUAUAAUGAAUUCUCACAUUUUGUGUCCUAAUUAUUAAGUAUUCAAUUCAUUUAUAAAAUUCAUUAUUUUUAAUUAAGUUAAAUUUAUAAUUUGCAGUAUACAAAAGUAUAACCUAAUGGCUAAGGAUGUAGCUGCAUUAACUACAUCAAGGCCCAAAGGGGCAAUGGGCCUGCCUGAAAUUUGGAAAAAAAAAAAAAAAAAAAAAUCUAAGUUAACAUUUAAGUCUCUCUUUUUGGAAAUACUUAUGUUUAUCCCAUGAUUAAGUUCUUCUAUCUAAAAGGUAAGCUCUUUCCAUCCAAAAAGUGAGUAUAUUCUGUCUAAAUAGUGUAUCUGAACUCACUUUUUAGACAUAAUGACUCCAUUGUGAGAGAGAAAUAUAAGUUAGAGACAUUAAUUAUUUCUCAAAUGCAUAAGCAUUUAAGUGUUAAUUUGAACAUAAGUUAAAAGACCAGUUAUAUUUUACAUUUUAAGUAAUUAUUCCUAAAAGGAAAAGCUAAAAUCUUGAUUAAUUUUUGUAACUUUGCCCCUUCUCUAAUUACUGUUUUUCAUAGUCGACUAACACUUGAUCUAAUAAUUAUUGGUUUCUCUUAAAUCAUUUUAAUUUAGAGAGUUUAGUAAAUUAAGUUUAGACUAUAUUAUUUAACUUAAUUGCAUUUGUAUUCUAUCUAAUUAUAGAAUUUACUAAAUUAAUUAAUUUUGUAAUAGAAAACAUGAAUUUUUAAUUGUAUCUAAUUAGAAUAUUUGCAUUAUGGAAUGAAACUUCAAAAGAAAAUUAACCAUUGUAUAAUGAUCAUCAACAGCAGUCAAUCAAACUAUUUAGCUUGUUCAAUUAACAUCAUCUUAAUAAAUCAUUGGAAAACUUGAGUUGAUAUAGAAAAUAUUCUUUUAGAUCUAUGACAAACGACCUAACAUAACAAGAUAUUGUUCGCCUAAUAUUAGAUAUCAAAUAUGUAGAGUUUAACCAAAAGAUCUAUGACUAUUUGAUAACUUAUAUUAAAACAUAUAUAUUUGUAAAUAUUUAAAUGAAAUUAAUAUGAAUAGAAUUUAGUGAAUGAAAAAUAGAUGAGGAUUAUUAUAACUCAAUUUUCAAAUAAUUUAUUUUCUUUUUAUAAGGAAUUAUCGUCACUUAUAUUUAUGUAUAUUAGUUUUAUAAAUUAUAUAGUUUAAUCGGAGCCAUCAAUGAAUUUCUAGUUACGUUAUUGUUAGUGGCAAAUGCAUAAAUAAUCUGAUAAUAAUCUAUAUCCAAAUCUAUUAAUGCUAAAAAAAAGUUUAUUUAUAACGAAUCUCAUUAAAGAAUAUAAGUGGUUUCUAUAAUUGAUGAAUAAUAUAAAAUAUGAAAAUUUUUAAGCUCUUAAAAUAUGGAUUUAUAUUUAUUUUUUAUUCAGUAAAAGUCAAGAUUGGCUAGUGGGAUGACAACAAUAAUUAAGUUUUGUGGUAAAAACCGGAAAUCACACAAUUAGAGUAUGAGUAAUUAAUAUUGAAUUUGAAUAUUAAAAAAAUAUUACGAUCAAAUAACUUGAUUCAUCAUUGAUUACCUUCCAACGCCAUGGAUUAAACUCAAGUGGAUCUUUGUAGAUCUCUGGGCUCAUAUGGAGAACAGAAGUGAGAACCAUGAUUGUCCAACCAGCAGGAAUUAUAUAUCCUUUUCAUAAAAAGAAUAAAAAAAAUAUUAAAAGUUUGAACAAGAUUUUAAUUAAUUUCAAUAAGAAAAUAAAAGAUUUAGAACAAGAAGAACAUGCCUUUGUAAUGAAUGUCUCUUAGUGCUCUUCUCAACAAUCCAGGAGCAACAUUUGCUAUCCUAAGUGUUUCAUUGAUGACCUAUCAAUUACUCCACAUUCCAACACAAUAAGAUAUUUUUGUAUCUAUUUAUAUAUUUAGAUAUUGUAUGCUUUAAUUAAGCAAAUAAAACAAAAAUCACCUGAAAUGUCACGACCCGUUUCCAUGGGCCGGACCGGCACUAGGGCCCAGGCAAGCUUAAAGCCCCCGAGACCCGUAGUAAGCCUAACUAAAAACAAAUUCAAUUAUAUCAAUGUAAAUGCUAAGUGUUAAGCCCAUAUUGCCAUGCGAAAAUAAACCUCAUAUUCAUAUUAUAAUUCAGCCCCAAAUUAUAACAUUUUAAACAUUUACAUAUUAGCCCAACUUACAAUACACCAUAUUUUAUAAUAUGGACUCACACAAUUAUUUCAUCUAUAAUAAUAAUACACGACUAAAGGUAUACAAAUCCUACAACUGCGGAGUUCACUAACAGAUGUAUACAGAUAAGCCUUCGGACAUUUAUCUAUUUAAUAGAUCAAAACUAAAAUUUGAGAAUUUUUUUUUUUUUUUUUUUUUUUUUUAACAGUGAAGGAGCAGAGCUAUAGCUGGAAUUUAAAAAAAAUGCUACUUCCUGAAAGAUUUAAACAAAAGAGAUGUGAGUUUUCUAAGGAGUAAUAAUUAUUGCACAACACACGCAGUCACAUAAAUGUGUAAACAUAUCANNNNNNNNNNNNNNNNNNNNNNNNNNNNNNNNNNNNNNNNNNNNNNNNNNNNNNNNNNNNNNNNNNNNNNNNNNNNNNNNNNNNNNNNNNNNNNNNNNNNNNNNNNNNNNNNNNNNNNNNNNNNNNNNNNNNNNNNNNNNNNNNNNNNNNNNNNNNNNNNNNNNNNNNNNNNNNNNNNNNNNNNNNNNNNNNNNNNNNNNNNNNNNNNNNNNNNNNNNNNNNNNNNNNNNNNNNNNNNNNNNNNNNNNNNNNNNNNNNNNNNNNNNNNNNNNNNNNNNNNNNNNNNNNNNNNNNNNNNNNNNNNNNNNNNNNNNNNNNNNNNNNNNNNNNNNNNNNNNNNNNNNNNNNNNNNNNNNNNNNNNNNNNNNNNNNNNNNNNNNNNNNNNNNNNNNNNNNNNNNNNNNNNNNNNNNNNNNNNNNNNNNNNNNNNNNNNNNNNNNNNNNNNNNNNNNNNNNNNNNNNNNNNNNNNNNNNNNNNNNNNNNNNNNNNNNNNNNNNNNNNNNNNNNNNNNNNNNNNNNNNNNNNNNNNNNNNNNNNNNNNNNNNNNNNNNNNNNNNNNNNNNNNNNNNNNNNNNNNNNNNNNNNNNNNNNNNNNNNNNNNNNNNNNNNNNNNNNNNNNNNNNNNNNNNNNNNNNNNNNNNNNNNNNNNNNNNNNNNNNNNNNNNNNNNNNNNNNNNNNNNNNNNNNNNNNNNNNNNNNNNNNNNNNNNNNNNNNNNNNNNNNNNNNNNNNNNNNNNNNNNNNNNNNNNNNNNNNNNNNNNNNNNNNNNNNNNNNNNNNNNNNNNNNNNNNNNNNNNNNNNNNNNNNNNNNNNNNNNNNNNNNNNNNNNNNNNNNNNNNNNNNNNNNNNNNNNNNNNNNNNNNNNNNNNNNNNNNNNNNNNNNNNNNNNNNNNNNNNNNNNNNNNNNNNNNNNNNNNNNNNNNNNNNNNNNNNNNNNNNNNNNNNNNNNNNNUUAAUUUCCCUUCCUCCAUAUCAAGUAAUAGUAUAAAUAUUUAAUCACAAUACUAAACUUUAGCUAUUAACAAUCCAAGCUUUGCUAUCUAAGGUUAAGCCCAUACAUAAAAUAACAAAUAAAUGAAAAUAAACAUUUACUUAACCACCACAUUCUACUGGUUUAAAGUAUCCAUAUAUAUAUAUGCUUGUAGUAACCCUAUGCCAACUAUAAUUCACUCUUUCUUUUCUUUUCUUUAUCAUUAUAUAACUAAGAUCCCGAAUACGACUUAAUAAUAUGUGAGUCAGCAUUCUCGCCAAGCAAAAUUUCAGGUAACGAACCCAUUUUAUUUGUCUCUCAAAUCAUAAAUAAGCAUUUAUACAUCAAUCAUCAUGAAAUCUUGAAAGUACGCUCAUUUACAUAUAUUUAUUAGGGUUUUGAACAGAUAAUUUUCACUUAAAAACAACAAACCAGUGAAGUUGCCUCUUUUGUCUUUUUUUUUUCUAUUUUCCGUUUUUUUUUUUUUUUUUUUUUUUUUUCUUCNNNNNNNNNNNNNNNNNNNNNNNNNNNNNNNNNNNNNNNNNNNNNNNNNNNNNNNNNNNNNNNNNNNNNNNNNNNNNNNNNNNNNNNNNNNNNNNNNNNNNNNNNNNNNNNNNNNNNNNNNNNNNNNNNNNNNNNNNNNNNNNNNNNNNNNNNNNNNNNNNNNNNNNNNNNNNNNNNNNNNNNNNNUUUUAAGCAAAUAGCUAGGUUGGCUGCUACCAUAUCACAAUCAUUCUAAUUUCUUUCAUAGGACCUACAAUAAACACCCUAACUUACACAUUUCCUUGAAAAAUGCAGUUAUAGUGUCAAUUAAUAGUCAAAAAUCAGAUUUUUCCCAACUUCCAGUCGUGUGAAUAGUGUUUCAGGAACCUAGCAUUUCUCAUUCAUGAUUCUAACAACCCUUUCCUCAAAUGAGCUAUUGAAUAAGCUAAAUAAUUGAAGGAAAAGGGAUCAUAUAGAGCUCACCAAGGUUUUGAAUGCGACUUUACUUACUACGCGCUGUGAUCGCAGUUUCUUGGUUCGCUGCGCCAGCCAGAACGGGAAGGAGAGAGUGAAGAAGAGAGAUCGAAUCUUCUUCCUCGACAAUAAUGAAUCGACGCCGCCGGAAAAUCAUGCAGGAGGGGCCCGACGCGAUCUUCCGAUCGAAGGAUGUCGCGGCUCCCCUGCACCUCCUGUGGACGGCNNNNNNNNNNNNNNNNNNNNNNNNNNNNNNNNNNNNNNNNNNNNNNNNNNNNNNNNNNNNNNNNNNNNNNNNNNNNNNNNNNNNNNNNNNNNNNNNNNNNNNNNNNNNNNNNNNNCGCUGGUGCUGGCGCAAGGAAGAAGAAGGGAAAGAAAAAAAGAAAAAGAAAAAGAAAAGAAAAAAAAGAAAAAGAAAGAAAAAUCUUUGGCUUCUAGACCAUUCCGGUUCGAUUCGAACCGGUUUGGUCUAAUUUAAUGAUUCGGCUCGAUUUUUACUCGGUUUGCAGGGUUUUUCACUUGGUUUUCGAAUAAUCAAUUUCCGUUUCGGGUCCGGUUCAAUUUAUUUUAAUUAUUUUAAUUAGGUUUCAUAACAUUUCCUCCAUUAGCUAAAUAAAAAUAAAAACAUAGUUAGUAAUUAUAUUUGAUUUUUAGGAAAAUUAAUUUAUAUAUAUACAUAAUAGAUUAAUUGCUGGACUUUCAUUUUAUUAUUCGAAAAUUUAACUGUUCUCGAUUUCAAAAUUUUCGACAUUAUAUUUGGACUUGGGCCCAAUUUGCAAAACUUGAACUCAAAUUAAGAUUGUUCACUAUUUACUGCCCAUACCGUCGAAAAUUCAAAUUUUGAUUUAAUAAAAAUUCAAAUGUUUCGAAAAUAAAAAUUCAGAGUGUUUCAUGAAGUGUAAAAGUCAUUGAUUUAUAAUCUUCCCAUGUAAUUGAAGAAUCUAACCCUUUUUCUUUUUUAUUUUUCAGAAUUUUCUGAUGUUCAGCCUGUGCAAAAUUUAAUAACUGUCAUUAGAAUUUGAAUAUCUUUUCAUGCGAGCCGGAUGGCCAUGAUUUCAGAAGCCACUGUUCCAGUUUCAAAAACUUUGGAACUGAAACCAAACCUAAAAUUGACGAUUCCGGUUAUAGUUUGGAACAAAUGGUUAUGAUUUCAGUUCCGAUUCUUUAAUGGUUCCAAAACCUAUGAUUUCGGUCCAUUCUCCGACUGAUUUUCUAGCGAAUUACAUAAUUAUAAAAUAAAAAAUUAGGGAAAGUUUUUUUUGAAAUUUUUUAAAAUUUAAAAAUUAAAUAUUUAUGAAAUAAUUUUUAGAAAAAACUUCAAGAAAAAAAAUAAAAAAAAAGGCUUGAACUUAAUUUAUUUUUAUAGAAAAAGAGUAUUUAUAGUAAUCCAAAAAAUCAACUUUUUAUAAAUACCAUUAAAACCAGCCAUUAUAUAGUUAUUAGGAGGCUUAAUUUGGAAAUUUCACAAAAAUAUUUUUAAAAAAAGGUUUUGGAACCAGUGAAAAAACCGUUGGUUCUAACCGGUUGGAAAACCUGUCGGUUCUAGCGGACUUUUGGAACCGCCGGUUCAUGGUUCUUAAAAAAUUGAAACUAAAACCAGACUGCAGCCCUCUGAUUCCAAUUCUAGUUCAGACCGAUUUUAAUUCCUCACAAUUUCAGCUCCAGUUCCCACCUAUUCAAAACAAGUGAUUUCGAUUCCAAAAACCGUAAAAUAGCCACCCUACAUGUAGGUAGCUCACACACAUAAAUAUCUUACCGUUAGCUCUUCGAUUACUGAUGGUUGGUCUGAAAGGAGCUUGAAAAUUAUUUUUAUGCUCGUUGGAAUUGACUCAGAAAUGGCAAAUAAAGCCCCAAACAUAAUUUGAAUUAUGAAAUCUUCUGUUAUGAAAUCCUCUUUUUCCAUGUCACUUAAUGUUUGACUCAUCACAUCUUCUUCACUCUUCUUAGUAGAGCUACGUUUUUCUCUUAGCACAUCGUCUAAUAUCUUCAUCACCUUCUUCCGGUUCUAGUCAUAAUAAUACAAAGUAAAUUAAUUUGUAAUCAAAUUGAACUCAAUCAAUUAGAAUUCGAGUUCAUUUAAGUAUUGUAAAAUCGACGUUACCCCUUCAUAUUUUGUAAGGAAAAUUGAUAUUGAGUAAGAUAAUAAUAAACUAUGAUUUAGAUUAACAUAUCAUAAUUAGAAGAAACUUUAAAAUUUUGGAUUACCUUUAGACUUUUAUGGUAGACAGUGCCAGGAAUAUUAAGUGGAAAUGAAAAAAAACUCUGAAAAUUUUGCAAAUUUUUCACUCAACUUUUAUGGUGAUUUUUCAGCCUCAUAGCCAAACAGAAACUUGGCGCUAAAAUCACAAACUACCUGCAACAACCCAGAAAAAGAAAAUUAGAACAAACCCUAAUUUAUUUUAUGUAAUUAAUUAAUUAAUAGCCUGCAGAGCUUGGAAUUUACAGCUGAAGCAGCUUGUCUAACUUCAAUGGCUGGUUGAUUACACCAUGACUGUAAAGUUGUAUGAACUAAAUCUUGUAUCUGAUGAAACAGUUUUUCUCUUAGCCUCUCAGCACCAAUAUGAGUCAAGAAAAGACCUCUUAUAUACUUGUGAAUGUAACCGGUUGCUCCAGAUGUUCUUGACUCACCGUCUAAUACAAAGAGUUCAGAAAAUGCAUCCAUAUACCAUAAUUCCACUGAUCUUCUUUCUUGACUGAGGAUGUAAUGGUUGAGUUCAGGAUCUGCUGUGAAUAUAAUUGGUCUACCAGCGACAUUACUUCGAAAUAUAGGACCAUAUCUGAAGAAUUUGCUAAUUUUUUAAACAUUUUUGUAAUUGAAGUGUAUUAAAAUUCAAGAAAAGAGCUGGUUUUACCUUUGGAUUCUCUUUUUGACGAAAGGAUGAAGAUCAAGAGAAUAGCUGGGAGUUAACAGUUGAAGAGACUCUCCAAUAAUAGGCAAUCCCAUGGAACCAGGAGGAAGAACGCCAUUGCAUUUUGGAUUCCUCCAUUUGUUAAUCCAAUAAGUUAAGCAUAUAAUAGAGAAAGCUACAAAGAGCAACUCAAUCAUCCACAUUUCUGUAAUCCUUGAUUUGUAAUUGUGAAUAAAUGUGCAUUAAUAAAUUAUCACACUAAGAGUUAUUCUCAGGAUAUCUAUGUGUCGGGCAUUUAUGCUUUGUGAGGUAGCUGGCACUUAGCAAGUUGUUAGAUAGCGAAAUGUCAAGUAGCACAUUAAAGGGCUUACCUAUUAACCCAGAGGAUGUGGCUCAAUUGACAACGCAAUCUGAACAUAUGAGAAAAACUCUCGGAUUCGAUCAAUACUAAACGCAUCUACUGGGAGAGACAAGUGACCUUAACUGUGACUAAGUCUUAAGCCGGAUUAGGAGACAGUUUCUGGUUAUGGGAUUUGGAUACCGGUGAUUUACACAAAAAAAAAAAAAAGAUUCACCUGUUAGGUAAGAUAGGAUGGUAGAGAGUCAUUUUUUUCUCUUAAUCAAAGUUUCGGUUUUGAACCUUUGAUAUAAAGUCCUUUUAAUAUUCGGAAGAAGCUUUUGCCUCCUUUCUGGAUCUACCCGACAUAAGUGCCAAUUAAUCAGACAAGUGGAUUUAGAUACUAGAUGAUUAGAAUUCACAGAGAGAGAGAGAGAGAGAGAGAAAAAAAAAAAAAAAAAAAGAUACAUGAGCUUACCUAAUAAGUAAAGAUGUAUAUGGCGCUAAUCUGGAUUAGUGGACUCCGAUACUGAUAAUUAAAAACCAAACAAAAAUUUUAUAUGGGCUUAGUUAAUAAUAAAGAUGCAUAUGAAGGAAAUGAUUUUAUACUAACUCCGGCUGUAUAUGUCCACUCUUGCAUCAACCUAAUUCAAUCAAAUUUUUUACUAAAUCAAUUCAAUAAAUUUCUUUUUGAAAAACGCGGAUAUUUCUAACCAUUUACUUGAAAAACAGAAGAUAAAAUAAUAUUGAAUUUAAUAAUUAUUUUAAAUGAUAAUUAUUUAUUGAUUUGGUGAGUGGUGAACCUAAAAAUUCUCACUUAAUCCCUUAUUAGGUAUCUGAAAUGGAUCAGAUAAAAUUUUGAUCUGCUUGUAAAUAGAGUGGAUACAAAUAUAUACCAAUUUGAUUUGAAUCCACUCGGUUAGUUUUUUUCUUUAAAAAAUAAGUUUUUUUAAUGUACAUAAUCAAUCCGAUUCAAAUCCAACCAAACCUAAAUCUAACCCAAUUUAAUGCGUAACGUUAUAUCUGACAGAUAUUAAUUAUUUGGCAGAUCAGAUAUAAAUAUGCUCCCUAAUCAUAAGAAUGGUACGGGAAAAAAGAGAUGUAAGAGGUAGGCCAUUCAGAAGUCAAAGCAAAUUACAGGUCAUAAAUAGUUGAUCGGGCCCAAUUACCAGCUCAAUAAUCAAUGGUUAAACAUAUAAAAAUAUCCUCAACUAUAUAAUUUGUUAUAAAAUCACUAUAAAUUAAUCUUUGUACACCUGUUACUCCUAUUUUAAAAUAUAAAUAUAUUAGCAUCCUAUUUUUGAAAUGGAAUCAGAAUUUAGACUAAAAUGAUAUUAUAUGGGAUCGACAACUUGACCUUGGGUUAAGCUAACCCAAAGGAUCAAACACAAUCUUCUAUAAUUUUUCGGCUUAUGCAUAAAUUUGACCGUGUACUUUUAUUGAUUAUCCUUGUGUCCAUGAAUUUUGCCGGGAACUCGUCAUGAUUCUUCACUUUCACAUUUCAAUGAUAACUAUAUCUUUUGUAAAAAUGAAGUGUGAAAAUAUAGGGUUAUGAUUGAACCCAGCAAAGAUAGAAUUAUGAUUGAACCUUUGCAAAGAUAUUUUCUUUUGACGAGGAACAUAAUUAUUACUUAAAUGUAAAAGCGGAAUAUUAUAAUUUAAAUUCUCGCAAUGUUCAAAAGACUAUAAGAAUAAUCGAUCAAAAUUUAAGGUCAAAUUUAUGUAUUAAAUCAUAACUUUUCUCUCCCAAAAGUCUAGGCCUUAAAACAUUUGCGUCAUGCUCAAGUGAAGUAGUUGCAUCACAAUUAUUGACAAUAAUAAAUUAUCGCAGACAGUUCUUGCAAUGCAGGAAUGUAUGCGCUUGAGCAUUUAGAACUCUUGCAAUUUAUAGAAUUCAUGUAAUUGGCACAAAAUUUGCUUUUUCUAAAGUAGACCACCAAUGAUGUGUGCUAGCCUUGCUUUCUCUGUCCCUGAUAGUCUUCAUACCAAUCAUCGAUUUCCUGAUUUUCUUGCACAGUUGGCAUCUCUUGCCCUUGAUUUUCAAAAUGAGCAAAUCAAGAAGCAUUUUUCUUAUCUAUAUCCCAAUAUUGUUCCAUUCUUGAUUCAUUCACCCAUGUGUUGCCUUCUUAGUCUGCUUUCUAUUUUCCAAAGUAGACAUGGCCACGGUUUCAGAAUCGUCUGUUCCAAUUCCAAAAAAUUUAGAAUCGAAAUUGAAUCAAAAAUUGACGGUUUUGGUUUCGGUUUGAAACCGAACGGUUCUUGUUUCGGUUCCGACUUUGAUUUCUUAACGGUUCCAAAAUUGAUGGUUCCGAUCGGCUCUCCGACUGGUUCUUGGAACUGUCUGUUCACGGUUCCAAAAAUGGUGGAACCGAAAUCGAACAGUAGGUCACCGGUUCCGAUUUUGGUUCGGACCGAUUUCGAUUUCGAUUCCCACCGAUUCGUAACCGUAAUUUGGCCACCCCUAUUCCAAAGCCACAAUAUCCCCUGAACUAUCAACUAAAUCCUUAACCAUAGAAAUAGAUAACCGGUGUUUUGUUAAAUAGACAAUGGAGGAGGUAGACCAGUGGUAGGCUUGUGCUGCGCUUUGGGCGAAAAUUUAGGGUAGAGAGCAAAAAGAAUGAAUUUCGAGAGAGUUUUUUUUUUUUUUUUUUUAAAGGGUGUUUUUGGGUUAAGUUAACCCAAGGAUAGUCUGUGGAUUCCAUGAUAAUUUUAUUUUAAUCUAAAUUCUGGUCCCAUUUUAAAAUUAGGUUGCCAAUAACUCUCUCUCUCUAUAUAUAUAUAUUUCAAAAUAAGGGUCCCAAGAUACAAAGAUCAAUUCUGAGAGAUUUUACAAAAAAUCGUAAGUUGAAAGUGUUUUGUAGGUUUAGCCAUAAUCAAUAGCAGUUUUAUCUUUGGUUCGUCAAUGAAAUUUGAUUCAAUUUGAUUUUGUAUUUAGAUUGACAUUUUGUUUGGAAAUUAGAGAAAGGGAAAUAAUGGAGAAAAGUAGCUGAGGAAUUAUGGAGAAAUCAUUAGAAAAAUUUUGAAUCUUAGAGGUAGUUUUAAUUGUACCCUAAAUUCAACUUUAUUCUUUUACUACCCUGAAUUUAAAUUUUAGUUACAAUAACAACCUAAUUUCAAAUUAUACCUGAUUUAAUAAAUAAAAUAUUAUUUUCAUUAGAUCUACAUGAUCAGGUUAAUUUAAAACUCACAAUUUGACAACACCCUAACUAAUGUUGGCUAGAAAUGUUUUUUCAAAUUCAUAAAAGCCAAGUAAAAUAUUAAAUUUUAGUUAGUUAUAAGCAUAAAAUAUUAGUUUGAAUUUUUGUUUUACCAUUCUUAAGCAUGAAAUUUUAAUUAGGUUUAUUGAAAUUAUUUUUAAGUUAGAUUUCUCAUAAAAAUAGGUUUUAUUCAUUACGAUAUAAUUUUAUUUUUAGGGAAUGGUUACUUGUUGUCAAUAUUAUAUAAACAAAUAAAAAGUAUUUUGUUUUAAAAUGAAUAUAUUGUUUUUUUAUUUUAAUAUUGGUACAAUUUGAAAAUAAUAUUUGUUUAUUAAAUUGGGUACAAUUGAAUAAAUAAAUAUUAUUUUGUAUUUUAAUAUUGGGUACAAUUUGAAAUUAGGGUGUUAUUGUAACUAAAAUUAAAGUUUAGGGUAGUAGGAGAAGAAAGUUAGAUUUAGGGUUCAAUUAAAACUACCUGCAAAGUUUGAAAUUUUUUUAAUGGUAGCCAGGAAUUAUCAAUUUUUUUUCUGUAAUUAUUUUUCCCCCUUGCAUUUGGAUGAAGUAAAAAAAAAAAAAAAAUUACUUUCUUUUGUUUAAAAAUGGUAAAAUUUUAGAGAAAAUAAAAUAUUAUUAUUAGAAAUCGACAAUUAUGACUUUAUUUGUUUUUAAACAAUGAAAAGUGAUUCUAAUUGUUUUUUAAUAUAAUAAAAAUAAGUGAAAUUUUUAUUUUUCAAAUAUUUUCACUCCAAAUUAGAGAGAUUCAAAACAAAUGGAUUUGGAUGGAAAAUAAGUGAAAUAUUACCUCGUUCGAUAUUUUCCUUUCCUUUUCCAAAUAAGAUAAAAUACAUUUCUCUGAAUAUUAUUUGCAGUUAUUUUCCUUCCUUCAAAAAAAAUAAAAAAUUCCAUCCGAACCGAUAGAAAUAUACCAUUGACUAUGUAAAUGUAAUAGUACAUUUUUUUGUGUUAUUUCUUUAAACAAUUAUUUUUAUGUAUUUAAUUGGAGAUUUGCUUAAAUGAAUAUAUUUUUUCAGCAUAUUUUAUAAUAACGGUGUUAGUACAUUUUGUAUGUAUCUAACUGGACCAAAUAGAGAACGGUUAUUUUAUACUGACUAUGAAAACAUACUCUCUCGAACAUUAGAAAUAAGAUUUAUGUUAUUAAUCUUGAUUUAAUUAAUACGAGCAAAUAUGUGCUUUAAUUCAUUAAAGAGUGAGUUUCAUUUAUCGGGACAAUAAUUCUCGGUGAAAAAAACAACUUGUAUUUGUGAAAUACUAAUUAAUAAUAGAAUUAAAUUUUUUGGUUUAGAGAAUGAUGAAGCAUUUUAAGUUAGCUUAAAAGGUUUCAUUGUGCAAAUCCUGCAGGUGGAUUUUUAAUCCGACACAUAAAAUAAGUUAAGCGAUAAUCCAAAAAAUUAAAAUUGUUAUGUAAAUAAAUUAUCAGUGAUUUAUUUUAUUUGAUAAGCAUAUAUAAUCUUUACAUGGGAAACAUAAAUUAUUAUGUUAUAGAAAGUUAAAUUAAUAAAGAGUUGAAUUGUGAAUUUUUGGUGGAAUGAUUUAUGAUUAAUUAUAAUAAGAAUAUAUUGGUCCUGUAUGAAUUCUUAUUAUAAUUUAUAGCCUUAUUAAUUUAUUGAUGUGGUCCUUUUUAUGCCUUAAUUAUUUGAAUCUUAUGUGGCCUAUGUAUUUUAAAUAAUCAAUAGAUUAAUUUGUUGAUUAAUAUUUUAUUUAUUAAUUUUAAUUAAAAAAAUGGAUAAUCUAUUUUAUUUAAAAUAUUAAUCGCGUGGGUAACAGAAUGAUGAAUCUUAUCGUUUGCUUCCCACGCGGAUAAGAGAGAUUAUUGAUUUUUGAAUACGCGUUGUUAUUUUGAGAUAAUAGAGUAUUUAGAAAAAAAAAAACAUAGUUCACUCUCGAGAAACAGACAUACUGUUUUUUUCUGCACACUCAAAAAAAUAGAAUUCAUAAAAUCAAUUAAAGUUACACAGGAUAAGAAUGUAGAGUGACUUGAAGAAUUCUUGAAAGAACUCUGGUAAGCGAUUUUGCACUACAACAUAUUAAUUCUUAUGUGAUUUAUGUUUUAAUUUGUUUUCGUGAUCCUGGGUUGUUUCCUUUACUUAAUUCUCAACUCCCACCACAAAUAAUGGAUGAAAGUUUAAAAUAGAUGAGCACUGAGGGUUUAAUUAGGAAUCAUUUGGGAGGAUGGGUGAUUGGUUUUGCUUUUCAUAUUGGCAAAACUAUUAAUGUUAAGAGUUGUACUAUGAGAUAUUUUUGUUGGAAUAAGAUUGAAAAUAUCACACGGUUAUUCGGAUGCUCUUAUUGAAAAUGAUAAUUUAAUGACUGAGACUAUGAUUAAUGGUUUGAUGGCUCUUUUCUGGUUCAGUUAAAGCGUUAUAGGUAUUUUAAACUUACUCAUAUCUUUUGAAAAGUGAAUUUUAGUUCUGAUUGAAUUUACGUAUUUUGAAUGAUCCUCCUUUGGAUUUGUUAUCUUUACUUUCUUCUAAUUCUAGAGAUGUUCUUUUUCCUCGGUCUAAUAAUGGCUAGUUGAGCCAUAAUUCUAUUCUACCAAAAAAAUAUUUAAAGGGGGUUUGGCAUAUAUAUAUAUAUAUAUACACCGUUAAUGAAAAGAGAGAAUAGGAUAAAAGUAAUUAGGGAGUCGAACAGACCUUUUUUGGGGAAGAGGGACUUGAAUCCUCACGAGAUAUAUAUAUAUAUAUAUAAGUGAGUUUGUUUCAGUCACAUUAAAAAUUGCAUCUGGACAAAUCAAUAUAUUAACAAUAAAUGGCUAACGAAAUCGUUGUUAUAUAAGGUUAAGGUUAGGAAAUUCCUUUUUUUUUUUUUUUCCUUUUUAAAUAUGUUUCAGACAAGGAGGAGAAAUAAUACCUUUGCUUUGUCACAAGGACACGAAGGAACAUGGAGAGAAAAGCUCUAAUGUAGUCUGCUCCUGCACAUUGUCUUGUUCCUCCACCAAAAGGAGUGAAAUUCUUGGAUAUUGUUUGUGAAUCCAAGUCCUAUGAUUAAUAAAUCAAUCCCAAAAUCAAAUUUCAAAUAUCAAUUUCGUCCUUUUAAUGUCCUUGAGCAAAAUGAUUAAGGAUUAUGGUAAACAAGAGAAAUGGCAUAAUCUGAUUAAAAGUUCAGUAGUAAAAUAAAGAAAGAAAGAAAGAACUAUCAAAUAGCUUAAUUAAUUACCUUCCAACGCCAUGGAUUAAACUCAAGUGGAUCUUUGUAGAUCUCAGGGUUCAUAUGGCGAGCAGAAGUGAGAACCAUUAUUGUCCAACCAGCAGGAAUUGUAUAUCCUUUUCGUAAAAAAAAAAAAAAAGAAAAUUAUUACAAACUUGAACAAGAUUUUAAUUAAUUUCAAUAAGAAAAUAAAAGAUUUAGAACAAGAAGAACAUGCCUUUGUAAUGAAUAUCUCUUAGUGUUAUUCUCAACAAUCCAGGAGCAACGUUUGCUAUCCUAAGUGUUUCAUUGAUGACCUAUCAAAAUAAGAUAUUUUUUAUCUAUCUAUUGUAUGCUUUGAUCAACUAAAUCAGACAAAAAUCACCUGAAGGGUAAAAGUCAUUCAUUUAUAAUCAUCCCAUGUAAUUGAGGAAUCUGAGCCUUUUCCUUUCUUGUUUUUGAGAAUUUCCUCAUGCUCAGCCUAUGCUAAAUUUAAUAAUUAUUGUUAGUACUUGGUUAUUACAAUUCAUCAUAAAUUUAUAAUUAAGAUUAUUGUUAGUAUAUUUCUUACUGUCAGCUCUUCUAUUACUGAUGGUUGUGCUGAAAGGAACUUGAAAAGUUAUGUUAUGGUUAUUGGAAUUGACUCAGAAAUAGCAAAUAAAGCCACAAACUGAAUUUGAAUUAUGAAAUCUUCUGUUAUGAAAUUCUCUUUCUCCAUAUCCCAACAUUUGUUUCAUCACAUCUUCUUCGCUCUUCUUAGUAGAGUGUCUUCUUUCUCUUAGCACAUUCUUUAACAAUUUUAUCACCUUCUUCCUUUCCUAGUCAUACACCAUACAAACUAUGUCAAUUUGCAAUCAAAUUAAACAUUCACAUUAAUAACAACUCAAGUCUCUCCUAAUUAUUUAUUUCAGAAGUAGGGGAAGGCUACAUACAUUAACCCUCCGUAGAACCAACGAACUUGAGAUUUUGUGCACUCGUUCACUAUUUUUCUUUUUAAUUUUAUUUCAAAAAUUUGAAUUACCUCUAGAUUUUGAUGGUAUGCAGUACCGGGAAUAUUAAGUGAUGCGGAGCAACUUGCACUUCAAUAUAUGGAUAAUUUAGAUCACUACAGACCAAAGAAACAAAGGCACGGCCGUGCCAUAUCCAGCAGGCCAGUGCCAGCCUUUGGAAGUCCAGGAUGCAAGGCAUGCCCGUGUCACAACCAGCACGCCCGUGCUAGCUCCUGGAAGUCCAAGCACACCCGUGUCAUACCAAGCACGCCCGUGCCGUUGCCGAGGAGUCCAGUUACAUUUCGAGUGCCAGCAUGCCCGUGUCACAAUCAGCACGCCCGUGUUAGCUCCUGGAAGUCCAAGCAUGCCCGUGUCAUACCAAGCACACCCGUGCCACCGACCUUACUAGGGUUUAUGACCCGUACGACUUUUGUGUUAUUUUAGGUUUUUUAUAAGACUAGCCUAAACCUAUAAAUAGACCCCUUUGUAUCUUUAGAAGGCAUUCAAUCUUUGAUUAUUAUUCAUAUCAAUAAACUUCUUUGAGAGUUUAAUUCGUUAUUUUAUUCAUCAUAUCAAACAUCAUUGAUCGAAACUCCUGACGGAGUAUAAUCGUUGUUUCCAUUCACGUAACCGUUCUGCGUCAUUAAGUGGAAAUCACACAAAACUUUCUGCAAAUUUUGCAAAUCUUCCACUCAUAUUGUAUGGUGAUUUUCCAGCCUCAUUGUGGGUCCUGAAUGUGUAUGGUACAACCCAAGAGGGGGGGUGAAUUGGGUUUUCUAAAAAUUGAAAUAAAUUUUAGAAAUUCUAAACAAGAAUUAGAUUUCUAAGUGCAGCGGAAAACACACAGAACUUUGUAAGAGUAGAAUAUGGAUUAGAAUCUCUUCACAAUGUUCUAAUUUCAGAUAUAGAAAGUCUGUGCAAAGUGCAGCUAUUGAUUAGAACAGCUUCACACUAACUUGUACGAUGGCAGAGCUUCUUUCUGAAGGAAAGUUAUCGAACUUAGAACUUCCUCAUAAAGUUUACAAAACCAUAUAACACUAUGUGAAAGAUAGUUAUUAGAACUUCUUCACAGAGUCUUAAUCAAAUGUUAAAGUAACUUUAUGAUGAAGAGUUAUCAGGAUUAGAACAUNNNNNNNNNNNNNNNNNNNNNNNNNNNNNNNNNNNNNNNNNNNNNNNNNNNNNNNNNNNNNNNNNNNNNNNNNNNNNNNNNNNNNNNNNNNNNNNNNNNNNNNNNNNNNNGUUUAGAAUAGAUGAGACUUAUUGCCGUUUUAGAACAUCUGAAUUAUUAACAAUUUCAGCGUUUCUAAAAAAUUAAACAAGAGUGUAAAAGAGACAGUAUCAACCAAACUACAGAAAUAAAGAGAUCAACACCGAGAGUUAUAGUGGUUCGGCACUAACUCGCCUACAUCCACUCCCCAAGACUCAUCUUGACAUCCUCCACUAAGCUAUCUCUUUUAAAGGGUAAGAGACAUACCAAGAGUACAAAGUAAUAGAUCAAAAACCUAAAUCUACUCUUUUGUCCCACUAGAUUUUCCAAAGGUUCUAGUUAACCUCAACCCUUUCUGUUUUUGGUAGAGUAUAGAAAACUCGAUUCAAGACAUUACUAUCCCACANNNNNNNNNNNNNNNNNNNNNNNNNNNNNNNNNNNNNNNNNNNNNNNNNNNNNNNNNNNNNNNNNNNNNNNNNNNNNNNNNNNNNNNNNNNNNNNNNNNNNNNNNNNNNNNNNNNNNNNNNNNNNNAACGCCCAUAUAAGCACAGGAAAAACAAUGUUAUCAGAUUAGAAGAUCGAUUAGAACACAUAAUUGUUUUUCAAAAAGAAAUUGUAAAAAAAAUUCUUUUCACUUUAAAUAUUGUUGAAGCAUCGAGAAGAACAAAGUCACUACAGUCAAUCCAAUCCUAGUCCAUCACAACCCACCUAGAGUCUAUCUUUUAGGGUCUAGUUUCUUUUUUCUUUUCAUUUUCAUUUCCAUUCAAGUAUUCAUUUGUAAAUCUAAGUGUCUUUUGUACACAAAUUUUGUCUUAUCAAUAAAAAGGGAUCAGUUUACGUUCCAAUCAUAUUUAUACUCUUUCAACACUCUAGAUCUUGCAAAAAUAUAUUUCCGAAAAGGUGAAUGAUUUUAUUACCAAAAACAUUAGAGAAGAAAUCUCUUUAGUUUUAGGAAAAUAAAUCUUUUCGAUUUGAAGGAAUAUUUUCGAAAAUAGAUUAUUUUGAAGAAAACUAAUUUUCCGAAAAAUAUUUUUGAGAGACAAAAGGAUUUUUGUGCUCAUAUUUGGAAUUUCUCUCUAUCCUACAAAGUAUUCCUAAAUACCUAGCUACUAGGUCUUCGAACUCUUCACACUCAAAGUAGGAUUUGCCUUGUAUGAUUUUCUUUCCAAAGAAAUUCUGCAUAAAAAUAAAAUUAGCACAAAUAACAUAAUUUUAAAUUUAUUUAUUUUGUAUUAAUCAUCAAAAUCCGAGAUUAAAAAUUGACCUUUGAGCCAACACUCAUAACCAAAGAGAAACUUGGCAGUAAAAUCACAAACUACCUGCAAUAACCCAGAAAAAGAAAAGUUAGAAGAAACGACCUAAUUUUAUUUUAUGCAACUAAUUAAUAGCCUGUAGAGCUUGGAAUUUACAGCUGAAGCGGCUUGUCUGACUUCAAUAGUUGGUUGUUUACACCAUGACUGUAAACUUAUAUGAACUAAAUCUGGCAUUUGAUGAAGCAGUUUUUCUUUUAGCCUCUCAGCACCAAAAUGAGUCAAGAGAAGACCUCUUAAAUACUUAUGAAUAAAACCAGUCGCCCCACCAGUUCUUGAUUCACCAUCUAGCACAAACAAGUUAGAAAAUGUGUCCAUAUACCAUAAUUCUAUCGAUCUUGACUAAAGAUGUAAUGGUUGAGUUCAGGAUCUGCUGUAAAUACAAUCGGUCUACCCGCCACAUUACUUCGAAAUAUAGGACCGUACCUGAAAGAAUUUUUAAUUCUUUUAAAUAUUGUUAUAAUUGUAAUGUACUGAAAUCCAAGAAAGUAGAUUGUUUUACCUCUGGAUUCUCUUUCUGAUAAAAGGAUGCAGAUCAAGAGAAUAGCGAGGAAGUAGCAGCUGAAGAGUCUCCCCAAGAAGAGGCAAUCCCAUGGAACCGAGAGGAAGAAUACCAUUGCAUUUCGGGUUCCUCCAUUUGUUAAUCCAAUAAGUUAAGCAUAUAGUAAAGAAAGCUACAAAGAGCAACUCAGUCAUCAACAUUUCCGUAAGUAUAAACCUUGUUUUGUGAUUGUGGUAAAUAUAUAUAAAUAAUCAUGCCAAGAGUUCUUUUCAUGAAUUUUGAACUGAACCUCUCCACGCUUCCUUAUCUUCAUGUAUAAAGUUGUCCUAACAAACGGCAUAAUCAUGGAUCAGGCAUUUAUAAGGGAGAAUUACUAUUUAGUCCCUUAGUUUUUGUCAAAUAUACUACUUCGACCUUAAUUUUUCUGGAAUACAUUUUUACACCCUUACUCUUAAUUCCGUUCAACGUGUCCUUUAGCGCACGUGUAACUGGAAAAAAUUAAAAUAAAAAAAGAAAAAACAACUAUCGAACUUAAAGAAAGCCCAACAAAAGAACCAAAGACAAGAUCCAGACUUUUUUUCUGAGCUUAAACAACUAUAAAUAUUCUGAAGUCAAACUGCAUUUAGCAUUUGAUAACAAGAAAAUAAAUUGGUAUUUAACUACUGGGAGAGUAUUAUUCUCUUAAGGAAAAAUUAUAAUUAUGCCUUUAUGUUUUGUUGAAAUUAAUUACUUUAUCCUUGUAUUUUUUAAAGUACACUACCAUAUUUUUAUGUUCUAAAUCCAUUAUACCAAGUAAUCCUUCCGUCCAUUUUUCCAUCCUUUUUGCACGUUCAAAGAACAAGUCAAUAUGGAUUAUGAUGGUUAAAAGAGCAAAAUUAAAUAUGUGUCAAAACUACCACUGAGACUUCAGCUUUCACGAAUGGUUUGGAUUUAACCUUUAUGAACGAUUAGGAUCUGAUUUGGAAAAUAAAACAUGGAGUAAUUUCAAAGCAAUUGUGUUGCUGCUUUCUGGAUUGAUAGUAUUUUCAAACUUCUUCAAACCAAAGGACUUUCUAAUAGGAGGUGCAGGAGAUUUCUUUUGCGUUUAUGAUUUGAUGGUGUUUUGAGGACACGCAACAGUUUGUAGGAAUAGUUGUCCCAUUCGUCAUCAGAGAUUUCAUCGAAACCUCACGUCAUCUUUUUAUAUUUAUAUACAUAGGCAUACUGUGACUCAAUUGUAGUUGCAGAAGUGAGCAAGCGAGAGUGUAAGAAAGGAAAAGUUAAGAAGAGUGAGCGAUGGAGGAAGAAAACUCUAAAUAAGGUUACGACAACAACGAAAUCAAAAGAGGAACAAGUAGCAACCAUAAAAUAAAUAAAAUAAAACUACAAAGAAAAGAACAAAAGAGCAAAAUCUAGAAUAAUGAAUAGCAAGAAGAAGAAGAAAAAAUUAUAAAGGAAUUGAACUGACUUUGGCCAAGUCAGCCAUGCAUGGUUUUGUUUUUAGAGAUAGUGAGUUACAACAAUAGACUGUAGAUCCAAGAAAAUCGUUUUUGUCAUUAUAGCUUUAUAGAAGAUUUGUGAUGAUGGAUUUUGAAGGUUUUGAGAUUUGAAAAUUUCUUGAUGUCGGCUGUAAUUGAUGAUCAAAAAGGAAAAUGAAUGUAAAAAUUGAGUUUCUAAUAAGAUUAUGGUUAUUUUGAUGGUUAGGUUGCAAGAUUUUGAGAUAACUCAAUUUUCAGGCCACCACCAAUGAUGGUGACUGUCAGGCAAGCACAAGAGGUAGAAUAAGGGUUUGAAAAUUAACUGAUUUUGUCUUUUACUUGGGGUCUUAAAUGUCAUUUUAUAGUCAUUUAACAUUUAAAAGUGUAUUUAAUUUCGACAAAAUAUAGGAGUAUGAUUAUAUUUUUUCCUUCUUUUAAUAGUAUAAUUAUAAUCAUAGAGUAUUCAAGAGCAAAUAGAUUAUAAUGUCUCGUGUAUUUCUAUCGUGCGUAAAGAUUGUCAAAUUUCCAUCUAUGGUUCCUCAAUCUUAGCCAUCUUAUUCACGAAAUCAUUAGAUUUUACUAAAAAACAAAUAGAGGUUGGUAAAAUAUAUCUGAAACUUAAAAUCAGGCAGAGAAAGACCCUUGUGAGGUUUGUAAAGGAGCUUUCGUUGAAAAGACCCAUUCUUUAUUUUUGGUUUUUAGUUGUGUCUUCUCUACCUCUAUCCAACGAGCUCUAUAACUGAUGAAUUAAAGUCGAUUUCCUGAACAAAACAUCAAAUCUGGAAGUUUAAUUUCUUCACCUUUUCUCAUCUAUCAUAACAACAAAAUAUGCAUGUAAUUUACUAUUUAUUUUAAUUAAAUUCAGUUGCAUUUUAGGUACGAAAAUUGGAAUAAAAUCUCAUUUUUAUGAUAUUUCUCUCUUCUAUUGACUUAUUCUUUGAGCAACAUCAAUACUUUUGUUCUCAAGCAAAAAUGGAUCUAUUAAUGGUCAAAUGGAGAAUCUCAUCAAUGAAAAUAAGAAGGCUCUUGAAGUUAACCCAUUUGAAGCCCAAAGAAUGCCUAAGCUCAGAAGAAGUAGCCAGCUGAAAGCCCAAGAAACAUUCAGCCCUAAUCUGGACACCUGCAACAAUAUGCGAAAUGAUCAUUUGACAGAUCAUUUAGACUUAUACUACACCGUUUUAGAGGAGCAAUGUAUCUGGUUUUGGAGGCAACUCACUUUGCAUGAUUUUAUCAAUUCUUUUCUAGGGAUUUGGCGAUGCAAAUCAGAAAAUAAGUGCAAGUAGAUACAAGUGGCCCAACCCUAAAGCAAGAACUAGAGAACUAUAUAAAGAAUCAGAUGUGAAACUUGACGAGUUGGACUCUUUUGGCAAUUCUUUGUGCCGCACGUGCGAAAACAGAGAGAAAGUGAGAGCCAAUCAAAAGGAGAGGAGAGUAACACAAAAAGAGACAGUAGCCACUAGUGUUAUUACAACACAAAAGAGAGAGCAAAGAGAUAGGAGCUAUUUUACAAGUUUUGGACGUAGGAUUCAGAAGCCAACAAAACAAAGCAUACCCAAAGUUUGUUUUUAUUAUGCCUCUUAUUUCUUUUAUGUCAUUUAUUUUGGUUGAAAUAUUUGCAAUAAUGAACGGCUAAAAAAUCCAAACCUAGUUAUGGGAAUUUUCUAUUAGUUUAAAAUGUAAACUUUAAUAGUUUGAUUUAUAUUUAAAUGCCUAAAAUUUUUUGAUUUAAUAUGUUUCAACUUAACGCUUAUGAACGUGUUAGGUCUCAUAUUUGCACGAUCUUAGAUUUACUUGUUAGAUUGAUAAAUUAAUAAGUAGAUUGGAUCCCACAUAUUAAACCUAGAAUUUUAGAGCUAGAGAUAGACUAAGUUCUUUGAGGGUAAAAAGAAUUAACACCGGCUUAAUAAAUUUUAAUCACAUUAUGCUAUGAGAGCAAAUAUCAUAUGAUUUUUAACAUUCCAUUAAAACUUGAGAUAUGAAUUUGUAUACCUUAGGUUAGUUCUCCUUCAAGAAUGGGUAUAAUCACGUUUUAAUCAUGUUAUGCUAUGAGAGUAGUUGUCAUGUGGUUUUGACGGUCUGUUUAAACUAGAGAGGGGAACUUGGACAAUUCAAACCAAUUGUACAUGAUUUACACUGGAGCUAAUAGAUAUCUCAUAACUAGAUUGUCUCAACCCUUUGAUUGCUUAAAUUUAACUUUUGAUCGUCUCCACUUGCUAUUUUUAAUUUGUUUUUAUUUAAUUCAAUUUGCAACUUAGUUUAAUCAUUCCUACUAUAUCCAGCCUUCUUAAUAAUUGUUAAAUUUUAAAAUUAAUAGUCUAUUUCUCAAUUUUUUUGGGACAAUAAUUUUUUUUACUAAUUGUACGACCUGUGAGCUUGAGGAGCACAAUUCAAGUCGCAUCAAUCUAAUCGCUCUUUUUAUCUUCACGAUGAAAAUUAGAGGCCAUCAACAAAAGACCCACACGAGAGAAAGAUAAAGGAAAUGGAGAGGAUGAUUUCAAUUCAAAGGUCCUAAAUCAACAUUUUUUUUUACUUUGAUUUUAAUUUUUUUAAUUUUGAUUUUGCUGACUAAACACCAUCUCAGUUUAUGAUUUUCUUUAUAUUAGGGUAUUUUUGUCUUUUGAUAGUAAUUUAACAGCAAAACCCAUUAAAAUUGAAUGGAAGGAUAAGCAAUUACAAAGAGACAAAAAUUAAAGACGUUGUAAUAUAUUUGAAAAAAAUAAGGACCAAGUAGUGUAUUUGACCUAAAUUAAGGGAUUAAAUAGUAAUUCUCUCAGUUUAUAAUUUGGGACUCAAUUCACUGCUCUAUAAUAAUAAUAAUAAUAAUAUUUGUUGGUUGUUAGUAAAAUGUGAAACGGCAUGUUAAAGAUGAUUCAUUUUUUGAACUUGCUUUUCACGUUAUUUGCACUACAUACUUGUGACCUAAUUUUCCAUAUAAUGUUUUACGUAUGAUACAUUAUACGUAUUCUAUAUUACUACAAAUUUUAGAAACCAAUAUUAAUUUUAUCAUGCAACUCUUCAAACUUGAGUUCAAAUGUAGUUCCUUACUGUUGUAAUAAUAUAUUACUAAUGAUAUUUUAUCCUAAUAAUGCAAAUAGUUUAACCUUAUUACAAAUCCUAAUCUUUUUUUAUAAAAUAAAAAAUAGAAAAAAAUAGUUUCAACAUAGGAUUCCUAAUAUUUCUAAAGAUAUUCUUAUUUAAUUUUUUAAGAAAUAUUAGAAUUUCCAAUAAAAUUAAAAUUUUCAUAAUAUUAAAUUUCUAAAGAUAUUAUUACAUCAUUUUGUAAAAAUAUUAAGAUUCUCCGAUUGAAUUAAAAUAUUUCUCUUCCCUAAUUGAGUUGAGAUAUUACUAAUUGAGUUGGAUAAAUCAGUAAAUUAACAAUAAAUGAGUAAACGAAAUCGUUGUUAUAUAAGGUCAAGGUUAAGUAAUACCUUCUUAAUUUUUUCUUUUUAAAUAUGUUUCAGAAAAGCAUUAAACAUUCAACUUGCUGAGUAUAAAAUAUUUUCGUCUUGGAUUCAUUAAAUUUUAAUUUCCUCAUAUUUUAUUUUAAAUAUAUCUAUAUAUAUGUAUAAAAUACAUGAAAUUUUGCAGAUUUGUAUAAUUAUAAUUAAUGCUUCUCAUACAACUUAAUAUGGAUGCCAUCUUCAAUUCUCAAUAUAGGACCCCUACAAAUCUUCCCUUCCUUGACAUUUUUCCACCUAUCAUUAUUCAAAUACAGAAUUAAUUAAUUAGCGAUAUCUCAUAAUAUUAAGAAUAUAUAUAUGUAGUUAAUUAGUUAAUCUGAAUUAAUGAAAGAUUAGGCAUAGACAAGGAGGAGAAAUAUACCUGUACUUUGUGACGAGGACAUGAAGGAACAUAGAGAUAAAAGCUCUACUGUAUUCUGCUCCUGCACAUUGUCUUGUUCCUCCACCAAAAGGAGUAAAAUUCUUUGAUAUUGUUUGAGAAUCCAAGUCCUAUAAUUAAUCAAUCAUUAUCCCAAAAUCAAAUUUCAAAUAUCAAUUUCUUCCUUUUAUUCUCCUUCAAGAAAAUAAUUAAGGAUUAUGGUAAACAAUGGAAAUGGCAUAAUCUGCAAAGUUCAGUAGUAAAAUAAAGAAGAAAGAAAUAACUGUCAAAUAGCUUAAUUAAUUACCUUCCAACGCCAUGGAUUAAACUCGACUGGAUCUUUGUAGAUCUCAGGGUUCAUAUGGCGAGAAGAAGUGAGAACCAUUAUUGUCCAACCAGCAGGAAUUGUAUAUCCUUUUCAUAAAAAAAUAUAUAUAUAUUAAAAAAAUAUUAAAAUAAGCUUGAACAAGGUUUUCAUUAAUUUCAAUUAAUAAGAAAAUAAAAGAUUUAGAAUAAGAAAAACAUACCUUUGUAAUGAAUAUCUCUUAGUGUUCUUCUCAACAAUCCAGGAGCAACAUUUGCUAUCCUAAGUGUUUCAUUGAUGACCUAUCAAUUAUUCCACAUGCCGAUAAGAUAUUUUUGUAUCUAUCUAUAUAUUGUAUGCUUUAAUUAACUAACUUAAACAAAAAUCACCUGAAGGGUAAAAGUCAUUGAUUUAUAAUCUUCCCAUGUAAUUGAAGAAUCUAACCCUUUUUCUUUUUUAUUUUUGAGAAUUUCCUCAUGCUCAGCCUGUGCAAAAUUUAAUAAUUAUUGUUAAUAUUUGGUUAUUAGAAUUCAUCAUAUAUAAUUAAGAUUAUUGUUAGUGUACGUCUUACUGUCAGCUCUUCUACUACAGAUGGUUGGGCUGAAAGGAACUUGACAAGUAAUGCUAUUGUCAUUGGAAUUGACUCAGAAAUAGCAAACAAAGCCCCAAAGAGAAUUUGAAUUAUGAAAUCAUCUGUUAUGAAAUUCUCUUUUUCCAUAUCAUCCAAUAUUUGUUUCAGCACAUCUUCUUCACUCUUCUUAGUAGAGUUUCGUCUUUCUCUUAGCACAUUCUUUAACAAUUUCAUCACCUUCUCCCGGUCCUAGUCAUAACCAAACAAACUAUGUUAAUUUGCAAUCAAAUUAAACUUUCACAUCAUUAUAACUCGAGUCUAUCCUAAUUAUUUAUUUCAAAAGUAAUUAGAUGAGAUACUUUAUGCACUAUGCACUAGUUCACUAUCUUUUUUUAAAAAAUAUAUUAUUUCAAAAAAAUCUGAAUUACCUCUAGACUUUGGUGGUAUGCAGUACCGGGAAUAUUAAGUGGAAAUGACACAAGACUUUCUGCAAAUUUUGCAAAUCUUUCGCUCAUAUUGAAUGGUGAUUUUUCAGCCUCAUAACCAAAGAGAAACUUGGCGCUAAAAUCACAAAUUACCUGCAAUAACCCAGAAAAAGAAAAUUAGCACAAACCCUUAUUUAUUUUAUGUAACUAAUAGCCUGCAGAGCUUGGAAUUUACAGCUGAAGCAGCAUGUUUGACUUCAAUGGUUGGUUGUUUACACCAUGACUGUAAAGUUGUAUGAAUUAAUUCUUGUAUUUGAUGAAGCAGUUUAUCUUUUAGCCUCUCAGCACCAAAAUGAGUCAAGAAAAGACCUCUCAUAUACUUAUGAAUAUAACCAGUUGCCCCAGUAGGUCUUGAUUCACCAUCUAGCACAAACAAGUUAGAAAAUGUGUCCAUAUACCAUAAUUCUACUAAUCUUCUUUCUUGAAUAAAGAUGUAAUGAUUGAGUUCAGGAUCUGCAGUAAAUACAAUUGGUCUACCCGCCACAUUACUUCGAAAUAUAGGACCAUACCUGAAAGAAUUUUCAAUUGCUUAAAAUAUUUUUAUAAUGAAGGUCUACUGAAAUUCAAGAAAGGAGAUUGUUUUACCUCUGGAUUCUCUUUCUGAUGAAAGGAUGCAGAUCAAGAGAAUAGCGAGGAAUUAGCAGCUGAAGAGUCUCUCCAAGAAGAGGCAAUCCCAUGGAACCAGGAGGAAGAACACCAUUGCAUUUUGGGUUCCUCCAUCUGUUAAUCCAAUAAGUUAAGAAUAUAAUAAAGAAAGCUCCAAAGAGCAACUCAGUCAUCAACAUUUCUAUAAGUGAUAAACCUUGUUUUGUGAUUCUAGCUAAACAAAUAUAAAUAGCUCUUUUCAUGAAUUUGAACUGAACCUCUCCACUUAUAUAGGCUUCCUUAAUUUCAUGAAUAUAGUUAUCGUAACAAAUGGCAUAAUCAUGCGUCCGGCAUUUAUAAGGGAAAUCUACUAUUUAGUCCCUCAAUUUAGGUCAAAUCUACUACUUCAUCCUUACUUUUUCUAAAAUACAUUUUUACAUUCUUAACUUAUAAUUUUAUCCCUCUGUCCAAUUUUAAUGUAUUUUGCCAUGAGUCAAAGUGAAAAAACAGGCCAGUGGAGAGAGGAAGAUUUUUAAUGACCAAAAUGUCCCUUAGCACAUGUGUAACUGAAAACUAAGAAGAUAAAAAAGAAAAAACAACAACUAAAUUGAACUUAAAUAAAACCAAAUAACAGAACCGAAAACGAAGAUGCAAACUUUUUUGAAGUCGAUUUUCUAAACGAAACAUCAAAUUUGAAAGUUUAAUUUCUUCACCUUUUCUCAUCUAAUCGCUUUUUUUUAUCUUCGUUAUGGAAAUUAGAAGCUAUCAACAAAAGACCCACAAGAGAGAGAUAAAGGAAACGAAGAGGAUGAUUUCGAUUCAAAGAUCCUAACAACAUUUUUUUUUUUUUUUUUACUUUGAUUUUAACAUUUUGAUUUUGAUUUUGCUAACUCUGGUAAUAGUUUCUAUCUAUUGCCUUCAAUUUUGACAAACACGAUCUUCAAUUUGGAGAAGAUCAGUUUAUGGUUUUCUUCAUAUUAGGGUAUUUUUGUCUUUUGAUAGUAAUUUAAUAGUAAAAAUCCAUAAAAAUUGAAUAGAAAUUAGAAAUAUAAUAAAAAUUAGAAAUAUAAUAAAGUAUUUUGAAAAAGCGAGGAUGAAGUAGUAUAUUAACCUAAAUUAAGGGAUUAAAUAAUAAUUCUCCCCCAUUUAUAAUUUGGGCUUCAACCGACUGUUUUAUAAUAAUAAUAUUUGUUGGUUGUUAGAAAAAUGUGAAGCAGCAUGUUAAAGAUGAUUAGUUUUUUGAACUUGCUUUUCACGUUAUUUGCACUACAUACUUGUGACCUAAUUUUUCAUAUAAUGUUUUAUUUAUGAUACAUUAUAAGUAUUCUAUAUUACUACAAAUUUUAGACACUAAUAUUAAUUUUAUCAUGCAACUCUUCAAACUUGAGUUUAAAUUUUAUCUCUUGCUGUUAUAAUAACAAAUUAUACUAAUGAUAUUUUAUACUAAUAAUGCAAAUAGUUAACCCUAUUACCAAUCCUAAUCUUUUUUUAUAAAACAAAAAAUAGAAAAAAAAUAGUUUCAACAUAGGAUUCAUAAUUAUCCUACUAUUUCUAAAGAUAUUGUUAUUUAAUUUUUUAAGAAAUAUUAGAAUUUCCAAUUAAAUUAAAAUUGUCAUAAUAAUAAAUUUCUAAAGAUAUUAUUACAUUAUUUUGUAAAAAUAUUAAGAUUCCCUAAUUGAAUCAAAAUAUUUAUCUUCCCUAAUUGAGUUAAAAUUAUUUUAUUUAUCUUUUUUAUGAAAUAUAUUAAGAUUCUUAAUUUGAUUUUAAAUAUUAUGUUUUCAAGCUGAGUUUAAAUUUAAUAUUAUUAAUUAAGAAUAUAAAUCUGUCUUUUUUUUAGAUACCUGUUCUUUUUUUUUUUGUGGGUAAACAACUGGUACUUAAGACCCUAUUAUCAAGAACCACCUAAUUCAGCUCAGAGUUUAGUUACAGUUAAGACUUUUCGCCCCUCCCUGCAAGUGUGUUUAGUGGGAUCGAAUCCGAAAGUUCUUUCAACCUGCGUUGCAAACUGAGUCAGAACCCGUAAAUUAGAUAUUUGUUCGUUAGUGUUAUAAUAACUAAUUACGAAGGAUAAAAAAAAUCUAAAGGAUCCACAUACCAAUUCUCCACUUAAUAAAUGUAAAAAGAAUAAUAAAUAUCUCAUUAUAAGAAUUGAUAUUUAACUUGCAAUCCUUAAAAGAAGUAGUAUGGAUAAACUAGUCGUUAGUUCGCGCGCUGGUAUUCAUAUAUUACUUGAUAAUUAUUAUGAUUGAAAUACUUUGAAAUGUUUUUAAUUUGUAAGUUAUAUUGAAAAUUUUUUAUCAAUAAUAAUAAUUAACUUUAUAAAUCUAUGAUUAUUUUGAAUUAAAAUAAUUAUUGAUUUAAUAUUUUAUAUACAUAUUCAAUAUAGUAGGAAUAAUUUCAAAAGUCAAUUUGAUAUAUUUUUUUUUUUUCAUAACAAUGCAAACAGAUCACGGUUGUAAAUUUGAAAUAAAUUUGAAUUUUAGUUUUAAACGAAAAACUAUACAAAUCAAGCAAGGUAUCAAUUAGCAGCGCAAGUGAUUGAACAACAGCUUGGAACUCAGCAUAAUAUUUACCAAAAUCCCUCACAAAGCUGUCCCAUUAUCCAAUGAUAAUUGAUCUAAGGUAGUCAAUACUUGUAAUGGGUGAUACCAUAUUAUCUUCUUAGUAAUUGAAAUCCAUCGAAUAAUUACCGUUGAUAAAAGCACAAUAAAGAAAAAAUUAAAAAAAAAAAAUGGGAAAAGUAGAAGAAAGAAGAAAGGAAAAACAUAUGUAAGGUUUCACAAAAAUUAGCAUUUUUUUUUAGGAAAAACAUACCAAAUUUCAUCAAAGGAAGUUAUUGCCUAAUACAAAUGGAGAAAUAGAGAUAGCAACCUCCUCAAUCCAGACUUGAUCAAUUAAAGUAAGAAAAAAAAAAAAAAACUGACUGAGCAAUGAAAAUCAGCUACCUUAUUCCUUUCUCGAUAAAUAUGGAGAACACAAAAAAUAAUUAAAUUAAGAUGAAAUCAGUAAGGUAUUAAUAAUGCGGGUGCCCAAAUCAGUUCGAGUCACCUUCUUGUUCUUCAAACUGUUAACUAGGGGAAGAUAAUCCGAUUCAAGAAUAAUGUUACCAUGAACAGUAGCUCUAUUUGAUCAUGUUCAAAAUGAGUAGAAACUGUCAAAAUCAGGAACAAACAGAAUCAGCAGUAGUAACUGUAAGGUUUAGAUAGAGUAGUAUUAUAUGAAUUGUAAUCUGUACAUUUUUAAUAAAAGAUGUUUUGCAUUUAUACAAGUUACAAGAGUAUUUUUGAAUAAGAUAUAAGGAUUAAAAACCAUACUAACAGAUAUACUAAGAAUAUAGUUAUACAAAAUGAUAAACCUAAACACUCCCCCCUCAAGUUGAGUGGGAGCACAAAUACGACGCUUGCUGUAGUGAAAUGAGAACGAAGCUUGAGCCAACAGCUUAGUCAUGAUGUCAGCUAUUUGAUCUGAACUUUUGCCAAAACGAACCUAAACCAAUCCGAGCUUGAGUUGAUCCGAAUAAAAUGGUAAUCAAUUUCCACACGCUUGGUUCGAGCAUGAAAAACAAGAUUGGAACAAGGAUAACUGCACUUAUAUUAUCACACCAUAAAGUCUUCGAAAGAGAAGUGGUACAACCGAGUUAACGAAGAAGAAUUGUUAGCCACAUUAUUUCCGUAGUUGUAUUGGCCAAUGCUUUGUACUCACUUUUGGUUGAAGAUCUAGCAACUGUGGGCAGGGGCGAAGCCACGUUGAUGAGAGGAUGGACAAUUGCCGCCCCCCCCAAAUCAAAAAAAUUUUUCAAAAAAUAGCUUACCUUAGCGUUGAUGAAACUCUAGCCUUUUAGCAAAUUACAACAAACCUUCACCACUUUGUCCCCCAUAACUUAUACAUUUAAGUAUUUGCCCCCUAAAUUUAAACCCUAUCUUUGCCCCCGACUGUGGGUUGCUUGUUGGAAGACCAAGACAUAAGAUUACUACCCCAAUAAAUAACAUAACCAUUUGUAGACCGCCUGUCAUCAGGGCAUCCUGCCUAAUCACCAUCGGAGUAGAGCUAAAAAUUGGAUUUUUGGGACAAUACAGAUCCAUGAGAAGAGGUUGCAUGAAGAUAGUGCAAUAGAUGUUUGCAAGCCUGCUGAUGAACAUCUGUUGUGCAGUGCAUGAAAUACUUGUGACCUAAACUAUAUUGAACGAGAGUUGGCCCCAAACAUCAGAAAAAAUAAAUUUCAAAAGGACUUGAACCAGUGUGCUCUUUAGAUGCUAAAGAUACACGAUAUGUUUUCCUAAUCAACAACUAGAACAUGGACUCAAAGCAGAAGAAGAAAUUGAAAUUUGUUUAUUUUUAACCAAUGAAGAUAAUUUUUUAACAUUAGGGUGUCCAAGUCCACAAUGUCACUCAUCAAUAGAAGGAGAGGUGGUAUAGCAGUGCCAGUCAUCAAUAGAAGGAGAGGUGAUAGCAGUGAAAGCCUUAGGCAAGGCUAGUCGUAAAGUGUAGACACCAUCUAGAUCCUCACUUAGGUCUUGCAGCAACAUUCUCUUGGUUGUUUGGUUCUUUAUAACAAAAUGAUUUGGCUAGAAUUCAAAAAAGCAGGAAUUGUCAAUAGCUAAUUUUUGGACAAAUAAUAAAUUUUCUUAAUAUCAGGAACACAUAAAAUUUUAUUCAAUCAAAAAGAACCAGUAGAGUUAGGAAGUAUGUAGUUGCCUGUAUGAAAAAUGUGCAAACCCUUGUCCAUUGCCAACAUACAGUUGUUUAAACAUGUGUAUUCAUUUAUGGUAGUCAUAGCGUGAGGGGUCAGAGUCAUACGAUAAUUUGCAGUCGUGUCAAGAAACCAAUUUGGCAUAGCAGCAGUGGAGACAUUUGCAACAACAUGAGAAAAUUGAGCAUUGGAGCGCUAAAAAUUAUUGGAAUUGUUCCCUUGCUCAUGAUUGUACCGGCAACAACAACUCAAUGUCGUGUGAUAAUAUUGUUAUUGAAUUAUGUAUUCUAUAUUUAUUUGUUUUGAAUUAUGUGCUAUGUUUUGGAAGUAUUCUCAUUAAGAAUUUCAUCAUAAUUUAUUAUUUCAGUUUGAUAAACCUGCAAUCCCCAAAUUCAAACCAAAUUUGAUAAACGAAUAGUAAGUAAUAAUUGCAGUAUUCACCAACUAUAUUCAAAGAAAUCCAAUUAGAUUACAUACCUGUGAUAUGAUUCAAAGAGGUUGCUAUGUAUGAAUGUUGAAGAGGAAUAGUAAAGAGUAUCCUUUUGGCCCAAAGCCAUAGUCAAUGUUACUUCUUUUUUUUUUCUUCUUUUCAUUCUGGCACUGUUGCACUUGUGUUUUCUUUUUUUUUCUUUUUUUUUUUUCCCUUGCGACUUGAGUUUUCUUUCCUUCUUUUUUUUAAUGUUUUGGCGUUGCUGCACUUGUGUGUUCUCUUUUUUACUUUCCUAUGUUUUUGUGCUACUAUGAGUUUUCUUUUUUUUUUUUUUUUUCCCUUUUAUAAUGUUUUAAAUUAGUGGCUUAAAAAAAUCCUCUUUAGUUAGACUAUAUUUGUUAUGGGUCCCUCCAACAUGUGGGAUCCAUACACAUUUGAAAAGAAAAAAAAGAAAGAAGAGAUUCAAACGUGUGGGACCCACACACGUUUGAAUAAAGAAAAAAAUAAAAGACGUUUUUGUUAUUGUUUUGGUGGCAGUCAAAUAGGACGGUGCCAAACAAAGAAAAAAAAAGGAAAAAAAAAGAAAAGUGGACGCGUGAUUAACGCGUCCACUGCGUCCUCAAAGCGUACAAAAACAAAACAUAAAACAAAGAUUAUAAUUUUAGGAAAGAGUUCCUAAAAUUGGGAAAGAGAGAAAAUAGUGAGGAUUGUAAUUUUUAGGGUGUUUUUGUUUAAACACUUAGAGUGUCACUAUUUUUGUAAUCUCUUUUGUACCUACUAUUUUUAGUAGAAGAAUUAUUCGGAGUUUUUGUCCCGUGGAUGUAACCCAUAACAGUUGAAGGGUGAACCACGUAAAUUUUGGUGUUCUUAUUUUUCAUCUGGGAUUUACGGUGAUUAUUUAAUUUUUACCGUGAUUAUUAUUUCUGGUGGAUUCAAUCGUCAAUAUUCAAUAUUUAAUUAUUGGAGGUAUAUGUGGUAAUAGUAAUUUUAUUUUACUUUUACCACCGGUAUUUUUCCGCGGGCCCCACUCAGGAUCAGUUAGAAUCCCAACAACUGGUAUCAGAGCCUUUGGUUGGUAAAUUCUGUCAAAGUUACUAUUCACAUGAAUAGUGAAUUUCGUGAAUAGUGAAAUUUUGUCAGAUUCAGAAUUUAACAUGGCUAACGACAGGGCAAUGAUCAAAUUGACGGAUUUGAAUUAUUCAAUGUGGAAAUCCAGAAUGGAGGACUACCUGAAUUGUAAAGAUCUGUACGAUCCAAUUGAAGGUGACAGUGCAAAGCCGGAAGAAAUGAAAGAAAGGCAGUGGGAGAAAUUAAAAAAGCAGACAUUGGGUACAAUACGCCAAUGGAUAGAUGCUAGCCUGUACAACCAUGUGAGAAAUGAAAAAGAUCCCCAAGUUCUCUAGAAGAAAUUNNNNNNNNNNNNNNNNNNNNNNNNNNNNNNNNNNNNNNNNNNNNNNNNNNNNNNNNNNNNNNNNNNNNNNNNNNNNNNNNNNNNNNNNNNNNNNNNNNNNNNNNNNNNNNNNNNNNNNNNNNNNNNNNNNNNNNNNNNNNNNNNNNNNNNNNNNNNNNNNNNNNNNNNNNNNNNNNNNNNNNNNNNNNNNNNNNNNNNNNNNNNNNNNNNNAGUACCAGUUCACAAGCCCUUGUCACAGAGAAUAGGGCCCGGAGCAAGAGUAGAGGUCCAAAGCAUGUAAACUCAGGUGGUAGAUCCAAGUCCAGAGAAAUGAGAAAGUGUUACCGUUGCGGUAAGGAGGGACAUCUCAAAAGAAAUUGCCGUUUACUAAAACAGGAUAAUACAGACCGAAGACAAGAGAAUGACAUAAAUACAUCUGCUACAGUCUCAGGAGAAGAUGGUGAGGUGACUUUAGUCACUCAUGAUGCAGAUUGUUGUCAUGCUGGAGAUACAGAUACCGAAUGGAUAGUAGACUCCAGUGCUUCAUACCACUGUGUUCCAAAAAGGGAAUACUUUUCCACUUAUAAAGCAGGAGACUUUGGCACCAUUAAAAUGGGAAAUAAUAGUGUCUCGCAAGUGGUGGGAAUCGGUGAUAUCUGCAUAAAGACAAGUGUCGGGUGCACAUUAACACUUAAAAAUGUGNNNNNNNNNNNNNNNNNNNNNNNNNNNNNNNNNNNNNNNNNNNNNNNNNNNNNNNNNNNNNNNNNNNNNNNNNNNNNNNNNNNNNNNNNNNNNNNNNNNNNNNNNNNNNNNNNNNNNNNNNNNNNNNNNNNNNNNNNNNNNNNNNNNNNNNNNNNNNNNNNNNNNNNNNNNNNNNNNNNNNNNNNNNNNNNNNNNNNNNNNNNNNNNNNNNNNNNNNNNNNNNNNNNNNNNNNNNNNNNNNNNNNNNNNNNNNNNNNNNNNNNNNNNNNNNNNNNNNNNNNNNNNNNNNNNNNNNNNNNNNNNNNNNNNNNNNNNNNNNNNNNNNNNNNNNNNNNNNNNNNNNNNNNNNNNNNNNNNNNNNNNNNNNNNNNNNNNNNNNNNNNNNNNNNNNNNNNNNNNNNNNNNNNNNNNNNNNNNNNNNNNNNNNNNNNNNNNNNNNNNNNNNNNNNNNNNNNNNNNNNNNNNNNNNNNNNNNNNNNNNNNNNNNNNNNNNNNNNNNNNNNNNNNNNNNNNNNNNNNNNNUAGAGAUUAUUGUAGUCAGCACGGUAUCAGGCAUGAAAAGACAGUUCCUGGUACGCCUCAACACAACAGCGUUGUUGAACGGAUGAAUCGCACCAUUAUUGAGAAAGUCAGAUCCAUGCUCAAAAUGGCCAACUUACCUAAGCCAUUUUGGGGAGAAGCUGUCAAUACUGCUGUUUACCUAAUCAACCGACUACCUUCAGCACCAUUGGAUUUUGAUAUCCCGGAGAAGGUCUGGACAUGUAGAAAUAUUUCAUACUCUCAUCUGAGGGUAUUUGGCUGCAAGGUAUUCAUGCAUGUUCCGAAGGAGCAGAGAUCAAAGCUUGAUGACAAGUCAGUUCCCUGCACUUUUGUUGGUUAUGGAGACGAAGAGUUUGGCUACAGGUUAUGGGACCCAGUGAAAAGAAAGUUGUUUGGAGCCGAGGAGUAGUAUUCCACGAGAAUGAGAUCGUGGUAGAUACAACUUGUGAAGACUCCACAAGUAAUGGUGUUGUUGAUAUUACACUAUGAAGCAUUCCUACAGAUGAUGCCACAGGAGGAGUAAUGUCAGAAUCAGAACAAGAAGAAGAAGAAGAGCCAGUCACAGGGGAUCAAGAGACAAUUGUAGAUGAUAAUGAUGUAGAGAGUGUUGAGCAAGGGGAGCCAGAGAACCCCAUUACACCAAAAGGAGUUGAACCUCAGUUAAGAAGGUCAACCAGAGAACGCCAACCAUCUACAAGGUACCCUAGUUCUGAUUACAUUUUAAUUUCUGAUGAGGGGGAGCCAGAGAGCUUCCAAGAUGUGCAAUCUUGCAAAGAUAAAGAUUGUUGGACAAAGGCCAUGCAAAAAGAGAUGAAUUUUUUGAAAAGAAUGACACAUAUGAGUUGGUGAAACUUCCAAAAGGGAAGAGAACACUCAAGAACAAAUGGGUGUACAAACUGAAGAAAGAUGAUGGCAACCUAGUGAGAUACAAAGCUCGAUUGGUCGUCAAAGGCUUUACUCAAAAGAAAGGUAUUGACUUUGAUGAGAUUUUUUCACCAGUUGUGAAAAUGAGUUCUAUUUGAGUUGUGCUAGGUCUAGUAGCCAGUUUGAAUCUUGAGUUAGACCAGCUUGAUGUAAAGACCGCAUUUUUGCAUGGGGAUCUAGAGGAAGAAAUCUAUAUGGAACAACCAGAAGGUUUCAAGGUCAAGGGAAAAGAGGACAUGGUUUGUCGCUUGAAGAAGAGCUUGUACGGGUUGAAACAAGCACCGCGACAGUGGUAUAAAAAGUUUGAUUCUUUCAUGGUGAAUCAAGGCUACAAAAGGACAGAUGCAGAUCCUUGUGUAUAUGUUUAGAAAUUUCCUGAUGGUAAAUUUAUCAUCCUUCUCUUAUAUGUUGAUGAUAUGCUAAUCGUUGGACCAGAUGUACACAUGAUUAGCAAGUUAAAGAUUGAUUUGUCAAAAGCAUUUGACAUGAAGGAUUUGGGAUCGGCAAGACGAAUUCUCGGAAUAGAGAUUAAUCGAGACAAAAAGUCCUGCAGGUUAUGGUUAUCACAGGAAAAAUAUAUUGAACGAGUUCUAGAGAGGUUCAAUAUGAAGAAUGCUAAACCAGUUAGCACUCCGCUUGCCGCUCACUUCAAGUUGAGUAAGAAAUCCGACCCAUCAACAAAGAAAGAAAAAGGAGAUAUUUCAAAUGUUUUAUAUUCUUCAGCGGUCGGAAGUUUAAUGUACGCAAUGGUGUGUACAAGACCAGAUAUCGCUCAUGCAGUUGGCAUUGUGAGUCGAUUUCUGUCAAAUCCCCAGAAGACACAUUGGAAAGCAGUGAAGUGCAUCUUCAAAUACCUGAGAGGAACUUCAAAGUUAUGUUUAACUUUUGGAGGUGAAAAGCUGCACUUGUUGGUUACACAGAUGCAGAUAUGGCCGGUGAUCUUGAUGAAAGAAAAUCUACAUCAGGACCUAUUUACAUUCUCAGGGGGAGCUAUUUCAUGGCAGUCAAGAUUACAAAAAUGUGUUUCGUUAUCAACGACUGAAGCAGAGUACGUUGCAGCAACGGAAGCAGGAAAGGAAAUGCUUUGGUUAAAGCGAUUCUUUCAAGAAUUGGGUGUGCAACAUGAAGAAUAUAUAGUUUAUUGUGAUAGUCAAAGUGUGUUAGACUUGAGCAAAAAUACUAUGUAUCAUGCACGGACGAAGCACAUUGAUGUAAGAUAUCAUUGGCUCAGACUUGCCAUUGAAGAGAAGCAGUUUCAGUUGCAAAAGAUCCACACGGACAGAAAUGCUGCAGAUAUAUUAACAAAGGUCGUUUCGAAUGAGAAGUUCGAGUUAUGUGUCAAAGCAGUAGGGAUGGAGAGUCCCACCAUGUAGUCGGGAGGGAGAGAAUUGUUAUGGGGUCCCUCCAACAUGUGGGACCCACACACAUUUGAAAAGAAAAAAAUAUAAAAGAAGAGAUUCAAACGUGUGGGACCCACACACGUUUGAAUGAAGAAAAAAAUAAAACACGUUUUUGUUUUGGUGGCAGUCAAAGAGGACGGUGCCAAACAAAGAAAAAAAAAAGGAAAAAAAGGGAAAAGUGGACGCGUGAUUAACGCGUCCACUGCGUCCCCUUCUCCUUUUUAUAGGAGAAGGAUUUUCACUUCAAAACGUACAAAAACAAAACAUAAAACAAAGAUUAUAAUUUUAGGAAAGGGUUUCUAAAAUUGGGAAAGAGAGAAAAUAGUGAGGAUUGUAAUUUUUAGGGUGUUUUUAUUUAAACACUUAGAGUGCCACUAUUUUUGUAAUCUCUUUUGUACCUACUAUUUUUAGUAGAAGAAUUAUUCGGAGUUUUUGUCCCGUGGACGUAGCCCAUAACAGUUGAAGGGUGAACCACGUAAAUCUUAGUGUUCUUAUUUUUCAUCUGGGAUUUACGAUAAUUAUUUAAUUUUUAUCGUGAUUAUUAUUUCUGGUGGAUUCGAUCAUCAAUAUUCAAUAUUUAAUUAUUGGAGGUAUAUGUGGUAAUAGUAAUUUUAUUUUACUUUUACCACUGGUAUUUUUCCGCGAGCCCCACUCGGGAUCAGUUAGAACCCAACAAUAUUUAUUGCAAAACCCUAUUGUUUAAAAGAAAUAAAUUAUUAAAAUUCCUUCUUAAAUUAAAAUUGUCCCCUAAGUUUAAUUGAAAUAUGAGCAAGACAUCAUAAUAAACUCAAAUUGUCCCUUUGUGUCUUGUUAUCAUAAAAAAAGGACAAUUUUUAAAAUUGUCUCCUAAUCACAAUGGAUUAUGACUUUUGGAGACAAAUAAUAUUCAUUGUUCCCAAUUAUCGUCCCCUUUUAUCACUUUUUUUUGUAGUGUUAGUAGAUAUUGAGAUACAAAAAUACCAUAUUUUUUUAACUCUUGCAACUCGAUAUGAAGCUGCAAUUUUGAGAGAUAGAACCAAAAGCAUUUGGCAAGCUAAUCCAUACAGUAAAGAAAGAAUCAAUACCAAUAAUAAGGGGAAAGACUUGUUCAGAUAGUGAAGAAAGAAGCCAAGAUUGAAGCAUUUGAUCCUUUUUGAACCAUGCUUCAUAAUUAGGAUUAGGAACCUGAAUAUUGAGAUCUGUAGGAGAAGCAAUGUUUUUAGAAGGAGGAAGUUAUGUGCCAUCUAUAUAGCCAUGAAGAUUCUGAUAAUUCAAAACGGGAGUGAACUGAGUUUUUGAUGAGAGAUAAUUUUUUGCAAUUGAGUUUGAUAAAAAAAAAAAAAAAAGAAUGGGAUGCAGUCAUGGUGGGCGUGGAGAGGGAAGAAGAAGAAGGAAUGAGUGCCAUUAGAAGAAAUAUGGGUUAGAUGAGAGGCUCUGAUACCAUGUAAAGUUUAAAUACAAUAGAAUGAUUUGAAUUGUAAUCUGUAUAUUUUUUGUAAUGGAGGUUUUGCCUUUAUACAAAUUAUAGGAGUAUUUUGAAUAAGGGAUAAGGAUAAGAAUACAACUAUAAAAAAUGAUAAAUUUUACUAGUAGCAAGCUGGAGACAAAGUAAACUGAGUAUCUGGACCUGUUGAGCCACUGGACAUUUAACAAGCGAAUGUAACAGUGUCUCCUCCUCUUCUCCAUACAGUUCAUAGAUUGGAUCAACGCCCAUUUUCCUCUUAAUCAACUUGGUUUUUAAUAUUUAUUCUUUUUCACUGUCAUAAUAAUGAUAGAUAAUUGUAAUACUAGAAUGAAAAAAUAAUAAUAAUCAAGUUCCUCUAUCUAUUUCAAAAAUAUGUAAGAAUUCAAAAAAAUAAGCAUUAAAGAGUUAAAAAAAAAAAAAGUUAUAAUCAUGAACCAAAUUAAGAUCCUAAGCAACUGUUAUAUUUGUACUAAUUCAAAAUUAAUCAAUAAGGAUAAUCAUAAUGUAAGGAGUACGUGAAUUAAUGCCUAACCAUUUAUAGCUAAUAAAACUAACAAAGAAAAUAACACUUGUGUGGUAUUGUUUUUUUUUUUUUUUUUUUCUAGAUGUUAGUUAGUCAAAAUUUGUCACGCACAACUCUAAUCACCAGAAGAAUUGUUUGUUUUGGUAAAAUGAAAAACUUCCCAGGAGGUCACCCAUCCUGAAAUUUCUAUUAAGCGAGCACGCUUAAACCCUGGAGUUCUUCCAAAUCUCCAGCCAUUCCACCAAAAAGCGCCUCUAAUGAUUAGUUUUCCCCUUUUCGAUAUAUGAUUCCGAUGACUUAUAUAUAAUAUCCGCAUUGAAAUUGAAAUGCUUUGAUAUAUUUUCAGGGUCUCGCCAUAAUUUUUUUGUUUCUUCUUUCUCUGUUUGUUUAUCGAUUGAUUUUUCUCCGGGAUCUUUAAAUGCUAAGGAGCUAUUUAAUUGUGUUCUUUGCUUAAAAUUUACUUUUAAAGCACUUAAAGUUUCAUGUUCCUUAAUUUUGUUUUCCACAGCAGCAGCUAUUAUUUUGUUUUGCUUUUGGGAAGGCAUGAAUUACUGCUUUUGCAUUUAUUUUCUACAGUUCAGAUAACAUAACAGGUUUCAUAUUUUACUUUUGAUGGUUCAAUCUUUUAUUUUUCAAAGUGCUGCUGUGCUGGUCGUGUAAAAUGCUGAAACAUAGAUUACGACAAACAAACUCUUCUUUCUACAUCAACGGCCAACUGCUAUUCAAUUUAGAAACAGCAAAAAUCAUUUUUCAUCUGGCCUUUAUUUUUAUGUGUAUAUAUAACUAGAUGUAAGUAUAUGCAGAAAGAGAGAAAAGAAGAAAGAAAAGCACUUUAACAGAGUAACCCGCGCAUUGCGCUGUCUCUAGUUAUUAUAAAAACUAUAAUCAAAACAUCUAGGAAACUUUGGAGGUGUUCUCCCACUAUUGCUUGACCAAAAAUUAAAGAGAAGAAAGUCAAUAAAAAUAAUUAUAUUUAAUUAUGUAUUACUUUAAUUUCCUUAUAUGUUAAUACUUGUCAUUAGCAAUAAUAAUAAAUUAAUUUGGGAUACUUAAUUAGCUUCAAUUAUAUUUAGUACUAGGUAGUACCUCGCACUUCGCACUGAUCUACAAUAUUUAUAUUUUUAUUUAAGUUAUAAGAUUGGUGUACAAGUAAAAUUCAAAUACGGAUAAUAUAACUAAUAAUAACCAUCAUUUUUUAAAAACAAAAAUAAUAAUAAUAAUAACUAUUUUAAUAACUAAUAAUCUAACAUUGCACUUCUUUUAAUAAAGGUAAAUUGGGACCGGUCGGUCACAAUUGUUUUAAAAUGAGUCACUGACUCUGAAAAUAAAAUUAAUAAUAUAACAGCUGAUACACAUCGUAGGCAAAAAAUAAAAUUCCAUUAUAAACUCGUCGCAAAAUCAAUCACAUAACAGCUCGGCAAAGAAUAUCGCAAAAAACAAUGACUCAUUACAAAUCGGUCACAUAAAUGGUUGCAAUUUAGUCACAAUUCUGUCCCAAUAUAAUUCUUAUCUUUCUAAUUAUAAACAUGAUGCACUGGGUAAGCAAAAUAGUUGCAAAUUUGUGACGGAUUAUAUCGUCGCGAAAAUUAAUUUUUUUUGUAGUAUUAGAAUAUAUGAAUUUCAUAAAAUUUUAAGCAUUCAUUUAUAAAUAUAAAUUUUUGUGUUUAAUAUAAAAAAAUUAAACAAUUCAAUUCUAUGGAUUUGAAACAUAAUUAAAUUAAAUUCUACUAAAAAAUAUGAAAUUUUUAAAUGAAUUCCAUAAACUUAAAUAACUCAAAACUUUAUAACAAAAUUUCUCAUCCUCCUAUACUCUUAUAAAUUUAUUAUACUAAAGCAUUUUAGGAAUAAAAACAAAUAAAUUUUCAAAUUUUAAAUUUUUUCUAAACAUCGAAAUUCAUUUAUAUGAAUUUCACAUUUUUGAAUUCAUUUAUCACAUAGUGUUAGUUAAAAUAUUAAUAAUAAAUAUUUCUAAAGUUGAGGGCCUGGGGAUGUAUUUAACCCAGCCUAACCCACUUGAACACCUUUCUGUACUUAUAAACGACAUUACCUGCCUGAAACGACAUUAUUCUCCGCGACCGUUCAGGCGCUCAUCCCUUCUACUCUUCUCUAAUAAUUCUCCUGUCGUGUUCUUUCUUUCUCUAGUACCCAAAACCCCAACCAUACUCGAUAACGCUACCAUAGCCUCGGCAACCGUCUCCGACCUCUCGCAGCAACCAUUCAGUAAGUUUUCCUAUAGGUUUCUUUUUUUGAUUUUGAAAGCUCUUUUUUUUUUUGUUCGGAUUAUUUUGUAUAGUGAAAUUGAGUUGAAUUGAUAGCUUCAGAAAUUAUUGAAUCGCAGAGGCGAUGCAUCAUUAUAACUGGAUAAUUAUGAAGGUUUUGAUUGCUUAGGGCUAUAAAGGAGCUUAACAGUCCACAUUAAUACAACGCCGGUAAGAGUGGGCUUCGAUCAUAGCUUUAUAUUGAUUGUUUUUGGUGGUGAACUGUUAAUGGGAGAGGCCAGUGUUCAUUUACUGUAUAAAUAUUCAAAUUUUAAAUAAAUAUUAAAAAAUAACAAGUGGGUUGAGAUUGUUUUGUACAAAAAAUAAAAAUUUGAAUAUAUAAAACUUAAAGUUAGCAGCAUAUAUUCUGAAGUAUCAAUGAAAUAAAGUAAAUAAUUCUAUUUUUGUGGAUUGAUCCAUCUUAGCGUGUUAUGAGAAGCGGCGCUGAAAGAAAAUAACCAAACUGAGAAUACAAAUUCUUUGGGUUUUUUUGAUUCUUCUUUGCUUUUUCAGGUUAUUUUCUCUCUAUCUAUUGCACUGAAUCGAUCGUUUCUUUUUUCUUCAACUGGGUUUCUUUUCAAGCCCCAGAUCUUGCCUCGUCAGUUACCUUCGUGGGUUCUCUCUGAUUUAGCGAGAUCUUGGGUUAAUUUAAUUUUCUGAGAAUUUUAUGUGUUGAUUUAUGUUUAUGUCUUUGUGUUUUCUCUUGCAGUUUUAAUCUGCAUAGAAGCUUGAAUGGCCAACAAGUCAAGAACAAAACCCAGCAAAUUAGCUGUGUACCUUUACAUACCUAAUAUUGUUGGUUGGUUUUCUCGUUUUCUCCCAUUUUUUAAUCUCUUGUUUUUUUUUUUAAAUUUAUUUAUUAUUUUAUCAAUAUUUCAUUGUUUUGUGAACUAAGAGCAGCAAUUCACAUUAAUAGGAAUAUUUGAUGUGUGUAUAUGAAUAAUUUAUUUAUAUUUUAUUUUCUCAUUAAGGAUGCUAUGCAAAUGCAGGGUACACAAGGAUUCUCAUGAAUUGCUUUGCCUUUGCUAUAUGUUUUUCCAACAAAAGGCUUUUCUGCCUUCUUUAUUUUAUUAGGUGAGACGUACCAUUCAAUGAAGUUUCUUUCAGAUUGUGAUCCUCGUCAUUUUCUAGGUGUGCAGAAAUGGGAAUCUAAUAUGAUUGAUUUAUUUCAAUUUCAGCUUUGUUUGUGAUGGCAUUGAUGGUUGGUGUGCCCGUAAAUUCAAUCAAGGUACGGGUUCUUUCCUAAUCUUUUUAUUGCCUCUCAUAUGAAAUUUAGGUGAGCUGACUACUGAAACACCAAAACCUUCUGGUUCUGGCAUGAAAAACUCUUUACUCCUACUGUUAUGAACAUUUUAGACCAUGAAGUUUCAAUUUUAAUGUUACGGGGGAUGUAAGUCUCUCAAAUCGAUGUUCUUGUACAAAACCUCCAUGUAGUGGAGUUUAAUAACUAUAUUAUGAAAUUCCUAAAGUAUGGUCUGUGUGAUUAAAAAAUUGGUGUCGAUUGAAUUAGUAUACUGGUGUCUUUUAUUUGUGACACUAUAGUGGUUGAGCUUGUUGAAGUUUUCAAAUUAACUAUCAAAUUGAUUGUUUAGAAAGCUCUUUGGUUAGCUAGAUAUGCUAAUUAUUGUGAGUGGGCCAUUGUGUUUUAUUUUUCAACAAAAAAACUUGAGACUUUGUGUUGGUGAAUAUUAUUUGAAUUAAUAUUGCAUUGUCAUAGAUACAUUCAGCUAAAUUUGCAGCCAGUUUGAGGAUAUUAGAAUACUCAUCUUUAGUAAUUAGAGGUCUUUUACCUAAAAGAUUACUGGAUUUUACUAGAGGAGGCCUCGUGUUAGGGCACUAAUAAAUGAUAUAUCCACAAACUGCUACUCCCUGUUUCCAGAUGGUUCAUCUAUUUUCAGCAGAAACUGAUAUUUGCUUAGGAAUUAAUUACUAUGGUCAAGUCUCAUUCAUCUUUCCCCUUGUCAGUAUCAACUUUUGGAGCUGUUUUGGACAUGGUAACUGAUAGGUGAAAUUCUCUCUCUUAAUAGUCACAUUUUCCUAUUGGAAUUUAUCUUUUUCAAUACUCAUUUGAUUUAUAGCUGAUUUGAUUAACAUGUUGUUUAUUUAGGAUUAGCACUGCUUGUUUACUAGUAAUACUUUCCCAAGUAUACAGGUAAGAAAUUUCUCAUUUAUUUCAUUCACACAACUGCAAGAAAGCAUAUACAUGUCUAUAUGAUCUCUUUUGGUUGACUUUGUUUUAUGUAGACCUGGCUUGGUUUUUGUGUCAUUGCUUGCUCUAGAUAUCGCUAGUCAUUGGCUGCAGAUGUACAGGUAACUUUUCUUCAUUAACAUGUAUAAUCUAUUAUUUUAGACAUGGUCCCACAUGGAUCUGCUUGCUGGUUAAAUAUUGAUGUUUACUCCUUAAGUUGAAUUUGUUGUCUAUUUGCUGGAUCGUUGAUACUUUAAUUGCAGUACAUUCUUGUUAGGCAAAGCUAGCCAUAAAGAUGUCAAAGACAGCACUAAUUGGCUUUUCAGGGCUUACUAUGGAAACCGGACAUUCAUGGCUUACUGCUGUGCGGCAUGUGAGGUAAUUAUAACUUUGGUCCAUCCAUUUACUUAGUACAUUCUUUAUUGAUUACUAUUGUUCUCUUUAUCUGACUCUGUUAAUCCUGCAGGUUCUUUAUAUAAUCUUAUUUCUUGUUGCAGAAAAAGAGAAUGAAAACUUGAUGGAUGUAAGUCAUUAUUUAGCAAGCAUAAAAUUUUCCGCUCAGCUUGUAUGUAGGAUUUUUCUUUGGUUUCUGAUUUUCUUUUUUUUUUUUUUUUUUUUUCUUUUUCCUUUUCCAGGUUUUAAUGAGGUCUAUAAAGGAGUGGUCACUCAUCUCUUUCCUACUUGGCUUAAGUUUGUUUGGAUGGGCCAUCAAGCAAAUUGUAAAUAUCAUACAGGUAGUGACUAAUACCUUUAACCAAUUAUCUUCUUUACAAUCAAAAACUUUAGUAUGCUGAUAGAUGUUGACAUUCUUGUGCACGCUCUUAAAUUGAUAGAAUGGCACUUUGGAUUCCUGAAAUACAUUUUUUGAGGUGCAAAAAUUUACUUUAUGGAAAAAUAUAAUAAUGGAGUACAUUUCCAGAUCUUGAACCAAAAUUUUUUGAGUGUUUCUUUUAUCUCUUGGAAUUCAGAUUGAAAAUUAGAAGCCAACUUAUAAGUCGAUUAUUCUGGAAUGAGACAAUUUAGAUAUUAUAUGUAGUUAAAACCACAAAAUUGCCCGAUUUUAUCUAGUCACUGCCAUGGAUUUAGCUUGUGGAUUUGUAGAGAAAACUUCAUUUUCAGUUAUUGUUAACUGGAUAAUUUGUUCAGUUAUUUUGAUUGUUAUAGAAUUCAUUUGGUGAUUUCAGAUGAAGACAGCAGCGGAUAUUUGUGUUCUGUAUGACAUCAAUAAAAAGGAGAAGGCUUAACUCGUUUACUGGAUUUCAGUGUUCUACAUUCAGCAUCAGUAGCCUACGCUUCAGCCUUGAAGUUGGAAUCUCGAAAGUGGAAAAUGGAAGAACUAAUUUCAGUUAUUAAUUCAAUGGAAUACAAUGACCCAUUUGACUCUCUCUUCUCUUUUCAUCUUCUGUGUCCAUGGGUUAUGUAGCUCGACCGCAAUGAGUGAUGAUACAAUAACGAGAUGAUGAAAUUGUAAACUUAGAUUUCUGGACUUUCCUUUUCCCUUUUUGGUUUUGGUCUUAAUGAUUUGUUGAGUAUUUAAUUGUUUAUUCAUUAUUAUGCACGAGAUGGUUAUUGACUAGAACAUUUAAACAUUGUUGAUGAUGGCAAUACUUGAAAUCUUGUGUGGUGUUUGAGGUUAGAAAGGAUAAAAAAUACAGAGCUGAGAGAGAAAAGAGGUCUAAUUUUACCUAUUGAGGGGAAACGAGGGCAAUUUUGUAGGCAUCUUUUUUUUUUUUUUUCUUUCUAAAUUAUAGUUGAUUAACAGUCAAAACAAGAAAAGAUCAUCAGAAAAAUAAAGGUAUUUGAUGUGUGCAUUAAGGUCCUGAUGUGUGUUUAGUUAUAACAAAGGAACUCGUAAUCUUUAAAAAUUAAACUGUUAAACGUAUUAUUAAAGUGAAUAAUUUCUUUAAAAUGUAUUAUUAAAGGUUUCUAGGGAAUUAUCAUGAAAAAAAAAAACAAAAAACAAAAAAAUAAGUUUGUUUUGGCAGUCAUUCAUGAUGAAUCCUGCAACAGUCAGAAUGCCAUUGUUUCACAUACAAAGGUAUGAUGUCUAUGAAGAGAACUGUACUAGAAAAGUAUAUGCAUCAAAUAAUUUAAGUUCUGGCAUAUGAGUAAUAGCAAAGUGUUCGACUUAAAUUCUACCAAGAACGGAUUACUGACUUCUAAAAAGACAAGUUUCACUUUUAUAUCAAAAAUUACAAUCUUCAGAAGCGAGAGAGAAAAAAGGAAGUAAAGAUGACUCUUACGGAGAUAAGAUGCUGCGCAGAUGUUUUUUUAUGGGAAAUAAAUUUGACUAUUUGUUUCUAAAGAUCUUUCUCUAACACUAAAAUGCUGGCUUGCAAAUGUGAAUCUUGAUGUCGUGUUAGAUGGAUCAAUACAAGCUAAAUCCGAAAAACUGGCUAAUGAUAAUGGCCAGGCCUAGAGCAAUUGCUACGAGAGAAGAAAUCCAAGUAAGUUUCUCAGUAAUUCGAGGUACCCGAUCCUUUAACGCCUGACUACAUGAGCCUAUAAAUACUGUAUAGCUUCCCAUUGCGACAACAGUCCCAAGGAGGAACAUUAUAAGAAAUGCAGCACCAGCCAACCGCGAAGGUAAUGCAAGUGCAGGUAAGACCAUCAUCAAUGCAUCUGGUUGCAACCCAUGGACAAUCCCAGUGGCAAAAGUCGCAAAACCAAUCUUCUUCUUUCCCACUGUCGGGCUCUGUAGUGCUUCAUAAACACUAACAUCACACUCACCAUUUUCAAGGGCAACACAUGGGGUUGGGACUUCUGAAGCUUCCCUAAUUCCCAUAGCACCUAUAACUAGUAGUGUAAAUCCAACUACCCUCGUGCCCCAAGUUCUGAUAACCUCAAUGUGGAGCCGAUCCUUCAACAAUAAAAACAACAAGCCAAAUAUUACCUGACCAGCAUCAUGGCCACAGCCCCAAAGAGCUCCAACAACAGCGCUUUCCAUUCGUGAACGACCAAUUGAGAGUGGAGCCAAGGCCGCAAGGUGGUCUGGCCCUGAUAGUGUAUGUAAACAACCGGCAAGGAAACCAGUCCAAGCACUAGAUAACAAUUCAGUACGCAUCAAUUUUGCGCCAACUGCAGCAGCAGCAGCAGGACCCCCAGUCUUGGCAGCAGUUUGGAAGGUUGCAAAUGCUGGUGAAGCAAAAAUUGGAUGGAUUAAGAACAUGAUGGCAGCUGAGAUUACUACAAACGUCCCAAGAUUAACUGCCUGCAAAUUUAAGAUAAUAAGAUAUUUAAUAAGCUUUUCAAAAUGAACUGGAACCAGUGCUAAAACAACUAGACCAUGAAAGACAACUAAAACUUCUUAAACAAUGUUUUGAAUGUUUAUUGUGUAUUCAAUUUGCUUCAUAUUUUAUGACACUUACAUAUGCAUAAAGUUUUCUUAUAUUUUUGACAGUUAGUGCCUCUACUAGUUGUUUAAGGAUGUAUGCACACUGAACCAAAUUUAAGCACCUUGCUUAACCAUUUCAAAGGACUACACAUUCAAGCAAAGAAAAAGAAGAAAAAUGAAAAGAUGAGUCAUUAUAUGUUAUGAAAAAGUAGCCAAACUUUGCCUUGAAGAAAUAGCCAAACUUCAAGGCAGUAUAACAUUAUACAAAUAAUUCAAUGUCACCCAUACACCAUGGUGGAAUCCUGAGAUAGAUAAAAAAAAAUCCAACAAAAUUUGAACCUGAGGAACCUCACAAAUGCUUCAAGCUAUUCUUUCACUGAAACUUUAGAAAAUAAAAACUAAUUUGAGUUGUAAAAGAUCUAUCAAAUGGAAGACAGGUAAGGAUAGAUCACCCAUAGAUAAAGAAGAACACAUCCAGGCUACCAUAAAUUCAUCUACAUCAAAAUAAGUAAAUUCGAUAUACAUGAAAAAAAAAUUAAAAUAAAAUUUGAUGUUGACAUUAGGCAAAAGUAGAAACGGCUAUUAAUUCCUUUUUUAAUGCCUUAUCGAACAUAAUUUUUAAAAGAAUACAAAUCAAGGAAAUAGAUGGAGUGGCUGGGUUAGGAAUGACCAAGAAAGAACAUCUGAGAUGCAGCUUCACGAGAAAUUGAACUUGAGCGACCAAAUAACUAGGACCUGAGUAGACAAUUAAGAAUACAUGGUUCCUCUACCCAUGAAUCAAUGUAGGAAGAUGGGAUAUCAUUGAUUAUUGAUACAAGAGUAACAACCUCAUGGCUCUAAAAGAGCUGAAUGUUAUGGAACUUGUUCUUCAUAAAACCAUAAACUUUUUGAAACAGAAACUUUGGAGAAACGGGAGAAAAAAAAUUUCAUAACUGACCAAACAUAUGGUGAUUCAAAAUGAACACACAACCUGAACUUCUUGAGUUCUGAUUGAGACAAUAGACUAUUUUCACGAUGUUCAAAAUAGUAAAGUUCCAUCUACCAUUCUCCAUUUUUAAUUGUUUUAAGGAUUUGAUAUCAUAAUCAAUUACCUCCGACUCCCAGCAUUAGCAGAUGUUCGGUACUUAGUAAAUAUACUCUAAAGUGCCUCCCCUUCUUCCAAAUACCCAUGCAUUUCUUUAUUAGCAUACAAAUGUAAAUACACGAAAGAUUUUGAAAUGAAUUGUUCACAAAGAUUGGGCACUUGAAAAUCAGCAAUCCAAGUUGACUGAAGUACUCACACCAUGGCAUUUCCCUAGCAUCCAAUUUCACAUGAAAUGCAAUGAAAUUAUUAAAUUAUGGGCAAUUCCAAUUCUCCAAUGAUAUCCUAAUAGCUUCCAAAUCUUCCAAUCAGCACCAUUCUUGAAGAAUACAUAAAAGGACAUCAUUUAUUUGUUUCAAAAUCAGAUUAAGCAGAAUAUGGGUAAUUAUAUUCUAAAACUUUCAAAUCAUAAAACAUUAAAAAAAAAUUCUUUCAUUGCCAUCUGAUUCGUAACCAAUUAAGCAGUCCUCAAGCAGCCGCAAUUGAACGUUAAGCCACAAUAAGUAAACUAUAAUAAAACAACAUAAAAACAUAACUAAACCGGAAAAAAAAAAAAAAAAAAAAAAAAAAAAAAAACCCCAAAGACAAUUUGCUUAAAGAUCAAUACCUUUGGUUGUAUAGGAGCUCCAUUUGCGAUCUGUUUGGGAGAAUGAGAUUUUGGCAUCGACUCAAUUGGAGAAUAAGCCCGGAGAGAAGGAAGAGAUGGAAGUUUAGCAGAAGGCCUAGAUGGGUUCUCAUGUUUGCAGGAGACUGAGUUGACUCGCCUGGACUCAAGGCGUGGAAAAGGGAGGAAGCCGAGUUUAGGGGAGUCGAUUCGCCCGAGUCUAGGAAGAAAGGGACAGGGUUUGAGGUUGAGUUUGAUAGAAGUUGGAGAAGAAGAGUAUAGAAGCCUCUCCAUGGCCUCUCUCUCUCUCCUCUUUGUCACUCUCUGUUUGUGCUUUUUGUGGAGAGGUUUUACAGGGAAAGACUUUGAGGGAGACAAAGAAGGUGGGUUGGUGAGGAUAGCGUUUUGGCUGAGAGGGUUAACGGAAAAUUGAAAAUUCGGAUAUUUUCAAAAUAAAGUAAUACUGUUAAACAGUUUUUUUCUCUUUCUGUGUUUGAAGAAUACUAAAAGCUCUAAUAAUUGAUUUUAAUUUUUUAAUUUUAAUGUUUAACCAUGAUUUUUUUUAAAUUUUUAAUAUUAAAUAUAAAUAUGACUAGUAAUUAUCAUAAUAAAUGAGUUUAAAUAUUAGUAAUUUAAUAUUAUAGUUUAAAUGCACUUUUUUUAUCUAUUUUAAUGUUUCCUCUUUGUUUCAGUUUUUAUAUAUAUUAGUGCUUUUAUAACACAUAUUGCAAGUUGUCGUUAUUUGUUUUUUACUCAUUAUGCUCGUUCAUUAUUAUUUGUUAUAAUAUUAAGAUUUGUUAUAAUUUUUUUCAUAUUUUUUUAGAUUUUUAUAUAACGUAAAUAAAAUGACUAAAUAAUCAUAUUUUAUAUAUAUGUACUUUAAUUCAAUUUAUAAAUCUAACAUGUAUCUACAUUGCACUUUAACAGCACAUAGUACCACAAUGCUACUCAAUAAGUACGUUGUAAUGUAUAUACGUGUACGUAUACAAAUUUCUCCAUAUAUUUAAGAAUUAAUAACAUAUUCAUUUUUUAUCUAGCCAAACAAUUUUAAAAGGCAAUAUAUAUAUAUAUAUAUAUAUAUAUAUANNNNNNNNNNNNNNNNNNNNNNNNNNNNNNNNNNNNNNNNNNNNNNNNNNNNNNNNNNNNNAUAUAUAUAUAUAUAUUAUUUCUCUCCUAAUUAAAAACCUUUAAAUUAUAAUCAAAUAUUAAUUAUAUAUUUUAACUGGUAUUUAAAUUAAAAUUUUUAAUUAAAUAUUUUAAAUUACAAUCAAAUAUUAUAUAUGAAUUUUUAUUUAUUUGAUUUUUUAAUUUUUUUCUUAUUUCUCUCCUAAUUAAAAUAUUUUAUUGUAUUAUAUAUAUUGUUAUAUUAAAAUUUUUGUUCACCAUAUCAAAUAUUUUUAAAAUAUAAUUAUUAUAUAUUUGUUAAAAUUUAUGUACUCAUCACGCUCUAGUAUCUUUUAAAUUAUAAUCAAAUAUUAUAAUUAAAUAAUAUAUAUUUUUAAAUUAGAUAUUUCUAAUUACUAUUUAAAAUAUCUUAAAUGACGAUGAAAUAUUAAAUUUAAACUUUUAUUAUUUUUUCUUUUUCCUUAUUGUUCUCCUGAUUAAAACCUUUUAAUUAAAUUACAAUUAAAUCAAAAAAAUUUUUAUAUUUUUUAAGUUAAAAAUUUUUUAAGUUAAAUUUUUAAUCAUGAAAUACUAUUAUGUAUGUUAGUGCAAAUUUCAAUAUUUUAAGAAAUCUCAUUAUGUUUCACUUUUUUUAUAUAUUUAUAUACAGUAUUUAUAGAGAAAUUAUUAUUAUUAUUAUUACUCCAUUAUUUAUGGCUUUGAUGCUUAUUAGUUAUGAUAGUUGCGUGGCCCAUUAAAUUAUCGUUGACUAUACUAAAAUAAAGUAGCGGUUUCUGUUUGGCCACAACAAACCCUUAUAAUAAUCAGGUCCCUCCCGAUGGUUUAUGGUUUAUAUAUUUUGUCAUGUAAAUAUAUACAAAUGUAAAGCUAUCUUAUUUAGGGUCUAUCCACGGCACUAGUUGUUAUAGAAGUUGUUAGUUGUUUUAGGAGCCGUUAACCAUUAGUUAUUUAUAUAGUAGUUAAAAUAAAAGUGUUUGCUAAAAAAAUAACUGUUUGAUUAGCUGUUAUAAAUCAAAUGACAAAAAAUGACAUUGAAAUGUUGACUUUAAAAAUUGAUAUAUAUAUAUAUAUAUAUAGAGUAGCAAGUGUUUUUUUUCUUUUCUAAAUUAUUAUCAUUUUUUUUUUUAUAGCAAAAGAUUAUUUCUUAUAGAAUUGAAAUGAAAAAACUAAAAAAUUAUUUCUUGUAAUUUUUAUUUUAAGGUAAUAAGAAAUAACAAAAUAGAAUAAUUAAAAAUGACAUGUGAAACGCUAAAUGUUUGGAGAUUUAACAUUUAAUGAAACGAUGCCUAAUUUCUAAAUGUUAAUAUAAAUAUUAUAUUACCGAAAGAUGUAAUUAAUAGAAUAAUGUUGUUGUCAAGUAAAUCCUUAUUCCGUUUGGCUGAUAUGAUUUUUUUUUUUUUUUUUUUUUACUUCAAAAAAUAUUUUGAAGCUUUCCCAUUUUCAUGUUGAGUUGAAGCUUUCAUUCCACGAAAGAAUCAAAGUUCAGAAAUAUAAGUUUUUAGUUUAUCCCUUAAAAACUCCAUUUUUUAAAGUUAAAUAAUAGUUUAUUAAAUUUUUAUACGGAAAAGAGAAAGUUAAAACAAUGAAAUUAGGCUUCAAAAAUAAAAAAUUUUUUAAUUUUUUAAAAUUUUUCGAAACAUAUCACAAUCAGUUCAAUUUAAAUAAUUCGAAAUUGAUUGCUAAAUCAGACGUAUGGACUGCUGAAUUGAUUUAAAAUCAUAAAAUUCAUAAUUCCUAUUGACAUUUAUAAUCAAUAAUACCAUUUAGAGGGAGACCUUCAAAUUGCAUAAUUAAUUUAUUUUUUUUUUAUUUAUUGAAAGGCUUAACGGGUCAAGUUAAUACUGUGAGCUACACAAUAUAAAUAACAUUCCUCUGAAUUAACCAAAUUGGUAAAAACACUUAUAAUCGGGAGAACUCGAACUCGAAACCUCUCACUUCGUAUAAAUGAGAAGAUCAAUAAUACCACACUCCUAAUCGGUAUUAAUUUUUUUUAACAGCAUAAUUAAUUUCUUAUAAAAUGAGAGAGAUAUAAUAAAUAAGCUCUAAAUUAAUAAUUGAUACAAUGAGCCCAAAAGCGAAUUUGUCGAGGUGGCUAAUAGGAUAACAGAUAGAUUCAAUUACUUGGAGGUUUCCAAUUGUGAGAACAAAAGCUUUGAAUAUAUCAAACAGGAUAACUUAUCCGGUAGCCAUUUUUUUCAAAAAAAAAAAAAAAAAAGUGCAUAAAUUAAAAAGUCCACAUAUUAACACGUCAAACUUUGCGGUUGCGCUCACGCUAACACGCAUUCUCAAGGCGCCUCCUUGCGCUCGGCACACGCACCCAAUAGAUACUCCGCACGUUCAAUUUAAGAAGGCAGUGGACAGUUGUCCAUAUUAAUUCAAUUUUAAGAGCGAACACACUUGUCUACACCAGCUGUAUUAGCACAUCAAUACAAGAAAUAAAUAAUUAGUUGCGAUUUGAAAAAAUUAUUUUAACUAUUUUGCAGAACCGCAUAACACCGGUUCAAAUCAAAUCAAACCGAUGUUAAAUUGUGAUUUUAAAAGUUAGUGAUUUGAUUUGUAAAAUUUAAAGAUUUAGGUUUUAGUUAAAUUUAUGGUUUUAUAUUUAAAAUUGUGCAAAUCGCACCAAAAUGUUUUAUAUCUAUAAAAACUUUUAAAUGCUAAAUAAUUUAGUUUAAUUUUUAAUGAAAAAUUUCUCUGCAUUGCUUAGUUUGUAUUGCAUAAUAAUUAUAUAUAAUUUCAUAUCAUUUAAAUAAGUUAUAUAAUUAUAUUAUUUGUAAGUUCAAAUGUCAAAUAUUUUAAAAUGAUGACUAUUCACUGCUUAGUUUUUUUUUUUAAUAUUUAAAAAAAACUAAAAUAGAUACACUCAUUAUCUACUUUUCUUUUUCACUUGUUUCAAAUUAUAAUAUUUUUCAAAAAAAUAAUAAUUUUUGUAGUUUAUUAUUUUAUCUCUAUUUAAUGUGUAUUUCUUCCAACAAAUAUGCCACUAUUAUAAUUAGCUAAAUCUUGAAAUAAACAAAACAAGGUCACUAUUAUUGUCACAUAUAUUAACCAACCUAUUUUUAAUUACAUUUAUUCUUGUAUUAAAAACUUACUGGUAUUAGAACCCGCGCGAUGUAUGAAACAAUAUUAAAUAAUGAAAUAACAUCAUUCAAAAAUGAUCGUAAUCAAAAUUAUAUCUCAUUAAGAUAUGCAGAAAAUGUUGGAAUGCUAAGAUGUGUCUUUUUAAGUAUCCUCUAAAGCAUUUCACUAUGAUAUGUAAAAGUAAAAGUUAUACAUGGUAUAACCUGUAUAAAAAAAUAUACACACUAUUAAUUUAUUUUUAAAUAGUAAUAGUGAUUUUGGGAAUUUAACUAAUUAUAUUGAAAUAACAAAUUAAUUAUUUUUUAUAUUAUGUUUAUAAUUUAUUGUAAAUGAUUAUUUAUUUAUUUAAAAUAUUAAUGUAUUAGACUUAUUUAGUGUAAUGUGUCAUGCGCGUGUGGAUGUCAUACUUUUUUAAAAAUAAUCGUAUCUCGUACGUUCCUGCAUCUCGUAUCCUGUGUUCCGUGUCUGUACAACUUAACUCUUGGUAUAUGAGACUACUAUAUACACUAAGUCAAUCAACUAAGGUUAUUUUUUAUUAGCAAGAAAAAAUAAAGUUUUUUUUAAUUCAUUUUUGUGUCCUUUUUUUUUUAUUAAUGAAUGAUCACAAACACUGUUGUUACAACUAAAAAUAUAUUUCGAUAGUCUUGGUAAGUCAUUAGUUUUUGUCAAACUCUAUAAUUAUUUCCAUCAAAGAGAGAUAUUUUAAUGAAAACUGAUAAAUAAAUUGAAAUGAGAGGAUGUUAGCUUUAGGCUCCAUAUUGAUAAGAUUGGCCGAUAAUUUAACUAAUUAUAUUGAAAGAAAAAUUAAGUAUUUUUUUUAAAUUUGUUUUAUCUUUUUUUUUUUAAAAAAAAUAGUUCAACAACUUAAUUUAGAAUUAUAAUAUUUGUCAUUUUAUAAUUCAAAAUACUGCUAAGUGGUAAAUUGUACUAUUUACAUUUGGUUUUCAUAUAAAGAAAACUACUCUCCUUUUAUAUAUUAUAUAAAUAAAUUAGGUCUGGCCAAUACUUGAUAUUUUUCAAAACUAAAUUAAGAAAAAAUAAGAAGAAACUAAAAUUUAUUUCAAAAAAAACUUAUAUUACUUAAUUUUUUAUAUAAAAGAAAAUAAAAUUAAUUUUUCUCUACAAAUUUAUUUAUAGUUUUUUUAUUUUCUUUCUAAUUUGAAGAGAAAAUUAUCGAAAUUCUUUUUCCUUAUAUUCAUUUCUUAUUUUCAAAUUAAAUAAUUUUUGCUUAUUAAUAUUAGUUUAGCUUUCUUUUCUCUUCAAUAUUAUUUGAAAAUAUAAAACAAUUUAUUUCCUUACAAUAGUUUUCAUUAGAACUAAACUCUUUAUAAUUGUGCUAAAUAACUUUACAUUUGGCAAUUGGCAAUUUGAGAUUGACACUUGUCUGUCGUUUAAAAUAUACUGCGUUAAUUAGUGUUGUGAUCUAUCUUUUAGGGCCAGAUUGAUAUUAAGAUUUGGUAAGUUUAAAGCGAUGGAAGUCCAUAAUAAGUCUAACCUAGUAACCUACUAAACAAAUAAUAGCAAAAUCCAUAUAUCAUUUGGGCCUUAGGCCCACUAUCCAAGCAGUCUCUAUGACAGAUUGCCAUCGAUAAAUAUAUAUCCAUAGUUGUGAUACUCAGCUCGAAUCAAUUUACAUAACCAAUAAGAUACUUAUUUCACAGUGAAAAUUUUAAUGGAGGCUCAACAUCCUUUAUUCGUUCAGUAAUAUUACAAAUACUCACAUCACACUAAUUACUUUUAACUAAUACAAUCGCUUCUCUUCUUUUUUUUUUUUUUUUAUUCAUACAUUUCAAUUUAAACUACACUUUCGCCGUUAAACUACAUCUAUGGCUUUAUUUGCUUCCAUAAAAUAACUUAUCAUUAUUAUUAAUAUUUUUUAUAGUCUUAUGAGACAAAGACUUUAAUAUUUUUAACUAUAUUAUAACUAAACAACGAAAAAUAAAUCACUUGGAAAAUAUUUGUCACUUGAAUUGGAAAAUAUAUUGUUUAGCAAGUUAUUUUACGGAUCAUCUAUUAAAAUGAUGUAGCAUGAUUACUCAUGGACCCUAGCAUGUUACUUACCAAUUGAAAUCCAAGAUGAGCCUUGAUUCAAAUCUCUGCUACUGUUAGAACAGGUAGAUUAAAAGCGAUGUGAAGAUCUUCUGCUUCACGUCCUGUGACUUUUAAAUACCAGAGUUUUGGGGACUGGCUUUGAGCGAGUGUGAGCCAAUGCAAAUGUCUAACCUUGAUAGGAAUUUUGAGACCUUAUAAGCCCCAGCUCUCUCCGAACCCUGACAAGCAAAGAGAAAGAUAUGUAGAGAGUGAGUUUCGAGGAUGAGUUCACUCGAAUGUGGUUAAGUCGAAAUUCAAACUAUUUGGAGGGUGUGAUCAAAAGGAGAGAGAAAGAAGACAACAACAAAGAGGAGGAUGAUCGAAGUAAAGAGGAGGCAACGACGGAGGAAGAUGAGGAAUGGAUGUUGAGGUGGCUGUAGUAGGGCAAAAUGAUGACAUUUGGGGAAAAGAGUGAGUUUUGAGCCCUUGGUGUGUUUUAAUAUUCAAGUUAAACUAAGGAUAGUCAUAGUAUAUGAAUUCUACUUUUACAAUAUUUUAUUUAAAACUCUAAGUUAAAUUUAAAAUUAAAGAAAAAAUAUACCUAAUUUUAUAAAUUGGAAUUAACUAAAGUAUAAAGAACAAAUAGGUCGAUUUGAAGCCUCAUUUCCAAUAUAUAUAUAUAUAUAUUUUUAUAACAUAGUUGUAAUGCUUUAAAAUAUAAUUUUUUUGAUAUUGCUGCACAAAUUUAUUUAUUGUUCUUAUUAAUUUAUAUUUGUUUCCCUCCAAAUUUUGAAAUCUAUUUCUACUUCCUAGGCAUGGUGGUUCAGGUUCGAGAUAUUUAAAAUUUUGAACUGGAAUCGACCCUUGAACUUUUGGUUCCGACACAGUUCAGGCGAACCGACAGUUUGAAUUACGGUUCCGAUUCGAUUCCGGCAUUACGCAAAUUUUUAAAAAAAUAAUAAAAUUUUGAUUUCGAAUUCAUAAUAAAUAAUAAUUUUAAAAUGUUUCAAUUUUAUUAACUAAAUAAAUUAUUAUAAAAUUUUAAAAGAAAAACUUCUAUUAACUAACUUAGAACUAUUAUUACAUUAAAUUUACAAAUUUUGCUAAUUCACUAAUAUAGAAAACCAUAAAUGGAAUGAGUUGGAAAUUAUUAUUUUCAAAUACUAAGAAAAUUAUUAAAAAAAUUAAAUGAAGUAAAUUUAUGAAUGGAAAAAAUUGAGAUUAAAGAAAGAAUUUGGAAUUGGAUGUAAGAAAAUAAAAAAUAAAUAAUAGAUAAUUCCAAUAUUAAGGAAAAUAAAGCAAUAGAAAAAAUAAUGAACUAUGGAAAUUUGAGAGAAUUUUGAUUGAGAAUAAGAGAAGAGUUGAGAUAUAAUUGGUUGUGAAAUAAAAAGUCAUCAACUCAUCAUAUUUAUACAUGUUUCUCAUUUAUUAGUUUCCCAAAUUGUCCCUUAUAACAGAAAAAUAACAGCUAUAUUUUUGGAUAAUUUAGUAAAUUACAGUAAAUAAAUAAAUAAAUNNNNNNNNNNNNNNNNNNNNNNNNNNNNNNNNNNNNNNNNNNNNNNNNNNNNNNNNNNNNNNNNNNNNNNNNNNNNNNNNNNNNNNNNNNNNNNNNNNNNNNNNNNNNNNNNNNNNNNNNNNNNNNNNNNNNNNNNNNNNNNNNNNNNNNNNNNNNNNNNNNNNNNNNNNNNNNNNNNNNNNNNNNNNNNNNNNNNNNNNNNNNNNNNNNNNNNNNNNNNNNNNNNNNNNNNNNNNNNNNNNNNNNNNNNNNNNNNNNNNNNNNNNNNNNNNNNNNNNNNNNNNNNNNNNNNNNNNNNNNNNNNNNNNNNNNNNNNNNNNNNNNNNNNNNNNNNNNNNNNNNNNNNNNNNNNNNNNNNNNNNNNNNNNNNNNNNNNNNNNNNNNNNNNNNNNNNNNNNNNNNNNNNNNNNNNNNNNNNNNNNNNNNNNNNNNNNNNNNNNNNNNNNNNNNNNNNNNNNNNNNNNNNNNNNNNNNNNNNNNNNNNNNNNNNNNNNNNNNNNNNNNNNNNNNNNNNNNNNNNNNNNNNNNNNNNNNNNNNNNNNNNNNNNNNNNNNNNNNNNNNNNNNNNNNNNNNNNNNNNNNNNNNNNNNNNNNNNNNNNNNNNNNNNNNNNNNNNNNNNNNNNNNNNNNNNNNNNNNNNNNNNNNNNNNNNNNNNNNNNNNNNNNNNNNNNNNNNNNNNNNNNNNNNNNNNNNNNNNNNNNNNNNNNNNNNNNNNNNNNNNNNNNNNNNNNNNNNNNNNNNNNNNNNNNNNNNNNNNNNNNNNNNNNNNNNNNNNNNNNNNNNNNNNNNNNNNNNNNNNNNNNNNNNNNNNNNNNNNNNNNNNNNNNNNNNNNNNNNNNNNNNNNNNNNNNNNNNNNNNNNNNNNNNNNNNNNNNNNNNNNNNNNNNNNNNNNNNNNNNNNNNNNNNNNNNNNNNNNNNNNNNNNNNNNNNNNNNNNNNNNNNNNNNNNNNNNNNNNNNNNNNNNNNNNNNNNNNNNNNNNNNNNNNNNNNNNNNNNNNNNNNNNNNNNNNNNNNNNNNNNNNNNNNNNNNNNNNNNNNNNNNNNNNNNNNNNNNNNNNNNNNNNNNNNNNNNNNNNNNNNNNNNNNNNNNNNNNNNNNNNNNNNNNNNNNNNNNNNNNNNNNNNNNNNNNNNNNNNNNNNNNNNNNNNNNNNNNNNNNNNNNNNNNNNNNNNNNNNNNNNNNNNNNNNNNNNNNNNNNNNNNNNNNNNNNNNNNNNNNNNNNNNNNNNNNNNNNNNNNNNNNNNNNNNNNNNNNNNNNNNNNNNNNNNNNNNNNNNNNNNNNNNNNNNNNNNNNNNNNNNNNNNNNNNNNNNNNNNNNNNAAAAAACUAUAAAUGGAAUAUAAAAUUAAUGGAAUGAGUUGGAAAUUAUUAUUUUCAAAUACUAAGAAAAUUAUUUAAAAAAUCAAAUGAAGUAAAUUUAUGAAUGGAAAAAAUUGAGAUUAGAGAAAGAAUUUGGAAUUGGAUGUAAGAAAAUAAAAAAUAAACAAUAGAUAAUUCCAAUAUUAAGGAAAAUAAAGCAAUAGAAAAAAUAAUGAACUAUGGAAAUUUGAGAGAAUUUUGAUUGAGAAUAAGAGAAGAGUUGAGAUAUAAUUGGUUGUGAAAUAAAAAGUCAUCAACUCAUCAUAUUUAUACAUGUUUCUCAUUUAUUAGUUUCCCAAAUUGUCCCUUAUAACAGAAAAAUAACAGCUAUAUUUUUGGAUAAUUUAGUAAAUUACAGUAAAUAAAUAAAUAAAUGAUUAAAAAAUAAAUAAAAUUUAUUUACCAAAAAAUAAAUAAAAACCACCUAUCAUAUAAAAAAUUAUCCGUUACACUCUUUUUUUUUUACAGUUGAAAGUAUUUUUUUUUCACCACUUUUUAUAACUUAUAUAUCAUUUUACUUCUUUUCACUAUAAAUCAAAUCAAGUGAUAUAAAUUUUUUUAUAAAAAUUUUAAGCUACAAUUUUUUGUGCAUCCGGUUCGAACGGGACCGGAACCGCCGGUUCCGGUUCAUAUUUUAACAUUGACAUGAAUCUUAACCGGCCCUUGAACCGUCGGUUUCUGUUCGAUUUCAAUUCGUCAACAGUACGGUUCGAUUCCGAUUAGAAUCGAACCGGUGGCAUGCCUACUACUUCCGAUCUAAGAUUAUUUAUUUAGUUUUAGAUGUAGCGUAUUUUUAAUUUUUUAUUACAGGUUCUUGUAAUAUACCUUGGAAAAAAAAAAAAGAACUUAAAAAACUAGUGCGUCUGACGCCGUAUUCUCUGUUUGGUCACUGAGUUGUCAAUUUGUUGAGGCAUGGUAAACCUGGCAUUAUAUAAACCAUAAAGGACCAAUAAGUAAUUCCGUACCAUCGCAAUCCAAAACCAAAAGGGGAAGGGUCUUCACGGAACCCCUAUAAAUAUCACAAUUUCCUCAAUUUCUCUCAUUUUUUCCGGUUUCACCUUUGUCCUUCCUCUUUCCCGCUCUCUCAAGGGUUAGGGUUUCUCUUUUUCCAAAAUUUCAAUCACAGUAACAAUGUCGACAUCCAAGAAAGUCACUCUCAAAUCGUCCGACGGCGAGACUUUUGAGGUGGAGGAAGCGGUGGCGGUAGAGUCGCAGACUAUAAAACACAUGAUCGAGGAUGACUGCGCCGACACUGAGAUACCGUUGCCUAACGUGACCAGCAAGAUCUUGGCUAAGGUCAUCGAAUACUGCAAGAAGCAUGUCGAGGCCGCCACUGCUGAUAAGGACAAGGAUAAGUCCUCCUCUGAUGAGGCUCUCACGACUUGGGACGCCGAUUUUGUCAAGGUUGACCAGAAUACCCUUUUUGAUCUCAUCCUGGUAAGCUUUUACUUUUCUUUUUAUUUCUUGCCUAGCUUUCACUUUCUUAUUUCUAAUCUUGAAUAAUUUGCUGUCUCUCUUAAUUGUGUGUUAUUUCUUCGAAUGAUACAGUAAGUUUUACUGACGUUGAAUAAUUUUACAAAUUCUCCUCAUAUUGAUUUGUGUUCGUUUUUUGUUUGUUGUGUUGCACUUAUGAGCCUAGAUGUUUGUGAGCACUUAGGUGAAAUUCAGGAUAUUAAUAAUCCGAUUAUGGUUUUUUUUUUUAGAUUAUCAGAAACUGGGUCUUAUUUGCAGUUAGAAUAUAUCUACGGGUAAUGGGUAGAUUAUCCAUACAAUUAGAGACGGGACUCAUUUGCGUUUUAUGUUAUAUGUUCAUUAUAUAAUUGCAAUUUUGUAAACUUUGUAAAUGGUUUGGGAUUCUGAUGAUAUUAAUGUUAUAUAGAAAAUAUAGUUUGGUGGAUUUCUUGUUGAUUGUACCUUUCUAUAUAUUGAUAGCUUCUGCUUUACUGUGUUUUUUAGUAAUAAACUAUGAAACAUGAACCUGAUUUCAAGUCAUGUGCUAGGAAAGGUGAUCUUUAUGUGUGGGGCUUUUACAUGGGUAACUGCCUUCUUUUUGACUUUUCUUUUAUAUGAUUCUGCUUUAUAGCCUUUUCUGUUUAAUUUGCUUUUUUGCUCACCUACUUUUAUCUAUUUGUGCAGAAUAUGUCUUUUACUUUGUGUAUUGUGUGUUAUCUUUCGUCGUCCUCGUUAAAGAUGAGUUGCAAUCACUCAUUUCUAAUUAUUUUUGCAGGCUGCUAACUAUUUGAACAUCAAGAGUUUACUAGAUUUGACUUGCCAGACUGUGGCUGACAUGAUCAAAGGGAAGACUCCGGAGGAGAUUCGCAAGACAUUCAACAUUAAGAAUGAUUUCACCCCAGAGGAAGAAGAGGAGGUUCGAAGGGAGAAUCAGUGGGCAUUUGAAUGAUGAAUGUAAAAUGUCCUUGCAAUGUGCAUAUGAUGGUAUGAUGAUAGGAAUGUCGAUAUACGAUAGGAUGCUGUUUUUGUUCUGUGUCUCUUAAUGUGGAGGAUGAUUGGAAAUUUCCUUUUUAUGGUUGACAGCAUGUUUCUUUGAACACCUUAUUCUAAUGUAAUAGAGUUGAUAUCUAAAUGUGCAUGUCUCAGUUGAUUAUUUUUUUUCGUUGCUUUGCUUUCUUCCUUCAGCUGGUUGCUAUGCAUUAUGAUAAUUGCAAAUUUUGUUCCUGACUGCUAAUUCACAGGAAUGUGAUUGUUCAAUGCAUGGUUUAGCUGAUGAUCAACACUAAGGAUGUAUUGUCUGCUUCUUUAAUUGCUGUCAUUUCUUGCUCGAAUAUGACAGGGUAUAUCAUAUGAAAUAGAUUUUUGAUUAAUCGUGCAAUUUACAUAGGAUAUAAUCAAUUGUAAAAUCAAUAGUUGCUUAUGAAAUAUUUAUUAUUUUUAUUGUAAACAAGGAAAUAUUGAAAGAAUAUCAUUUAUUACUUUUUGAAAUAUACAAAAUGACUUAUAUUUUGAAUCAAAAUAAUAAAUUAAAAAUGAUUUAUAUUUCGGAACAGAGAGAGUAAUCUAUAACUGCCAUCAAUCAAUAUCAACCGUUGAACUAAGUAGACCCAUAGUCUUUAUUGGUUUCAUUCAUUGCUCUUCGCCCCUUCUAGUCUUUAUUUUCUCUUUGGAACCAAUUCAGUUGUUUCCCCUUGUUUUAGGGGGGCCUAUUUUGGUAGAAUUGAGAGAUUCUUAAUAUCUUUUAACCAGUCUAAGGAUUUAUACGAUGAUGGUACAAAAAAAUUGCUUGGAUAUUUCCAUUUGAAGUUUAGAUGUUUUGGUACUAUGAAAGAUUGUUACUCGACUUAUUCCCUCCAUUCCGUUCGAAUUUGAAUGUUCUUAAUUUUUCAUAAGAAUUAAUGUUUAAAUCACCUUAAUUUUAAAAAAAAUAAAAAUAAUUAACUACUUUUUAAUUAAUGCUUAUUUAAUUGAAACAAAAUUUAUUGUAGGAAUUUUUUUUAGAAUAAAAUUUAUUAUAGAUAUUUAGACAAGAAUAAGUUGAAAUAAAAUAAUUAAUGAAAUAAAAUAAUUAAUGCUAUUUUGAUUUUCUAAAAGUGUAAUCUAAUACUACCUUCGUUCCAUAAUACUUGUUACAUUUGUGGUUUCAAGAAAUAAUAAAUAUCUUUCCAUGUUUACCCUUUGUAUAUGGCAAUAAUUAUUAUUUUAAUUUAAUGGUUUUUUUUUGAAAAAAUUAACAUUAAAUUAAGGAUAAUAUAGUCAAUUUACUCAAUAAUUGAUUAUAACUUAGACAAAUUUAAUGUUUUUCUUAAGGAAUGUGAAAUUCCAAAUGUUACAACUUCCUUUGUCCUAUUUAUAUAGAGAAUGUCAAAAUUUCUCUAGAAUUAAUGAGGUGGUCUUUUUGUGAAAUUCUUCCUAAUUUACCCCUAAAAAGAUAUUGAAGUGGUCCCCAAAUUUCAAUAAAAGGUGAUAAAUGAUGAGAGAGAGGAUAUGCUGCUUAAAUAAAGCAUUUUAUUUGUUUAGACUUUCAAUUGCAAAAAAAUGUAGGCCGAUUAAUUGCAAUUGCACACUAAAAUUUCAUUAUUAAAUUUGGCUUGAAAAAAUUAGCGUGGAAGUUGAAAGAAAGUUUGAAGCCAAAAUUUUCUACUUUAAAUUCUUUAUUUUGCUUCUCCAAAUUAACGUAUAAAAAAGUGAAAUUUUAAGUCAAAAGUUUUCAAAACUGAGUGAGUUCACAAUUUUAAAAUUUAAUCCACCAAUAUCAUGGACACAAUCCUUCAUUUUGAUUUGAAUACGGUCCCUCAAUAUUUGCUUGCAACUUCAGAAGAUGUGCCCAUAUUCAACAAUCAACCCUUAGAUUUGAUCUCCUUGUCAUUCACUCAAUAACCGCCUUCUAUAGAAUCUGAAACCACACCACCACCAAGUAACGUUCCAGAAGAGGUUCGAAAAGACAACAAAAGGAAAAACAUCAUUGAAAAUGUGAAAAAUACAGUUUGUAUAUUACUAUUUUCUGAAACUGAAAAGGGCGAGUCAAAUGCUCACAGUAUUCGUAAAGUUGCAGACAUUUUAUCCAUAUCUACUAAGACAAUUUACAGAAUUUGGCAUAACGUAAAAAAUAAUAAUUAUUUUUAUUUAAGCAAUGAAAUUAUGGUUUAGAUUUUGUAUCUCUUUCUUUAGCCAUUUAAGGAGUUCAUGAGAGUAAAUAUAAAUUGCCACAAAUAUUUUUAUUUAAGCACUGUCGUUUGGAGGAAAAUUUUCCUUCAUUCAGGAGCUGUGAGUAAAUUGCACUGUAUGUGCACACUUAAAUGUUAAGCAUAAGCUUCUUAGUGAAAUUUAGUCUGUGUGCAUAAUGUGCUUGAAUCCCAUAUUUUCUUAAUGCACAGUUCAGUCAAUUUUUGAACAUUAAAUGUCAACCACAAUAAUGUCUGCCACUUUCUUAAAAUACUAUUAAAGUAAAUGUUUAAUCUAUAAACUAAAGCAAGAGCAUAUUGGAUUUUUUGCUUUGGCAUUAGUCCCAAAUUACCAUAUUUGGAAAAUUUCUCUAUAUAAAUAGAACGUUCCAAAAGGAAAUUUUCUCUAUAUAAAUAGAAUGGAGGGAGUAUUAUAGAACAGAGGUAGUAAUAGUAAAUCAUAAAUUCUAACAGAUUUUUACUUUUAAAACUUUCAAAAAGAAAAAAAAAACUUUCAUUCAAAUCAAAAUCCUCAUUAUACUAUCUCUGUUCGAUAAUACUUGUCACAUUUAGAAUUUCACUUUUGUUAAAAAAAUAUUAAAUUUUUCCAAGUUACAAUAAAUUAUUGAGUAAAUUGAUUAUAUUACCCCUAAUUUAAUACUAAUUCUCCAAGAAAACCAUUAAAUUGAAAUAAUAGUUAUUGGUUAUAUACAAAGGGUAAACAUGAAAAAAAUAUUUAUUACUCUUUGAAACCACAAAUAUGACAAGUAUCUUGGAACAAAUUAUUUUCUCAAAUGUGACAAGUAUUAUGGAACAGAACAUUUAAUUUUAUGUAUAUGAGAAUCUGUUUCAUUUUUGCAACUAACUUUCAAAUGUUUUUUUACUAUAUAUAUAUAUAUAUAUAUAUAUAUAUAUAUAUAUAUAGAAACACCCCGAAUUUUUAUUUUUGAAACCUUUGAAUUUUUAUUAAAUUAAAAAUCAGAAAUUUUGACUAUGUGGGCUACGAAUAGAAUAUAGUCUCGAUUCGAGCUCAAAUUUGCCAGCUCAGCCCAAGCCCAAAAAUAUAUUAUCGGAAUCUUCGAUACAUUUAAUUUUAUGUAUAUGAGAAUCUGUUUCAUUUUUGCAACUAACUUUCAAAUGUUUUUUUACUAUAUAUAUAUAUAUAUAUAUAUAUAUAUAUAUAUAUAUAUAUAUAUAGACACACCCCGCGUUUUUUUUUAUCCAAAAAUCAAGUAUCAUUAUUAUUAUUGUUUUUAUUGUUAUGGAGUAAAAUGGAGAAAUGUUAUGGAAUCUAACUAAAUUAAUCAAAAUAAAUCGAACCGGGCCCGAAAUUCAAAUUUAUUUUUCGAAAACCACAUGAAUAACCUGAAAACCAAGUAAAAAAAACCUGCGAACCGAGCAAAAUCGAGCCAAAUCUUUGAAUCAGACCAAAUCGGUUCGAAUCGAACCGGAAUGAUCUAGAAAUCGACUUAGUUUCUUCUGUUCUUCCUCUCUUCUUCUUCUUCAGCACGCGCGACAGCCUCCUUCUCCUCCCUUUCCUUCUCAUUUCCGACCCUCGCUCGACGAGAGCGAGGUGGCGAUCGCCUUCCCUGGGGCCUUUAAUCCAUUUUCCCGCCUCCUUCCCCGCUAGCAGAGCCUCCAGUGGCGCGAACGAGACUGUCCCCGUCGACAGUUCUCGUUCUUCGAUCUCUGGCGAUACCAGGCGAUUCUGGCAAUGUGAAGCUUCAAGGUGAGCUCUGAUUGAUUCCUCUGUCUUGUGUGAACAAUUCCCAUCCAAGAAACGACGGUUUUGGUGGAAGGAACUGGAACCGCCAUGAAUAGCGGUAAGGGGCUGCUAUCAAGCUCGUUUCGACCAACUAGAGGGUUGAUCUCACUAAACCAACGCCGGAAAUGGAAUCCUUGCUGAAUUUCAAGUUGAAUGGUAUGAUCGUGGCGAAUUUCUGGGCAUUAUUGAUUUUCUGGCCACUGUAAACGGCGGAGGCGACUGCGUUCCGGUGACCGGCCGGCGAGACUCCGGCGAGGCACCAAGGACAGAAUUUUCCUCUCUUCGCGAGGAUUGUGGAAUCGUCACCCAAAUUUCAAUCGGUACGUUCUAAGACCAAUUUCCUAUUUUUGGUAUAAAUGCUUAAACUUAAUACUUAUUAGUUGAUUAAAUUAAAUUUGAAUGAAUAAUCAAUCAAAUAUAAUUUUUGCUAAGAAUCAAUCGAUAUAAUGUGGAUGCAAAUUAGUUCUGCAUAUUGUUAUAUAUAUUUCAUGAACAUUAGUUACAACUAGAAGGUUCGGUAUUAAGAUAAGAAUUCCUAGCUAAUAUUUAUGUAAGCUAAUUUAGGAAUUUUAAUAAAUAUUGGUAGGGGAGAGUUAUAAUUUAAGGCUUAGACAAGUAAAUAGUUUUAAAGCAAUUAAUAAUAUCAUUGAAUCAUGCUUGGAGGUUAAUAUAGUUUGUUAAUUAGUUAAUUUGGAACNNNNNNNNNNNNNNNNNNNNNNNNNNNNNNNNNNNNNNNNNNNNNNNNNNNNNNNNNNNNNNNNNNNNNNNNNNNNNNNNNNNNNNNNNNNNNNNNNNNUGGGUUGUGUGAAUUGAUUGAUCGAAUAAUUGAUAAAUAAGGUUAUGGCGGACGGGAUGAGUUGAUUUGAAUUGACCGACGGAUGGGCUUAGAUAUUAUAUUGUUGAAUUGUGGUUUAGUCAAAUUUUAGGGGAGGUGCUGCCGAAAUUUCAAUAGAAUCUAGACUAGUUUUAAUUAAUGACAUAAUUAAUAAGUUUAUUUAGAUUAAUUCUAUAACUUAAUACAUAAUAAAUAGAGUGCACUGAUUAUUUAUUAUCUUUAUUAUUCAUUUAAUUAUUUAAUUAUUUAUUUAUUUGCAUUGAUUUUGGAUGUUUAAUUAUGCAUUGCAUUACGAUGUUUAAUUGAUUAAUAUGUCUGCAUUUGAUUGCAAUGUUGGAUUAAUUGUGUUGUGAUAAUGCUAUGCUUUAUUUAUGUGGAAUUGGGAUGAAGUGGGUCACCAUGGGUUUGUGAGACCGUUACUGUUAUAUGGAUCCUGAUUACCGUUACCGUUAUAUACCGUUACUGUUAUAUGGAUCCAUUACCGUUAGCCGGGUAAAUGGCAGAUCGGCGCCCCCGUGUGCACCUACCGUUACCGUUACCGUUAACCAUAGGAUGACUGCUUGUUGUUGCGCACCUGAAAAUCUAGAUUUGAUCGCAGCCCGCAGGGUGGNNNNNNNNNNNNNNNNNNNNNNNNNNNNNNNNNNNNNNNNNNNNNNNNNNNNNNNNNNNNNNNNNNNNNNNNNNNNNNNNNNNNGGCCAGUAUGGGGGAUCGGCUCCCUAGUGCACAUGUGAGUGGAUGAGCCAUGUGGGAGGACGACUCAUCGGGGUUUCGGUGACACCGCUGACUAAUUUCCACGUGAUGUGAUUACAUGAAGAUGUUAACGAUUGUGGGUGCUGAUAAUAUGCAAUUUGUGUGAAUUCAUGUGUUGUGAAAUAGGUAUUCCUUCUUAGAAGGUUCACAUAUCUUGUUUAAUUUUUCAGGAAGUAAGUUUCUCUUCAAUUCGGUUAAGUUAUGUUCCUUUGCGCAGGGCUAGAAGAAAAUUUUUCCAGUUUCAUAAUUAUUUUGCUAUGUAAUUAUAUGUAUAAAAAACUAUGUAUACCAAAUAGUUAGUGACUCCGCAGUUGUAGAAUUUNNNNNNNNNNNNNNNNNNNNNNNNNNNNNNNNNNNNNNNNCUCAAUAUUAUUAAAUAUAUAUAUAUAUAUAUAUAUAUAUAUAUAUAUCAUCAUUCAUGGUUAUGGGAUUACAGUAUAUCUGUUUUGCAACGAAGAGUAAAGCUUAAUUAAUUUUUUAAAUACUUGCCUAAAUCAUUAAGAGCAAUCAUCAAUUAUAAAUUGAUUGCUAAUAAUUUAGCUAAUUUAAUUUAUUAAAUAAAUUUAAAGCGAAAAUUUUAACUAAAAACACUAAUCAAUAUAUAUAUAUAUAAUCUUGAAAAAAAAAAGAAUUUGACUUGACUCUCUCCAUCGAUCCUUCCUAUUUUUCUUUUUCUACAAAUUUUUGAAUUUUCUACUUUAUUUUUUGAAAUUUUUGAUAGGAUGAUUCUUGUUAAUGUUUUUAUAAUAAUAAAAAUUAAUCUAAAAUUAUUGAAUUUUAAAAUUUUUGAAUUUUUUUUAUCUAAAUCUAUGUAGCUAUAUGUAUAUAUCUAUAAAUACCUCCCACUUUCAAUGAUUUUUUCACAAUGGUCUGUCUUCAUAUUGAUUUGUUGUUUCUUUAGAUUAUUUUACUUUCAAUUUUUUGAGUUUUGAUUGUACUAUAUAAAUUUUUAUUUUUUUAUUUUAAUAUAUAUUGUUAUUAUUGUUUUUCAGAUUUUGAAUUACAAAAAGACGAUAUUAGCAAUUUCAAUCGAUAUAUAUCAUGUCUCUUCUUCUUCAAUUAAGUACAAUAAAUUAUAUAAUAUAAAGUAUGUUUAAUAGUAAAUUUUUUCUUGGUCUAUGUAGUUUUUAAGUUUAUGAAUGAAAUGUCAAUAUUUAUUUAUUUAUUUAUUUAUUUAUUAUUAUUAUUAUUAUGUCAUUUCUUUUAUCUGUUUUAAUUAUUAGGUAGGAGAUUAUUAUUAUUUACAUAAAUUAAAAGAAAAAAACAUUAAAUCCAAUAAAUACAUUUAAAAUAACAAAGAGAGCUUAUAAGAUAACAUCUAAUAAAUUAAAAAAUAAUAAAUUUAAUACAUUAAAAAUAAAUUUAGUUACCAUUUAUAUUUAAAAUGAUAUUCUUAUAUCCUUAAAAUUUUGUUUUUAUUAUUUAAAUAUUAAAAAAUUAUUUUUAACAAUCAUAUUUUAAAAUUAAUAGUCAUUGACAAUAAUUAUCUAUAUCUAUAUCUAUAUUUUAAUUUUAAAUUUUGAACAUUUUUGUCUUUUAUUAGAUCACUUAAGAUACUUUUUCUAAGUGUAAAAUUUAAAAGUUUUACUUAUUUAAAAUAAUUAUUUAAUUUAUAUUUGAAUUUUGAAUAUUUUUAAUUUUAUGUUAUGUCUAUGUAUUUAUAACGAUUAUCUGUUUUUAUAUCUAUGUAUCUUCAUCACCAUCAUACUUGAAGAUGAUCAAUAAAAAAAAUUGCAAGUGAAAUAAUUUUAUUCAUCAUCACCAUCAUACUUGAAUAUGAUCAAUUUAAUUUUCUAGCAAUAAUUAUAUGGUACAAAUAUCAUUUAUUAUUUAAUAUUCACUUUAUGAUUUUAAUUUUUUUAAAAAUAAUAAAUAAACUUGGUUUUUCUUUUAUUUGCAGUUGCAAAAAGAUUUGAAUAAAAGAAAUCAUAUAAUCAAUUGCCAAAAUUAUAAUAAUUUGCUUAAGUUGAAAAAUGAACAUAAUUCAUGUUUUUUCUAAAAAAAAAAAAGCCUAAUAAAAAGCACAAAAAUUUAAUUUUAUUAACACACAUAACAGUAAUUGAUAACUCAUCUAAAUCUAUUUUAUAAAAGAAAAUCAAAUAUCCCACGCUGCAGGCCUUUAUCUAGUUAAAAUAAAAUUCUACAAACUGAAAAAGGCAAUUAUGAAAGUUAAAAGUUAGAACUUAGAACAAAAAUUUUCAAACAAUCAUCUGCUUUAUAUAUAUAUAUAAGCCUAAAAAUGAUCACUUUGAGAAAAAAAAAAUCAAGAAGGAAUGUGAAUAAUUUCUGCUACAAAUUAAUAUGGUUAAAAAACAAAUCUAAAUAUUUAAAAUCUAAAAUCUACGUACACAUAAUCAUUAAAUGAUUUUGUAAUGCAAUAAUAAAAGUAAAAAAGGACUAUUAGCAAAAUAAAAAAUAAUUUUUUUUUGUUAAAAAAAAAAAAAUUAAAGUCAGACAACCUGCCUGUGAUUAAUUAGACAAAUAUUAAUUGCCAAUUAUUAAGCAAAUAAACUAAAAAUGUCUCCUUAUAACUAACUCUCAAAACAACGACGAACCAAUUCUCAAAAGAAUCUAAACCCUAACUUUAAUUAACUAAAUAAUAAUUCAUAUUAAAAAAAAUUAACUAAAUAAUAACUAUCCAGUGAAGUCAUGCAUAUAGCUCUUGUAAAGUUCAGCGGCAGCUUUAGCAGCACAAAGACCAGCAGUAAGAUUAAUCUUAUCAUCUUCUAAUCUUCUGCACUCUAUUUCCAAAUCAUUCAUAUGCUUACCCAAUUGCUCGAUAACCGAGCUUUGCCUCCCAACUUCUGCAGAAAGAUUCUUACUCUCUUCUCUUAACUUUCUGCAACUCUUGACUUUCAUUCCAACAUUCUUUAUAGUAAUCUACUGAUGAUUCCACAAUCUGAAUCUUGUCCUCCAAAUCACUUUUCUCACUUAACGUUCUGUUAUAAUUUUUUUCAUAAUCACAAGCAGCACUGUAGUAAUACUGAUGAGCUGAAUUCGCUUCAGAAAGCUUGUCAUUAAGUUCAUUUUUCUCUUCUGCCCAUCUUUUUUGGGCUUCUGCAAAAUCUAACUCCAUUUGUUGAUAAUUUUCUAUUAACUGAUAAACAGAACCAAGCUUUUCAUGUAGUUCUUUUUUCUCCUCAUCAUCAUUUUCAUACUUUCUUGAAUUCUCUUCUUGAACUUGCUCCAACAUUUUUAGACUCUCUUGCAGUUUUUCUUUUUCUGUAGUUUCAUAUCUAAUAUCUGCAAUAAGUUUCUCUUUCUCUUCCACCAACUUAAGGAUUUGCACAUCACAGAAUUUAACUGAGACAUCAAAAUCCUUUUUCAUCUUUUUGAGUGCUUGCUCAAAGAUCCGUUUCUCCAUUGUCAAUUUCUUGAGGUCCAUUUCGAGAAAACCGCAUCCACAUUUCAAUUUAAUUAUUUCUUCGCCUUUUUGGUCCAGUAGUCCAGGUGGUUUCAGUUGUUCUUGUUCUUUUGCUUCUUUCACUUCUUUCUGGUCUGCUACAGUUGCUUUAAGUUCUAUCUUUGAUUCAUGUUUCGAAUUAUUCCUGUUUUGAGCCAUUUCUUGAAUUUUCUCCGAUGUCAACUCAGAUUUCUUUGCUCUUUCUUCCUUAUUCAAGUUCUGUACGUUUCUAAUUUUUCUAUUUUCCACCUCAUUAUUAACAAUAUAAUUUGAUAUGCGUUCCUUGAGAUAAUCCAAAUACACUUUCAUUGAUUCGAGAUGAGCUUUCUCUUUGGAUCUUUCUUUCCUAAUCUUCUCAGCUUCCUCUUUCGAUGCAGCCUCUUUGAUGAUCUCAGCUUUAUCUUUGGAUGGUUCCAUCUCGGUUUCAGUAUUCAAUUUCUUGAUUAGUUCUUGACUCUUAGUAGGAUCCUGCAAAACAUAUUCUGGAAAGUUAAUGGAUAUAUAAAUACUAUCAACAAUAACCAAGGAACUUGAUAUUAAUUCAUUCUAAAUUGAACAGCACUAAACUUGUAUUGUAUUUUGUAUGCCCCAACGAAAUAUAGUAUAGUCAGACAUUAUAUCAGGUUAUUUCAAGAACUUUUUUUAUCAGCAACAUAUAUAUGUAUACUAUUAAUUUAUAUCCAAGAAAAACUUAAUCAUUUUCAGUUUAUAAACCUAAGUUACCUAGUAAAUGCCAGAUAAAAAAAACCUAGAAAACCUCAAUUUACAUCAGAUUGGUUAUGUAAUUACUUAAUCAAAAACACUAAUUGAUAUCAAUGUCAACUCAUGAAAAAAAAAAAAAAAAGUUAACUUUUAACUUUUAGCAUUUUAUGAAAAACUACCUAAAUUAUUAAUAGCUAAACUCUAAUAAAAGCCGUGUUAGUUAAAUAUCUUUUAGCGUAAAAAAAAACUAAAAGCUAACUUUUAGAUGUUACGUUAGUAUUUUAUAAAAAAUUAAUUCCUGUAAAUAGAUAAAAAAACAGCUAAUUUUGCGAAAUAAAUCCAAUUUUAUUGUUGCAGACAAUAUCAAUACAAAGCAGUUACUCUAAUAUAUUGAGAUCAAUAGUCGAGCAAACAAGAAAUUGAUUAAUUAACUCUCUCUCUCUAUAUAUAUAAAUCAAUUACAGGAGAACUUACAUUAGGUUUAGCGGUAGCAAAUUUUUGGAGAAGGCCAUACGAAAGUAGUAUAUGAGAUAUAAUUAUUAUCACCAACGACGUAAAAGCGCCUAAACCCUUAACGUAAACCUCAAUAUCUCCAAAACAACAAUGAAAGAAUAACACAAAAUAGAUCAAAAACCGCGCAAAACAUAUUGUACUAGUACCAUUGGAACUCUGCAAAAGAAAGUUAAUUACUUAAGUAAUUAUCCAUAACUAAAAACGCAUAAUUUAAAUAAAAAAAACAAGCAGCUAUGAUCUUGAAAGGGAUGGGGGAAUACUCGCAAAAGAACCCUAAUUUGGAUACUCACAUAAGUAAUGACGAUGCCAAAGCAGAAAUUAGUGAAAACCAAGAAUGUUAUGGCCAAACGUAAUUGAACUGUAUAUUGACUUAGAGAAAUACAAAUAAAUUUUAAAAUUAUCAGUCGCUCAAUCCAGAAAAUUGCAGUGAAGGCUAUGUCAUCAAGUUUCGUGUCUUCUUCUCCUCUCUUAACAAUAUUGGCCAUUGUUUGUUUGCUUAGCGGAAAAGUAGCAAUACGAAAAAUAUGAUUAGGGUUUUAUGGUUUAUACAUAGGCUAUUAUAUUUUUCCUAUAUAUAGGGUAAUUUUUACAUAAUUUGUUAUGGUUUAGGAUUGGCUGAGAAUCAAAUCGGUACGUGAAUGGAUAAAGAGUUUAUUUUUUUAAAAAAUAGCAAUUAAUCUCAAUUAAUAAUUAAUAAUUAAUAAUUUUCAAACAAAACUGCAAUAGCUAAUAGCAAUGUUCUGUUCUUAUAGGGAAAGUAAUUUAGAUGGGUAUAGGAUGUAGAAUGAAUUUGGUGCUUGGAGGAUUUAUAGAAUCCAUUAAAGACUGAGUCCGUAUAGGUCAAAAUCUUAAUUCUUAAUUCGAAGAAAAAGAAUGGGGUGAUUACAGUGUGAAUUUAGACUUAAAAUUUUUAUGGAAAUCUUUCAUUCCUGCUGCUAAAGAAUAUAAAAAUAUUAGAGAAAUAGAAAAUAUAUAGAAUAAGAAAACAAAGAUAAUAAUUAGUCUGCCUAUGUAGUCUACAAGAAAGAAAAGAGGAGAACUUUGGUUUCCUUGGGUCACUGGCCAUCUGCCGGGAGUUUCGGAUUUAUGGCUUGGGUUAGCAAUGGGACACUCUAAUUGGUUUAAUUUAAAGUUUAUCAAGUGGUUUGGUUUGCGGACCAAUCAUUUCUCUCCACUCUCUUUGAAUUGAAUGUUACACUAUAAGUAAAAUAAUGUCACAAUAUCAGAAGCAAUAUAUUCCUAAGAAUAUAUUCUUUGACGAGAUUCCCACUGAAAGGUUCAAUUGUUACAUUAUAAGUUUAACAAUUUAUAGGUGAGAUUGUCACGCCACAGUUAACAAACAAAAUAUUAUUGUUAUUGUUACACUAUAAUUACAACUAUAGUGUUGCAACCUACAAAUAUAAAAUAUGUACUGUGUCAUUGUUAGUGUAAUAAUAUAUUUUGUUUACACCUCAACAAUUUGAUGCCAUGAAAGAGAUGUUUGUGGGGAAGAAAAAUAUUCUUGUAUUAGGCAUAAGAGGUAUAAGAACUAUAAAUUAUUAAAUGAAAAAAAAAUGUGUAAGAAGUGUAAAAGAGUAAAUUAUUAAAAGAAAGAAAUUUCUUUGUAAGUGCAAGAGAAUAUUUACUAUUCCACUAUUCUAAUCCGUGAAGCUUGGUAAAUUGUAAGUGUAUAUAAAGGAAAGAACAUUGCUUCUCCCAUUUAUCUACAUGAGGAGUGCUUUUCCCUUAGUCUCCCCUUCUUGCUUUGGUAAGGUUUAAUUUUUUUUUUUUUUGUUAAUAUAUUUUGUUACAUAUUUGUUAAUAUAUUAUGUUCAGAUAUGAAUAUGAGUGUUAUAAUAUACUUGUAAACUUAAAGAAUAUAUUCUUUCUGACACUGUGACAUUGUUUUAAUUAUAGUGCAACAUUCAACAAAAAGAGAGUAAAGAGAAUAUUGUUCUAUAAAACUGCUGGACAACAUUAAUAUAAAUUAAAAUUGAUUAUUUUUAUUGCAGUCAUAGUGUAAUAAUGCAUUUGUUAAAUUAUGACUAGAAUAAAAGCCUUUGAAAUGUCAACAAAACAUUGUUAUGAUAAAUAUCAAUAGUUCAUAAUAUAAAUUUAUGGAAAUUUAAACAUCUAAUUUCUACAAUUAAUGAGUUAAAGAUAGCAUAAUAAAAUUAUUUGAGAAAAAAAUUAAAUAAAAUCAAAAUUACCUUGUUUAUGCUCAAUAUUGAAUCACCUCUAUUUAUCUUCAAGACAAGCAACCGUAUCUUCUAUUAUCAACUUGCUGUAUAAAGUGGUUAGAAAUCAAAAGACACAUUAUAGUACUUACCCUUUCAUAAACUAAUGUGGUUAUGGAUUUAUAGCUAUUAAGGAAAAUAAAUUGGGCACGCUUCGCAUUUCAGUGACCUAGCAGCCAAAUUAUGUUAUGCUGUUUAACCUAGCUUUUUAACUACUGAUGGAAGAGCAUUUAGCAUCUCAAAGGGACCUAUAAAAUGCUAUCAUUGAAGUACGAGAAAAUAUCGGUCAAUUAGAGGUUACAAAGCUGACCCAACUGUAGGGUAGAGCAAACCGUUUGUUAAGUUCAAACCGAAAUCACAAAAUAUAAACCGAAGUUUCUUUAUAAUAAAUCAAACUGGAAAGAAUUUUUGUAAUGAAUCGAAUCAAUCGAACUGAAUCAAUCGGUUUGGUCUAUUUUUAUCGUUUUCACCGUUUCAGUUUUGUUCUAAAUCCAAUCACUGAAUAUUUAUGUAACCGAAUUGAACUGAACAAUAAAUUUGAUUCAAACCGAAUAAUCUGACUGACCGAACCUCUCUUGGGCAUCAGACCGAAUAAACCGAAAUGAGUCGGUUUGAUUUUCAAUUCGGUCCUACCGAUAAUUUUGCUCGCCUCUACACAUGAAAAUAUCCUUUUAACCUAAGAAGAUUAUAAUAUAUGUUUGACCCAAGAGAACGUGGGUCGACCUCGGCCGUUCUAUCAUUAUCUAGGCAGCCUACGGUUAGUUAAGUGGGUCAAGGAGCAAAUUGAUAUUUAGAGGACAUCAAUCAAUAUGGCCCAUCUAAAUUUAUAAUUAGACUUGGGCCAAGAUUAUGGAAGGCCUCCAAAGCAAAAGGAAUAUCUAAUAUAUGGUGCCUAUCCUGAAAAUUAUUAAGAAUAUCUUACAAAUUAACUUGAUCAAAUCUUUUUUUUUUCUUUUAAGAAACUUGAUCAAAUCUAAUAUUCUGAAAAUUUUCAAAUACAUUUUUUAUAUUAUUCUAUGCAUCUCUCUAUAACCUACGGGUUGUGACUCAGUUGGCAAUAUAGACUGAGCAGGUGGGAAGAGUUCGGGUUCGAUCCUCACUAAAUGCACUUGCAAUAGAAAUGUGAGAAACCUUAAUUGUGACUAAGUUCCGAGCUGGAAAAAGACAUCCUGAUGAUGGAGUCCGAAUACCGGUAAUUUAUUUUAAGAAAAAAUGCAUCUCCUAUAUGAUAAUCCUUCAUUAAUUUGUUAGACAUAUGAUUCUAUUGCUAGGGAAACUCAUUCUACAAUAACAGUAGCAACAUGUAGAAAUAAGUGUAAGUAACGAAAGUAAUAGCUAAAAUGAAUUAAGAACUUAACACUAAAAUAUUUAAAAACUUUUCAGAAAAAAAAAUUACUGCUCCGUUUAUUUCUGUAAACUAACUUACUGAAAAAUAUUUUUGUGGAAAACAUUUUCCUUGAAAAAUAUUUCUCAAAUAACUUAUUUUCUAUUAUUUGGUUAUAAUAUUGAAAAUUAGUUAAAAAUAUUAAAGUUUUUAUCUCAUAAGAUCAUAAAAGAUAUUAAUAAUAAUAGACAUUUUAUAAUUUAAAAAUUUUAUUGUUAAAUAUGAAAAGCAUGCAAAAAAAAAAUGUAAAUUAUGAAAGUCGUCGGUGGCUGGUGGUAAAUGAUGACUGGUGGUAGUGACUACGAUGAUUAAUAAAUUAAAAAAUAUAUAAAUAUAUAAGGUUUCCCAAUGUCCGAAAAAUGUUUUACUCUCUCAAAUAUGAGAAGUUAUUUCCUUAAAAAAUGACUUAAUUUUCCAUUGAUUAGGAAAACAUUUUCCAUUUACACAUUUUCCUGAAUACUCCAAACAAUGGAAAAUUGUAAAAAAUAUUUUCUGUAAAUUAUUUUACGAAAACAAACGGACCCUAACAUGAAAAAUAAUCUAAAUUUCACAGUCCAACAUGGCCUAUUUCGUUUUCCAAAUGAGCUAACUCAUAGAUGUUUUAAGUUUAUUAACUAUUUAAUAAUCAAAUAAUAAUUUGCUAAGUGAGGCAUAAUUUUCCAAAAAUAACUUAAGAAAGAACAUGAGUUAAUAAGAACUAAGAGAUCGUACAUGUCUUAGAUUAUCUAAUAUAAUUUGGAUUAGACAGAGGCUGUAAAAGGCAGGGACGAGAAAUUAAAAAAAAAUAAAGAAAUAAACAGAAAAAAAUAAAUAAUUUGUUUCAAGUUUGGUAGUUACAUUUUAGUGAUAUUAAAAUACUUUUUAAUUUAUUUUCAUUUUUAACUCUGUCAAGUGGUUGCAUUUUUCUAAAAACAAACACAUAAAUGCGUAAACUAAUUUAAUUUAGUGGUUAAAAUGCAUUUACUUACUUAAUCCUGGUGAUUGUAGAAUUGAGCCAUAGAAUUAAACAUUUUAAGACUCUAAACAAAAGAACAGGAGUGAGAGGAUAUCUUUAGUAGUAAAAAUAAACAAACAUAUACAGAAUAUAAAGAAUUUUAGCGGAAAAAAAAGAUCCAUAGACCCUUUUUAAUAUGUAGAUUGGUACUGUUAAUAAUUUUAUGAUGUUUGAUCAUAUGAAAUGAGAAAACAACAAUCACGUAUUAUUUUGUUACUUAGAUAAUAAACGAAUGGUUUUUGCUUGUGAAACAUCGUAACAUUAUAAUAGAAGAAUGCCUUAGGUUUCAUGCCGUAUGACAUACAUAGAAUAUUCACCGAGAAGUUCGCAAUUAAAAGAGAUAAUUUAUAUGAAUAAUAAUUAUAUAAUAAAUAUAAGUGACAAGAAUUCCUUACAAAAAGAUAAUAAACUGUUAAAAUUAAAUUGCAAAAAUCUUCGACUAUUUUCAUUUACUGAAAUCUAUUCUUAAUAAUUUUAUUGUCAAUAUUAUCAAAUAUAUAUCUUUUAAGGGUAAAUCAUUAAAUAUACUCCAAACUUUACGUAUUGUAAUAAUUACACCUUAAAAUGAACUUAACCUCUCAGGCACCCCAAUUUAGGCAUGACCGGUUCAAAAUUUUUAAAAUGUUGAACCUGAACAAGUCCUUGAACAACCGGUUCCGACUCUGGCCGGGUCCGGUGCGGUUCCGUUGAACCGACUGUUCCGAUCAUGGUUUCCGGCGAUAUAUGUUUUUUUUUUAAAAAAAAAAAUCAGUUUUAACGUUACAUCUUUUUUUUUGAAAAUAUUAAUAUGAGUUUAAAAAAUAUUGGUAAAUUUUAUUUUAAAUAAAUUUUAGAAUACUCAUACUCAUAUAAGAAUAAAAUUAAUUAAUUUUACAAAAUAAUCAAAUAAGUUAUCACUUUAUUUUGUUCAAAUUUUAUUAAUUAAAUAAAUUAUAAGAAAAUUUUGAAAAAUGCUUCAAAAGAAUGUAAUUUUAAACUUAGUAAACAAUUUAAAAGGGUAAAAAAAAAAAAAGAGUUAAAAACAAUAUAAGUUUAGACUAAAUAUUUCUCUCUUUUUUCUACCAUUUUACUUUUUAGAUUUUUAACUUUUAAAGUAAAGUGUAUUUAAAAAAAAAAAAGAACUUAAGUAAAGUAUAUCAUGUAGUAAAAUAUUAUUGAGACUUUUAGAGAUGUAUAAAAUAGGCUAAGUGAUUAUUAUUUUGAAAAUAAAAAUAAAAAAUUUUCGGUUCAAAUCGAACUGAAACCGCCUAUUAACUGACGGUUCAGGUUUAGAUUUUAGCAUUGACAUGAACCUUAACCGGCCUUUGAACUGCCGGUUUCAGUUCAUCUACAGUACAGUUCGAUUUUGGUUCAAAAUGAAUCGGUGGCCAUUCCUACCCCAAUUGCAAACUUUUGUGAAAAUUGUACCCUAAUUUUAAUUUGGUCAAAAUUAAAUAAUAAAAUAAUAUUAUUAUGGGACCUAUAGUAACUACUUGGGUUGAAUUAACCAUGCCAUGGGUUAAGUGAAACAGAUUGUGUCACUUAAGGUUGGCUCCCUCACUCUCCUUAAUCUUUCUUUUCUUAACCACUCUUCUCCUUUACCUCACCUUUCCAACAAAACGACCAGUAACAUAGAAGAUCAAAGCACACAGCAAACUAUAAUUUUAAAUCAAACAGUAACACUAUGAACACAAAAGGGCACGAGUUAACCCUUUAGUGCUAUCAUAUAUGCUUCCCGAGCUAUUUUCUAGUCUCUCCUAAUAGUGACAACUUCGCCCUUGUCAUAUUAAAACUUCAUGGUGAGAUACUUGAUGCAUGUGGCCGCUUCCAAUUCAUAUACGGCUAGUCUUCCCAAUAUGACAUUGUAUCGAAAGUGAAUAUUUGCUACCAUGAACUCCAAUUUGAGUUUCCUUGAUGAGACUUCGGUUCUGAGCUCUAGAGUUAUGUCUAUAGAUCUAGACACUUGUACAGGUUUUCCUGCCAAGCCGACUAAAGGGGUUUGGAAAGUUUUAAGUUUCGCCUGGUCUAGUUUUAAAGCCUUGAACACUUCCAUGUUCAACAAGUUCAUUGCACUACCUCCAUCCACCAAGAUUCUUUUUACUAGAAAGUUUUCCAAAAUUCCCUCAAUUACUGGGGCAUCAUUGUGUGUGGUAUUUACAAGUUCACCGUCAGCCUCAGAGAAUGAUAUGGGCGGCCUAACACUUGGUUUUUGCUAGAGUAGAAUGGAAUAGAUUUUCCUGGCUCUCAUUUUCCUAGCUGAAUUACUGUCACCUCCCGUUGACCCACCAAAUAUGGUGUGGAUUGUGCCCAGGGUAUGACAUUCUUACACCUGCUUGUCCUUUUGUUCACUUUCUCUCCGAGCUCUCCCAACAAAUUACUUUAGUUUGCCUCUUUACACAAGGCAUUCUGUCUCUUUCUUUAAUUACCAGCAGGCUUCAAUCUCAUGGCCUACAUCGCUAUGGAACUCGCAAUACUUGCUCUUAUCUCGAUAGCUCGAGGUAUCCUCCUUUAUCUUUCUAGGAUAAUAGAACUGAAUUUGAUCGCAUUGUUCUCUUACCUGGGCCAAUAUUUCUGAAUGCAGUCUAUUCAAAUGGGUAAACUCCCGAUCUUGUUGUGGUUUGCCAUCUCUUGAGUAUCAUGUUCGAAUAGAGUAACUGGUUUGUGGGAACCAGAUGGACGACCUCCUUCGGGGCGAUCGUCUCCUUACCGGGGAUGGGUGUCUUUUGUGUCUAUACCUCUCUUCUUUGGGCGAUCUAUGCUGUUGUGCCUCAUAGACUUCAUCUAGUUUUGUGUAUUUGUGAGCUCGUGUCAUGAGUUUGGUGAAUGUUAAGGGAGGGUCUAUACUUAAACUCUCAAAUAACUUGUUGUACCUGCAAUUCUUUGCCUUGUCGCUAAUGGCCACCUUAUCAUUCAAGUUCUCCAUUUGUAUCGCCAUUCUUUAAAAUUUGGAUACGUAUUACCUUAGGGUCUCCCCCUCUUCUCUUUUUAAACUACAAAAGUUUGACAAUAUUUUUCUGGAUGGUACACAUGUUAUGAAACGAGCUCGAAAUGCUGUGGCUAACUGGGAGAAGUAAUGAACGGAUCAUGUUUUGAGUGCUUGAUACCACUCUUGAGCUGCUCCUUUCAGGGUAAUUGGGAAGACUUUGCAUAUUAGAUCCUCCAAGUUUAUUUGAAGGUUCGGAAGAUCGCCAGAUGGCUUUGGGGAUCGGUAGAUCCAUCAUAUGCUUGGAAAGUAAGAAGUUUGAACUUCAAUGGGAAGGCUACAACCAAAAUAUCAGCUGACAAGAGCGAGUCUUGUCGGAGACCAUAAUCCCCUGUUUCUUCUGUGUCUCUACACUCUCGAACUAAUUCUUUGACAACAUUCCGGAGAUUAGCUCCGUCCAAGAUUGGCUGAGUGUGACUUAGCUCUUAGUUGUUGAGGUUAGUCACACUAGGGUCUACUUCAGAUUCUGCCUCAUAGUAUCGAUCAAACAUUGAAUGACUUUAGUAUAUAGGCGAGGUUGGAGGGAGGCUAUGUUCUAGGUGGGGAGGGUUCACCAGCUUGGUGGGUGGUACUAGCUCGCUGCUUGGCUUAGGGUUCUUCAAGAGGCGUUUGGUGGUGAACUGUGAAUAAGCAUGAGCUAGAGCAACUGCUACCUGAAGAUCAGUGGUCAUUGGAGAGGUGAAUGUGGGUUGUUGGUUGAUCCCACCAUAGGUGUUGUCUUGGCCUUUCAUGUUGAGGCAUUCACUGUACUCGUUAGCCAUAGGAACCGAGAAAAACUAUAGGGAUUUUUUUUUAGAGUUUGAAUGUAUAUUCCACCGAUUCCACGGUCAGACUUUAAGGUGUAGUAAAUUGUGAAACCUUUCUUAGAGUAAAUUUGGAGUAUAUAUACACUAGGUCCAGGACAAUUGUAUUAGGAUAAGAAUUACGAAUCCUAUAUUAUCCAUUAAUUAGAAUUUAUUUGAAAAUGUAGUAUUAUUAUUUUAAUAUAUUUUAUUAUUGUAUGUUAAUAGAAACAAUGAAAGGAAAAAAAAAAAAAAAAGGAGACAAUGCUGUCAAUAAUCGCUCAACCAUACCUUUUAAAUCUCCACGCGGAUACCAGAAAAAAUGGGCUUAUCAUGCUAGUAAAUAAACAAAUAUCCAUUUUCUUAUUUGAUUUUGUACCCAUAACUCAAUCAUAAUGCUAUUGUUUCGAAAGAGAAUGCAUAGAAAAAGGAGUGCAAGGGAAUCAAAUCUUAAGGAAGCAGACCUGAUAUUCGAGAAGAGGAGAUUUGGAGAGAUGGAGAUUGAGAAGAAGAGGAAUAGUCUUUGUCUUAUCAAAAGGGUAUUUAAGUCUUUCACUCAGCAUUUAACGGUAAAAAUUGCUAAAAUUAAACUGAAGGACCAUUUAAUGAGACAGAACCAAAAGAAAAACAUGAGGAUGAGUUAAUUAAUUUUGUAAAAUCUCAGGAACGAAAUAAUUAUUUUUCCUUAAUUAACUUAUUAAAUACUACAAGUAAGUCAAAUUCUAUAAUUCAAAAAUAAUUCAUUAAACUCUGUAUAUUAUAAUGCAUCGAGAGAAAUUAAUAGUUAUUAAAUCAAGAAUUAAUAGACUAUGAAAGCCAAUAAUUAAAAAAGAAACGAAAUUACAAAGUUAAAUAGGAUUUUAAUUUUUUUAAAAAAAUAAUUAUUCAAAUAUUUUCCGUUUAUAAUUUCAAGGGGCCAUUUGCCUCUUGCCCAAAUGUGGCUCCGUUCAUGCUUAUUUUGUUAAAAUAAAAGUAGUUACACUGCUAUGGCGUUAGCAACAAUAGCUUUGAUAAUAAUCUUAUCCCUUUUUUAUAAUUUUAUAAAAAGAAUCAACGUCCUUCAAUUGAUUGAAAUAAGAAUAUAGUUUUAAAUUAGAAUCCAGAAACAAUGUAACUUUUAUUACCUAUCAAGAUUCCAUUUGUUUCUCAAAAAUAAUUUGUUUGAAAAUUAAUUUUUAAACUUUUAAUGAUUUGGUUACUUAAAUAAUUAAUUAAUGAAAUAUAUAUUCUUAAUUAAAUGAAAAACUCUUUUAAGAAAAAUAACUUAUUAUUUUUAAAAGAUAAAAAUAUUUUUUUAUGUUAACAAAUUUAUUAUAAUCUUAUAAAAACACAUUUAUUAAUUCAUUAAUUAUGAAUAUUCACCAUCACUAGUCACAGGCAAUUACUGGAUAUUAAUAAUUAAACUUUUUAUGCAUUUUUCUCAUAUUUAAUUCUAAAUAUUUAAAAUACCUAAUUUGUGCAAUUAUAAAUAUUUUAGAUUCUUAUAAAUUAAAAUUUUUAAUAUUUUUUAUUAGUUUUUAAUUCUACAACCAAUUAACAGAAAAUGAGUUAGUAAGAUAUUAAAUAUUCUUCAAGAAAUAUAUUUUACUUUGAAACAUAUUUUCAAAAAUAAAUUAUUUUCUAGCAACAUGCGGCUGUAAAAUUUUUAAUUUGAAAAGGAAACAGUAAUGGAAAUUAAAAACCACCCUUAGAGAAACCCAUGAGCUGCAUCAAGCAUGCAAUAAGCAUGGAAUAAAUGUCAAAUCCCACCGUCCAUAACAAAUCCACUAAAAUGACAUCCAAACCCAUCAUCGUACAAAAUGAAAUAUAAUAUAAAAACAUAAUAUUCCAUCCCCUAAUUAACAUCAUCAUAUUAUGUACGUACCAAUGACCAUACGAUACGAUUUAGAAUUUCGCAUCUAAUAUUACACGGUCCAAACCGCCCCAAUUCAUUAAUUUUAUUUAAUAAAUUUAAAAUAGAUGAGUGGAUUAAGACUGCGUUGAUAUUAGGUUUGAUUUUAUAAGAUCAACCAAAUCCCGAUUUAAAUUUAUUAAAAAUUUAAAAGAAAGAAGAAGAAAUCGAUUGGAUUUGAGACUCUCUAUGAACCUGUUUUGAUGACGUAGUUUGUUUACUUUUUGAUUAUAUUUGAUUCUUUGUGUAUAUACGACGUCACAUUAAUGGCACGAUGAAUGCAUGUUUCCUUUUCAUGCAUUUUGUUUGGACGUGUUUGGUUCAUUCAAUUCUUUGUUUUAGUUCAAUAAACCGGUGGUUUUUGGACUCUUGACGCUUUUAAAUCCGUCCUCGUAUUCGGAGCUUGCUGGUUUUGUUCUCAUUUCCAGUUACGACGCAAUUCUAAAAAUGCUCAGUUCCGGCCAGUCGUUGAAUCUUUUUCAGUCUUUCUUUUACUGGAAUCGAUCAGCCUAUUGAAUUGAUAAUCUUGAUAUAAUUUAAGUCAAGUCCAAUACCUUGAUUUCGAUAUUUUCAGAAUCAGAACUCUCAAAUUGAUUUUGAUCCAACUUACUAAAUUGAUUCUCAUACUAACCCGACCUGUGGCUAGUGUUAAUUUUGUUACUAAAAUAUAUAUAUAUAUAUAGCUUAUUGUUUAAAAAGAAAAAAGACUUAAUUUAAUAUAGGAGUUUUUUUUUUUUUCUAAAUUGAAAUCAAAUAAUCCUAAUUUUUUAGUUUCCUUUGUUUGGAUGGAUGAAAUGUGAUUCACGGAUUUGAAUGAUAUUUUUGCAAUGGAAUUAAGUUGUCUAAAUUCCAUCAUUAAUUAAAAAAAUAUGGUCUUAGAGAAAUUUUACCUAUUAAGGGGUUUUUUUUUUUCCUUCUAAAAUUGUAGAACUGAGGUUAUGAUUGGUAAAUUUCAUGAAUAUUUUUUCUCAACAAACAAAAGAAUUUGUUAAAUCUGUAAUAUUUAAAUUGUAUCAUUCAAAUUUUACUAAUCAAAGCAAUUUCAAAGUGCAUUUCUUAUAAUAAUAACUUCAACAAAUACCCGUGAUAACUUGGUCUAAUAGUUAAAGCACACUAGAUCUCACUAUGAUGAUCGCAUGGUCGAAUUGUGAAGUUGGCAUAUUAAAAAGGUCUUUUAAACAUAAUUGCUCUUCGGCGCAUAAGAAAGUAGUCUCUCGUCUAAUAUUAUAACGCCUUCUAUACUUACUAUGAUUACUUGCCUUUUUUUCAAAAAAAAAAAAAAAUUAUAUACACAUAUUGUUUUUAAAUAUAAUAUUAUGGCAAGGGAUUGAAUUACAUGGGGAAAAAAAAGUAGAAGAUUUAUAGGAUAAACAAUAUAAUAUUUACAGUUGCGCAUCCAAAAUUACACGGUCCAAACCGCCCCAUUCAUUAAUUUUAUUUAAUGAAAUUAAAAUAGAUAAGUAUAUUAAGACUCAAGAGAGUUAAAAAAAGAAAAGUUAAAAAAUGAUAAUAUAAAAAAAAGGCAAGUUAAGAGUUUGCCUUAAUAAUAAAAUGAAAAGUAAAAAUAUUACAGCGGUUUAUGAGCUGGCUUUAUUUAUAAUGAUAAGUAUGAUAUAUUAUCUCUGUUUUUAGUAAUGUAAUAUGAUAUGUUAUCUAAACGCAUGGAUAUGUUAUCUAAAUGCAUGCAUGUAAUUAUAUAUGUUAUUUUAUGAUGUGCUUAAUUUUUCUCGUGUUAUAGUCGUUCAUGUAAUUUUUUAUUUAUAUAAUAUUAAAAUAUUUUUAAUAGUGAUUAAUUUAUAUUGCAUUUUAUAUAUAUAAUAAUUUUUUUUGUUACAUGUCUUUCAAUGUAACAUUUAAUUAAAAAGAACCACUCAAAAAAAUAUUUAAUUAAAAAGAAAAUGAUACUUAUAUUAUAUUUUUAAAAUAACACUUUUUAUUUGUAUUCUCUUUGAGCUAUUGAUUCACUACAACGUGGAAAACAUCUGUUAAUUAGGUAAACUGAGUUGAUAUUAGGUUUGAUUUUGUAAGAUCAACCGAACCCCAAUUUAAACUUAUUAUAAGAAAGAAGAAGAAAUAGGAUUGGAGUUGAGAGUCCUUAAUAUGAACCUGUUUUGAUGACGUAGUUUAUUUACUUUUUGGUCGUAGUUGAUUCUUUUUGUGUACGUACAUAUACGCCAACGUCACGUCAAUAGCACGCAGAAUGCAUGUUUCCUUUUCAUGUAGUUUGUUUGGACGUGUUUGGUUCAUUCAAUUCGUUGUUUUAGUUCAAUAAACAGGUGCUUUUGGAUUGCUGAGGUUUUUAAUAAAUCCGGGUCGAACACCUUGAUUUCAGUAUUUUCAGAAUCAGAACUCCCCGAAUUGAUUUUUCUAAAUAUAGCAGUAAUAUAUUUUUCUAAAUUGAAAUCAAAGAAACCUAAUUUUUUAGUCUCUUUCAUCAAAUUGAAAAAACAAGCACUUAUUUUAAUUAAUAAAAUUUGAAAUCCAUGGAUUUGAAUGUUAUUUUUCAAUAGAAUUAAAUGGUUUAAAUUCAAUCAUUAACGACCAACAAAGUAUUGGUUAAGGUGGUAAGCAAUCUCGAUGUCCAUAAAGGUGUCAGAUUGUGACAUCCUUUUGUUCAAUUUCUACAUAUUUUCCAUGAAAUACUUUAUGAAUGAUGAAAAUCUAAUAAUAUAACGGAAGCAAAAUAUGGAGAUAUAUUAAUAUAUUUAAAAAAAAAAAACAGAAACAGACCAGUUGUAUUUCAUAAACCGCAAAGAUGGUGUUAUAAUUCUUCCAUUUGAGUUUUGGCUUCUCGAGGGCAAAGGCAUAUACAAAUUGUGAAAAGCUCUUGAUAGUGAAUGAGAGCUGGACGACACUAACCUAAAAUAUAGUUAUAUUAGCGGUGGUGUGAUAGUUUCACAGCACCUAAAACUAUGUUACUACCAACUAAAACGUCACGCUCUUCUUCCAAAUAUGCACCAACUUCAAAAAAUUUAUGAUAAAAACAAAGUUUAAACAACAUUCCUUUGAGCAUUUAUAAUUUAUACUUUUAUUUGGGUUAAUUAGGUAAUAUAUAUCUAUCCUUCCGAUGUCAUUAAUUAAAAUUAUUUAUACCGUUACUAACUUGGUGAAUUCGAGUGUAAUCUGAUUUAUUUUCUUCUUUUCUGUCAGAAUGUGAGAGAUUUUUUUAAAUCGAGAAUUUAAUGAGUCAAAGAGAGACCUAUUUAUUUUGGUUCAUUAAUUCUUAUAAUGAAUAAAAAAAAUAUACCCUCGAACAUGAUAAUCACACCAACGAUUAUAUGAAAAGAAAAAAUAAAUCUUUUUAAGUGAAUUCAAUGAAUACAUUUUGAUCAACAUGCUAAAAUAUAAAUAUCAAUAUUCUAACUUGUAAUGCCCUAGAUUUUUUUUAUUAUCUAAAAUAAAUAAUGCAAGUGACUAAAAUGGUUAUUCAAAUUGAUAAAAUUCUACUUAUUUUAAUUUGAGUUCAUGAAUAUAAUGCUUUUACUAUAAUGUAGAAUAAAAGAUUUCUGUAUUGAUACAGAACUCAAAUAAUAUGACACUUGUGCAUAAUAUAUAUAUAUAUAUAUAUAUAUAUAUAUAUAUAUAUAUAUAUAUAUUCUAUACCUGACGAGAUUGAAUUAAACGGAAAAAUUAAAAGAUUUAUAGAAUAAAAAAAAAAAAAAUUUACUGUAAGCUUUAAUUACAAAUGACUGAAAAAUAUUAAAAUUUAUAAAUUAAAUAAUAAAGAUAAAUCUUAUUAACAUAAAUUUAAUUUUCAAAAUUAUCUAAUUCUACUCAUUUAGAAAUAUUAACUCAAUUAAAAAUAAGUGAUCAACUUAAAUAACUCCUUGAAUUAUGGUUCAGCAAAUUAUAUUUACAUUAAUAAUCUCAAUUAUUAAUAUCUUUUUUGAUAUUAAUAUCAGAAGUUCAAAUUAUGAGUGUUUCAAGUAAUUGCAUUUAUAUUAUCGUUCUAAUUUAAAUUAUUCUUAUUUAUAAGAAGUUCUUAAUCUUAAUUAGUGCUAUAUUGUUUGAGAAAAGCGGGAUUCGAACCUGAAUCUAUUGUCGGAUCAUAUAUACACUUGCCAUUAGAAUAUGCUUUAGUGUGUAUGAUUAUAUUUCUAUAAUAUACUAUAAUAUAGAAACCAUAAUGUCUUGAAGUAACCAUAAUGUCUCUUGAUUGAAAAUUUUCCACCUGCAACUGGAAGAUGCUAGUAAAGAAUCUAUGCCUUCAUGUGUAAACUUGGCCGUUGAGACCUUUAUGUAAAAAGAAAGACUAGUGACAUUUUGACCGUAAUUUUUAAGGAUUAAACCUAUAAAAAUAUCCUCAAUGUAACAUCCCUUCCCGGUCCACCCAUUAACCCUAAUGAACCGAGCCGAGACGCUACAAUUUGGUUGAACCUAUGUCCUGUCAUGCUGAUAUCAUCCUGUAUGCUAAAUAUUAUGUCAUGUUUAACAUCACUCCCAAUUAAACUCCAAACUUCCAACAUCUCCAAAUAAUCAUCAUAACACAAUAACACUAUUAUAUUUUCAUAACUGUAUAAAUCCUCAAUAGUAUUGAAUAUCCAUCAAAUAAUUGCAUUCAUGACAUAUAUCAAGUCUUAAUGAACUAUUUAAAAUAUUUCAUAUUCAAUCAUUUAAUAAGUAUUAUUCUUCUCUCCAAAUACUUACGCCAAAAUAAUUACAUGCUUCAAUUAUAUUUCCAAUAACAUAAUCUCUACAAAUGUAAUAAUUAUACAUGCUAUAAUUCUUAAUUAUAUAAAUCUCAAUCUCCUACUACCAAAGUAGUCACUUCUGCUUUGAUAUUACUCUUCACAUCUUCAAGUAGCAACCACAAUCUUCAACCUACGCGUAAUAAAAAUCGACGCGCUGAGUAUAAAACUCAGUGGUGCUCAUAAUUCACAUACUUACCAAAGUUGCGAUGGCAACUUACUUAAAAUACAAAUUUCAUAAAAUCAUUGAUAAUCAUAGAAUCAUUAAAUUUCAACAUAAAUUUACAUCUAUAGCAAAGAAAUAUCAAAUAAUCAUAUAAUUAAUAACAUACAUAAUUUAGUUCUAAUUAUACCAGAAAUCCUUUACAUAACCAUUUAAUCACACAUAGCAUUAUAUUUUCAUGAUCUUACCUUAUGUUCCUUAUGCUGUAUGAAUUAAAGAAAUAAACAUGUAAGCCCUAUGCUGUAUGAAUUAAAUAAAUAAAUAUGUAAGCACACAUAACAUUAUUAUGACUUAUGUAAUUUUUAGUCAACAUCGUAUAAGUUAUAAAUAAUAAAAUCUCAUAACUGUAUGGCUCCAUAAGGUUAUAGUGAAACCUAAGUGAUAAGAAGAACUGUAUGAAACUGGAUGAAUACUGUAUGGCUGGGCUGCUAUGGCCCAUAUAUAAUCAUAUCCACUCAACGGCCUGUAGCCGGAGUAACAAACUGUAUGGGGCGCAGAUAUGCUAUUCUAUGUCGCGAUAUAGCCUUAUCUACAUGGUUUCUACUUAACCUCAAUGGAGCAUAUUAUCUGUAUGUCAUUAAUACAAUCAACAUAUUAACUUAUUCAUGAAAUGCAUAAACCAUACUGUUUAUCUGUAUGCUGUCUCAUUAUGUAUGUUGCUAACCUGUUUCAUGCUUUCAUGCUUUAAAAAGGAUGUCCUAGACAAUUAUCAGUAAUAUCUAAUGAGUAAUAAUGCAAACAAUUAAUCACUUGUAAAGGAACUUGCAUGGAAAUAAUUUGACUGUUGCACCCGCGACACAACUCUUACUAAUCUUUAUGUAACUUAAUUUAUACCAAUCAAAUUAACAAAAUUCUUGAUUUUAAUAUAAGUUAACUCAGAAGGUUAAAUUCAGUAAAUAUCUUAGGCUGAAUGAAUCUACAUAUGCAUCCCAACAUCAUGUCUAAUGUAGCCUUGAAAUCUGCUAAGGCUGCCUGUACAUGUUUUACAAAUACUAGCAUAACUCUGUCUUCAUAAGUCCAAUUUAGGUAAUUCAAAAUUCUAUGGUGAGCUAACACAUUAGGGUACAAAUAUGUCUUCUAGCAUAUCUCUUAAUUAUGUUAGUAACGUAGUCAAAUAUUGAGCUAAAGUAACAACUUCCAGUCUGCCCAGCUUUUGGUUUCCAGCCUGCACAGUUUAUACCAUUUUGGACAUAUCUUUUAAUUUAUAAGUCCAAUUUAGAUGAUUUCCAAGCUUAUGGAUAGCUAAAACAUAAAGGAACAAAUAACUCUUAUACCACUUCCUAAUUCCAUCGUUUUCGUUUCUCAAACCUAUGAUUCAAGACAUAGAAAAUAUUCAGCAUUAAAUAAACUUUGACCUUUGCUGAGUGUUUAAGACAUAUAAAUUGAGUUAUAGGGCUUUAAAUUAAAUGAAAUUAGAUUAAUUAGAAAGCUAAGACAAAUUUAUACAAAUUUUAUAAAGGGAUCACAACCCAGAUCAAUGUGUAAGAUGGUGAACAAAGACUAGGAACACAGACCAACAGUCUAGACCUGAUUCAGCAGAACCAAGUCAACUGUUUGUUGUAUUUCUACUUAUCCAAACACUAAAACUAAACCAAUCCAAAACCAGAGAAGUCUAAAGACAUAGGGUAACAACUCUCAUGAAGACCUUAGAACAUAUUCUUGCCAUUAUAGUUGUCAAAAUGGGCACUCAAGUCAGUGAUGCAUGUGGCCCGUCAUAACAGAGUCAGUUUGGGUGUUUUAGCCAUAAGUGGAGCUAUAUAUAUCCAAAUUGAACAUAAGAGGAUGGGUUGGAAAGCUAAGAAGUAGACCUACAACUUUCAUGAAGAACUCAGAUACAACUGGAAAAUAAAAAGGAUCGAUACAUAGUCUUUAAUGCCACCUAAUAACACUUUUUCCCAAUUUCAGCUUACUUAAAUCAUAUACAAGGUAAAGAUUUCUUCCACAUACUAAAUACUCAUCAAAUAUCAUCUUAAGAGCAUAAAUCAACAAAGGAUAACAAGAAAACUUAAGGCCUUAUUCAUCAAUAGGUUCUGCCGCUCUUGGAAGAUGAAGAAGAAAAUGUUUUCCUCAUCAAUUCAACAUAUAGGCAUGCUUAGAAAUCUCUCAAGAACACAUUUAUACCACCAAAAUUGAAUAAUCAAAUCAUUUCAUAUAAAAUUCCCAAUUUUCACAAAAUAGUAUCAACUUCACAAAAUUAAAAAUUUAAACAAGGUAAGAGUGUUUAUGAACACUUACCUCAAAAUCAAGCUUGGAACACCCCAAAAGUCACCAAAUCAAACUUGAGUCUUGCAUUUAGCCACCUUAGAUAGCUCACCUUUUAAUUACCCUUAAAAAUUCUGCACAUCUUUAAGCUCCAAUUCAAUAAUAACCUUGAAUCUUCAAGAGGAAGGUCUUGGUUGGAGUUCAUAUGGUCUAGUUAGAGUGAUUUUUUUGUGAGAAAUUGAAAACAAUAAGGAAGAGAAGGAGAGCAUAUGGUUCGGCCAAGGAAGAGAAGAAAGAAAGAAAUGGUUGCUCAAAUCAUUCACGUUGAAGAUAAAAAGAUGAAGAGAAAAUGGUUGCUCAAAUCAUUGAGCACAAGGGUAUUUUAGUCUUUUCUCAACAUAAUUGGAUGGCUACGAUUAAGUCAAUGGUAAUCUAAUCCAAUGGCUAAAAAUAUUCUCCAAUUUAUUUCCUUCAAAAUAUUAUUUCUCUCCACAAAAUUCUUAAAUUUAAUCCUUAAAAAUAAGUUCUCUUAUUCCCUUACUUAAUAUAACACCAUCUCUAUUUACUUCAUAAAAAUAUUGCAUCUAAGUUCCUUAAUUAAUAUAACACUAUAAUUAACUAUUCACUAAUUAUCUAACUUCUCCAAAAAUAUUCAUUACUUACUUUCUACCCAUAAAAAUAAUGUAUACAUACUCCAAAAAUAUUAAAGACAAUAUUAAACAUACAUAGUAAUUUUUUUCGGACCAAAAUAAUAUCGAUUUCCGGACUGGUGGCACUAUUCACACACUGGUAAACUUACUAUUUCAGACAAAGAAAAAUGGGGCGUUACACUCAAUUUUUCGAUUUUCUGUAUAAUCACUUUAUGUUACUUUUAUAUGCUGCGCGCAAUGACGAAGUCAGGAUUAUAAUACAAAUAAUGUAUAAUAGAUGAUUUAUCAUUUAAUAAAUUAUAUACUACACUUCUCUAUUUAAAAAAUUAUACAAAUAUUAUGAGGAAUGAAAAGUUUAAUCAAUAUAAAUAACAUCUUUUUCCUCUUCAAACAAACUCAAAAUUUAUUGAAUAACAAUUUCAUAAUAAAAGGUUCUUUCGCUCCAUAAAAAAUCAUUCUUUUGAUUUCAUAGUUAAAAACAUAUUUGGAUUGUUUAUGAAAGAAAUGAUAAGAUGAAUCUUAUUUUUAUAACAAUGUAACCAAAUUUAAACAAUUUAAAUGUUAAUAAUAUACAUUAAUUUAUUUAUAUAAUACGAUAAUAACAAAUGCAGAUUGUUCAAAUAAUAACUUGUUAACAAAAAAAAGUGCAUUUAUUAGAGGGCUUAACUCGUGUAGGAAUAAUUCCUCUUAACACCCUCUAAUAAAAUCCCACAUUUUAGGAGGAACUUCCAAAUGCCAUAUCUUUCCUAAUGAUCCCCCUGUAAACGUUCCCCCCCUCUCCCUAGCCAUUUCAACGCUACAUAGUAACUCGAUCUAACCCGAUACUCUCCCCUCCUAUCAAAGUGCCAAAUCAACUUAUCUUCUAGAUUAUUCACACCCAAAGGAAUAUUAAGAAUUGUCCUAAUGUCUCUUGCACUAAAUAACUCCACAAUUUCAUCAAAAUCCCAACCUCUCCUAUCAUUCGUUAUAAGAUCACACACUCUCAUAUCAAGUUCUAAAAAAUGAAUGACAUCCUCCACAUAAAAAGUAUCACUCUUGGGAAGUCAAGGAUCCUGUGUGACCAAAAUAUUCUCACCAUUCCCCACUCUCCACGUAACCCCUAACUUUAGCAUGUCCCUGACAAACAAGAUACUCCUCCAAGUAAAACUGAGAUUAUUCCCUAGUGAUGCAGAUAGAAAUCACCAUCCGGAAAAUAUUUAGCUUUGAGCGUACAAUAAAGAAGAGUAUUGGGUUCGGAUAAUAGUCUUCACCCUUACUUACCAAGCAUAGCAAUAUUAAAGCUAUACAAAUCUCUAAAACCCAUUCCCCCAUCCUUCUUGCUUUGACACAUCCUAUCGCAAGAAUACCAAUGGAUACCUUUAUUAUUCCCCCCUUUAGAACCCCACCAAUAAGAAUUCACAAUUUUUUGAAGAUCAUCACACAACGAUAAGGGAAGUAAGAACAUACUCAUACAAUAAGAUGGACAAGCUUGUGUGACAGACUUAAGUAAAAUCUCCCUACCUACUUUAGACAAGAGCUUAUUAGUCCAACAGUUAAUUCUACUCAAUAACUUGUCCUUUGAAAAAUUACAAAUAUGUUUCUUCCUUUUACUAAUUAGAGAAGGUAACCCCAAAUAUUUCUCCUCUCCUAAAGAAUUAUGAACUUCUAGGAUAUUGGACACAGACACUUUAACCAUACAUGAAACAUUAGGAUUAAACAUGAUCCUUGACUUCCUAAAAUUAACGGCUUGACCCGAAGCACUGUCAUAUUCAUCUAAAAUCUGCUUUACUCACCUACCCUCACUGUCUGAGGCCUUAAAAAAGAAAAACAAGUCAUCUACAAAUAAUAAAUGUGCCACCCUUGGACAUCUAACUCCAGCUCGACACCCAUGGAUCCAUCCUCUCUACUCAGCCUCCUUAAACAACGGGGAUAAACCUUCAGAACAAAUAAUAAAAAGGUAUGGUGAAAUAGGAUCUCCUUGUCUAAGACCCCUCUCUGGAAUAACAGGACCAACUACUUCCCCAUUACACAAGUAAGAGUACCACACAUUAGUCACACAUGCUGUCAUCCAAUCAAUCCAUUUGGUACUAAAACCCAAUCUACCCAUCAUAUCUUGCAGGAAAUUCCAAUUGACCCUAUCAUAGGCUUUAGUUAUAUCUAUUUUAAGAGUUGCCAUACCCGUACCUCCCCACGUUUCAUACUGUGAAGAAUUUCAAAGGCCACACCAAUAUUAUCCUGUAUUACUCUACCCAGCACAAAAGUAUAUUGGCUAUUCGAAAUAGUCAAUCUGAAGCAGAGCAAAUUUAGCAUUUAGUUUAUUGAAGAAGAAAAGGAAAAAUUAUAAAUAUUAAUCACGUGUAGAAUAGUUGUUUAAUCUAUCAAAAAGGAAAAAGAAAAACUAUUAAAAUAAAAAAUAUGUAGAAAAAAAAGAAAAAAAGAAACACUAUAAAAAUGGAUUAAAAAGAAAAUUUUAAAAUUAAUGGUAUAUAAAUUGGUCUUUUAAUUAACCAACAAGAAAAGCUAUUAAAAUAAAAAAUUAUGUAAAUAAAAUUUAAAAAGAAAAAGAAAAACUAUGAAAAAGGGAAAAGGAAAAGUAUAAAAUAACAGGGAGCAAAGAAAAAAAAUUAAUAAAAUUAUAUAUAAAUGGAAAAACAAAAAGUAUAAAAAGGGGAAAAAGCAGAAAUUGGAAAACUAAAAUAAUAAAAACCAGAAAAAAGAUCACAAUAAGUAGUUUCAAACAUUGGCUGACAAUAUAAACUCACAACAUUUUAGCCACUAUACCAAACUACACUACAUUUCCUUUCUACCACUAAAUUAUUUUAUAAAACAAUCCAGGGGCAUGGCCCCCUCCUCCCCUUCUCUCCACUCCCUCUGCUAUUGGUUGGGCAUAACUAUUUUGAAACUUAUAUAUAUUAGCACCACAAAUAUAAACAAAUAUUUAAAAUAAAAGAAAAAUGAUAUAAAACACAAGACAAGCCAAGAAUACUCUCAAGGAGAUCUCAAUUAAUAAAAAUUCAUUUUUAUUAAAUCUCAUAAAAUUAAAAAAUAUAUUGAAACAAACAAAUAAAAUUACAAUCUUGAUAUAGAUAUAGAAGAGUUUGUGAUAAAAUUAGAGGGCUUAGAGAAACUAAAUCCGUUGAUGAUGCAUAGAAGCUUCGAUGAAUAUGAAUUCAUUUAGGAUCUAUGGCAAGGUCAUGAUUCAAAGAUGGAUUGGAGAAAGAGGAAGAGAUGCCAAGGUUAAAGAGAGAGAAAGUGACUGAAUAAAUUGUGGACUUCAAAAACUGGCAUUUAAUGGUUGUGGGUUAAGCUUACCAAAGAUUAAGGCCUCGUUUGGUUCAAAUUCAUCUACUUUCCGAGGAGUUCACUUCCUAGAAAAUAAAGUUUCAAAGAAGUUACUUCUUGAAAAGUACAGUGUGAAUAUGUUUUGUUGAUAUAUUGAAUUCCCAAGAAAUAAAAUUGUGUUAAUGAAAUUUUACAUAUGAAAGGACAAUAAUACUCCUACCAUGAAUUUAAAUAUAAUAAUUGAAAUAAUUCAUUGAAAGCGCAAAAUGGAGAUUGUUAAAUUCUAAAGGUCAAGAAGUGUACUUCCUUAGGUUGAGGAGAGGAAGUAACUUCCUGUACGGACAAGAAGUUGAGCAAUUCAACUUUUCGAGAAGUUCUUUAUUUUUGGAAACCAAACAUAAUCAAAUGCAUCACUUUUCAGGAAGUUUAAGUUCCUGAUGUAACACCCUAUGCGAAUCUCACAUCGGCUAAACACAAGGUGUAAAUGAAACCCAUAAGAAUGGGCAAGUUUUAAACUAGCAAGAAGCCAUAAGGCAUGAGUUGGUUCGGCCAGAGUAAAUAGUAUCUUGCAAUGUUUAAGAUGGAUGUGAGUUGGUUUUAUCUUGGCAACUUGUAAAGAGGUUUUUUUGGCUAUUGUUGGUUGUAGCUCAAGAACAAACCCGUGCGGGCCUGAGUAAGUUCGGUCCAAAGCGGACUGUAUCUUGCUAGCUCAAACUUAUUCUAAAGCCUAGUCUUAACUCCAUAUUGGAGUGUUAAAUGCUAUAAUAUCUAAGUUUUAAAAUAGGAGUGCUUGGGAUACAUAAGUGCUAUAAUACCUAAGUUUUAAAAUGAGAGUGCUCGGGAUACAUAAGUAAAAAUAGAGUGAUUUCGCGAUAAGUUAAAAAAUUGAGAGUAUUUUGAUAGGUUUGUCCAUAUUUGAAGAUAAACUCAAAGUAGUAAUGUUUCUUUGAGAUUUUAUCAAUAUACAUUUCAUCUUUCUUCACAUUUCAAAUUUAAACAUUUUUCUCUUUAUUGUGUGGUCCAUUAAUAUUAUCAUUUUAUGGAGUAGCCAAUUCCCUUAACAAGAGGGCAACUAUUAAGGAUAGGCGAAUGAUAAGUUUCAAGAUUAUCAUUUUCCCCCCUAUCAGCAUAGAGUACUGUGUUUAUAAAGAUAAAACUUGCAUACGUCUGGUGUAUAGAUGGUCUUAUAUAUCAAACCAAUCAAAAAGUAGCAUUUUAAAAAAAUAUUACCGUUAUAUAUUUUUUUCCUGUACAUGAUCGUAAAUGGUUAAAUACUCUUAUUUUGAAUUAAAAUUCUAUAUGUGAUUAAUUUGAUGUACAAGUAAAUCUAUAUACUCGAUGUAGGUAAUUCUUUUCCGUAUUUAUAAAUUACCAUUGCAACAAUAUUUAUAGAUAAGUUUUCAUAUCCAUCAAUAUACUCACCUUUAUGUCCACCGCCUGCAUUACUCGUAUGUCAAUACAUUUUUUAAAAGAGUAGGCUUUUGCGGGGCUUCCCUUGUUAUUGAUUAAAUUUCACAUGAAAAGAAAUUAAAAAUUAAUAAAUAAUCUUUAUGUCUCACAUUAUAAAUCGUUUAAUAUUUUUACACGAAAAUUAAAAAACUAUGAGUAACUUUAUUCUAUCUAAUGUAAAUAAGAGUGAUAUUAAAAAAUUAUCAUUUAUUAUUCUUUAAAAUACUUAAAACGAUUUAUAUUUUGGGAUAUAAUGAUCACUCAAAAUGAUUUAUAUUUUGAAAUGGAGAGAGUAGUUAGUACUAGAAAUCAUUUUACCAAUCAAACCAUCAGCAUCAAACCUUUUAGUGUUUUGUUAAAUCAAAUGUAGUAAGGAAAAAAAAUAAUACGAUAACUUUAUUUGGUUCAAAUACUUGCCUUUUCUUGUUACAUUAUAUUGAAUGAACUUUAAGCAGAUAUAUGAAUAAUACAGGUAUUUGGCUUUCCAAUUCGUUGCUCUUUUCCUGAAAGAAGCCAAUUCUAAUUAAGGGUUGAUGGAAAUCCAAUUUUUUUGCCAUUUUAAAAUGAAAAAAAAAAUAAAACUAAAAAUUUUACAAAAUUUACAUAUAUUUUUAAAAUUUAUAAAUUUAUAAUUUUUGUAAAAAGUACAAUUUUAAAUUGAAAUAACAAAAUGAAAUUUAGUGGUUCUCUUUCUCUCCUGCAUGAUAAAAUGAUAUUGUUUUUUUUUUUUUUUUUUAAAAAAAAAAAAGAAAGUGAAUGCUAAAUUUAAGGCGGAACACAAAUAGAUGAUUCCAAAAGACACAAACACACUACCACUAUCUUUUCCGUGACCAAUAACAGACAGUCACGUAUUCAUGUGCCAAUCAGACGUAUGUCCUAAUCCAUCUUCUUCGCCUAUUUAAAGACAAAGGUCCUCUGUGUUCUGUGUUUAAAGAUGUCCCUUCGCUAAAUCAAAAGGCCGAGAUUUCGGCUCUAUAAAACUCGGAUAUUUCGCGACAUUUCGUUUCCUACGGUGUAAUGGCAAUGGCUGGCUAUGGGCUAUUGAAGAUCGAUGAAGGAGAGCUAAAGAGCAAUCGAAGAACAUCGCGUCUCGCUUCUCUUGAUGUCUUUCGCGGCAUCUCCAUUCUUGUGAGCUUUCUUUAGCUUUUCUUGUUUUCUUUUAAUUUAUGCCACGUUUUUGAUUGGUUGCUGAGAAAAUGCCAGAAAAUGAACCGCCGCAUGAAAAUAAUUCAAUGGAAAUUAAGCCAAAAAAAAAAAAAAAAAAGCUUCAUUUUCAGGUUUUAUUUCUCUUUGGCCUCUGUUUCCAUAUUUUUGUUAAUUUUAUGUUUUUGUUUUUUCUUUUAUUUAAAUAUUUUAAACAAACAUACAAAAAAGAACAGAGUUCAUCAUAUGAAAAAAAAAAAAAAAAUCUCAUUGAGUAUAAAUUUUUUUAAAAUAAUUUAAUAAUAUUUAUAUGAUGAGAUCCACUCCACCCUAUAUGAAAAUAAUCCACAUCAAUCUGAUCUGAAUAUGAAUUACUGGGUAUAAAAAUCAUAAAAUUUGAUUUUUAUUAUUUUUUUAUAAUAUUUUUGAAUAUAUAAUUUUUUACAAUUGUAUAAUAAUUAUAAAAACUAAAACAAUAAAUAUAUCCUAAAUUAAUUUAUUAGCGCUGUCCAACCACUUUUCAAAAUAGACUGAGUGCAGGAAUGUCCAACCGAAGCUUACCUUUCGUCCAAUCAACUUGUUAGUGGAUGAGAAAAGCAAACAUACGUUGCGUGCGUGCAUUUCGUAUAAUGCGCAAUGCAUAGCAUAAUUCGUUUGCUCUUUACGCAAUCUUUCUGACGUCAAAGUAACCUUCAGUUUUUGCAAACUGUCCGAAAAAAGCAUAGAAAUGCUCAUGGAAAAAAAUAUUUAUAUAUCUCCUUUCAAAUUGAAGACUUUUAAAAAAAUUCCAUAAAAUUUUGAUAAAUACUAUGAAUUUUAAUAUUCUCAAUCUGAAACUUUUUAUAAAAAAAAGAGAGAGAAAAAUUUGAAAUGACUUUCUGCUUUUCAAAAAUAUUCUGAUGUAUAUAAAUAUUUUGUUUUAUUAUUCAAACGAUAAUCUAUAUUUAAAUACAGCAAAUGAUUUCAGUAAAUUUAAAAUUUAAUCUAUAGAAGAACAUUUAUAAAAAAGAAAAAAAAGAAAAGUACAGGUUUUCAAAUGGCCCAACUCACACAUUAAUGGACUAAAUUUGAGAAACUGCACUUUGUACUUCAUAAUUUAUUUAUAGGCCCACCAACAGACCCCCAUACUUUAAUGCACACGUACGGUCUUAAUUGUUUCUCGGAAGUUACUUCAAUUAAUGAAUCGAAUAACAAUUCAAUAAAAUAUAAAAUAAUAUUAUUAUUAUGAAUAACAAGUCAAUAAAAAUAAGACACUUGUCAAAAGUGAUAUAUAAAUAAGAUUUAAUUAAUUCAUUAUUUCCAUCUCUAUUUCAUUUUAUUUUCAGUUUGCAUUAUUAUAUAUGAUAAGUGUCUUAUUUUUUAAAAAUUGUCGUUCCAACAUAUAAUGGUGACAUGGCAUCGGUGUUUUAUUAUAUAAUCAUUCAGAUCAUCAUCCUUAAAUUAUUUGAUCAUUUCAUAAAAAUUAUUAUUUUAUUAAUCAGUAAGUAUUAAUAAAAAGGUAAAAAUAUCCCUUAUUUUUUUAAAACAAUAUCCUUUAAAAUACUAUCUAAUCAUUCAUAUUUAAUAAUGUGAUCAUAUUAAUUUAACAAUAAAGGCAUGCGUUUUGGAUUGAGUUGUGGUUGAUUUAGUGAAUUUUUAAUUUAGGAACCAACCAAAGAAAGAGUUUAAUAAUUAAGAGAAAUUUCAAUCAUUAAAUAACAGUUCUCUAAGAAAAGUAUUCAUCUUAGUUGGUUUUUAGGAGUGUCAAAAUGGGUUUGCAGAUAGAUUUCGACAUAAACUCAUCUACCAUGCGACAUGAUUAGAAUCAACAUAAACACGAUCUGUUUAAUAAUUAUGCAAAAUUUUUAAAUAUAAACACAAAAUGCAAAUUAAAUGAAUGACACGAAUAUGACAUUUAUAAUCUGUUUAAUUAAAUAGAUCAUAUAUGAAUCCAAAAAUUCAACCAAACUUAAUUAAAUGAGUCAAAUACGGGUUAGAACAUAACACGUAUGCAUAUACAAUAUACUUAAUAUAUAUAUUAUAUAUAUUUUAAAUGGAUUAUACAUAUCGUGUUAUCACUCGUAUACGAGUGACUCAUAUAUAUAUAUAUUUGAGUCACUCGUAUACGGGUGAUAACACGAUAUGUAUAAUUCACUUAAAAUAUAUAUAAAUCACUUAUAUACAGAUCAAAACAUGACAUGUAUACAUGUAUAAUUCACUUAAUAUAUAUAUUUAUCGUAUUAUAUAUAAAUCACUAGUGUAUGCACGAAUUUAUUUGGGCUCAACUUUAUCGUGAUUAAUUUCUCUGUUAGGCAAAUCUAAUUUAUGCGUGUGAUAGCUGAUUUUAACAUCUCUACUUUUUAGAUUGCUUCAAUCAAUCAAAACCACAUAAUAUUUCCGUUUGAUUUUAUCGGAAGCAGGUUGGCAAGUGGACCCACAUAAUGUGUGGUGGUGGUCCAUAUGCUCUAAACGCUGGAUGGGACUUGGCUAUAACUGGUGUUAAUUUCUUGAUAUCUUUAAAAAAGAUUCCACGAUUGUUCUUAUACCCAGUGGCAAACAACAGUUACAUUACUCCUGCUGAACCCAAAACCUUACUACACUUCGUAUCUUACUAAAACAAAUUCUCUUUUGACCGCUUUAAAACGGACAGCACGCUCAGUACACACAGUCAAAAGGGCUACCCGCCACCCAGCCCUUUCCUUCCUUCGUCUUCUUCUCUGCAAAAGAAAAAACGCCAAACUUAUAAUAAUCAAAGCUACAAUAUUAAUCUUCCCUUAUACUUAUUCUCUUUCUUUCUUGUUUCUCAUUCUUUUCUCUCUCCUUAUAAAAUGGCUGACUUAGAAGUGCCUUUGCUGCUGCUGCAAUCGCCGCUCUCCGAUAACAAGCCCACGCGUGUUGCUUCUCUCGACGUCUUUCGCGGCCUCUGCGUCUUUGUAACUCUCCCUACUUACCUUUCGCUUUCUCGUCUUCGUUCUUCAGAUUCUCGUCCGAAUUACGUUUUACGGUUUCUUCUUCCUCAAUUUUCAACGUUUUUAUUAUUAUUAUAAGCAUUAUUUUAGUGCCUGAGCUGUUUGGUUUAAAUUUUAGGACUGUUUGGUUUAAAUUUUAGGAAAGAAAAGUUAGUUUUAACAAAAUUUCUAGCGUAACUUGUUUGUCUCAGAACCGAAAAAGUUGUUUAUGUUUGUUAUCAAUUUGGUGGCUACAGCUAAUGAUGAUUGUGGAUUAUCUGGGAUCGAUUUUUCCGAUCAUUGCUCAUUCUCCAUGGAAUGGCCUUCGCUUGGCGGAUUUUGUGAUGCCUUUCUUUCUUUUCAUAGCCGGAGUUUCUCUUGCACUUGUUUAUAAGGUAAGUAUACUACUAUAAUUAUUAUUACUUCAAAAGAAAUGCAUGUUUGCUUUAAUUAGGGAUUUUUAUAUUCUAAUUCUGUUUUAUGAAUAGAAAAUUGUUGAUUUUGACAAUUCAACGCAUUUUGUUAAUUAUCACUUCUGAUUCACUUGCUAAUUUUAUUUGGUUAAUAUUGGCUUUUAAUCUGAAAGUUCUGUUUUUAUCAGAAAGUAUCAGACAGAGUAGAUGCUACAUGGAAGGCAGUACUUAAGGCAGCAAAAUUGUUUUUCUUGGGUGUUUUUCUUCAAGGUGACACUGUCAGACAAUUGAAUUAUUGUUGUGGAUUUUAUAGCAGUAUAUAUCUAUAAUACUAUCGGGACAUACAUUUAAUUAGCAUACAUUUGUUAAAUUGUUCAUUUUUUUUCAGGUGGUUAUUUUCAUGGGAUAAAUUCAUUGGCUUAUGGUGUUGACAUCGAAAGAAUACGUUGGCUUGGCAUUCUGCAGGUACUCAAAAAUUUCUUUCUCCAUGUAUUAAUAUUUCCUUCCUCAAUACCCUUAUGCCAUGUUCGGAAAAUUAACUGUUUAUCUAUCCUAAUAGCUAUACUAAAGUAAUAUUGUUUCAUAAUACAUUCACUCAAACUCUAAGGUCAUCGAAUAGUAUUUCAAUAUUUAUUAAAACGCUAAAAGCUACAUAAAAAGUUAUCGUUGAACGGCCCUUACACCACAUGUCUAAAUUUUCACGAGUACAGAUUAAGUGAUUGUCAUUAAAGUAGGAUUAAAAGUUUCCUUCUUAAUUACAUAAACCGUAGUCCAGUGUCAUUGUUCAUUUACGUUAGUCCUAUACAUUGUUAAACUUGUUUUUGUUGUCAUUCAAGCCAGAGAAUAUCUAUUGGCUACAUUGUUGCGGCUUUAUGUGAGAUUUGGCUUUCAUCUCGACCGAUAAGAGAAAUAGGUUUCUUCAAGCCUUAUUAUUGGCAUUGGUAAGGUUUUGAUAUCUUGCAUUGGCCUUUAUAUUAUUAAACUUCAAGCAUAAUUGACAUCGUAAAAGUGUUAUGUUUAACAAUUGUAAUGUGACUUCAAUUCUUGAUUCUAUUUCACGAAAUGGCUUAAGUAACAAUACUCAUUUAUUUUCCCUCUCUCACUUGGGCCUAAUAAGCAGGAUUUUUAAUAAAUAUUUGCCUGAUUAACACACCAUUAACUCAGAUCCUUGAACAUGUAAUACAUAGAUCAACAUUCAAUUGAUAUCUUAAAAUACUAAUCAGAUGGUGAGUAUGAGCUUAAUGGAUUGAAUUGCAAUUUUUUUUUUUUUUUAAUUUUUUGGCUUUCUUUUCUCAAUUUAUUGAUGAAGCAAAAUUUUCAGGGUUUUGGCAUUUUCAUUGUGUGCAAUUUAUACGGGAUUAUUACACGGUCUCUACGUUCCAGAUUGGCAAUUUGAAAUCUCCAAUUCAACUUCUUCUGUUCUUCCAAACAAUGGCAGUUAUGUUUACUUGGUGAGAGUUUACUGAAACCUUUUUCUUUUGCUAUUAUUAUUAUUUUUUUUUUUUUUAUGCCUGUGAUUGUGUGCAUGUAUGUGAGGGUGCAUAUAGAAAUUAAAUUCAUGGAGAACAGAACCACUAGAGAAUGCUUGUCAUUAUCUAAAUUUUGUUUGCUACAAUUUUGACCAUGUUAUGAGCGCCUUGAAGCAUUUAUCUCUGGAACUAGAACUUCUAAUGUAGAUUUCUACUAGAAUUCGUCACCUUUCUAUGAAGAGCAAGUUAAUUUGCCAACACCAUAUUAUUUCAUCGUCCAAAUACUCGACUAAAACAUCAUUAGAGGAGAGAUGUGUUUUUGAAGUACAUUUUACAUACGUAAGUCAAUACAGUCAUUGCGCAUGCAUUUUCUGCUAGUAUUAUCCUUUCAAAAUGAAGUUAAAAUUUUUAUUGCUUGACGUUUGAAGUCAUGAAUUUGAAUACAUUCUUCAUAUUUUUCACAGGUGAGCUGCUCUGUAAGAGGCGAUCUUGGACCUGCUUGUAAUUCAGCUGGAAUGAUCGAUCGCUAUGUUCUUGGUAUUGAUCAUCUCUAUACAAAACCCGUCUAUAGAAAUCUGAAGGUAUUCUAUAUUGAUCUUUUUAUGGUGGUCUUUAUCCAUCCAUAUGCAAUGUAUUGAUCCCUAACAAAAAUCUCAACUUAUAGGAAUGCAAUAUGACAAAUGGCCAAGUUUCAGAGAAUUCACCUUCAUGGUGUCAUGCUCCUUAUGAUCCUGAAGGUCUAAUAAGGUAGUUGAAAUGCAUAUCAAUAAGCUACUUAUUCAAUUAAGUUGAUCAAUAGAAUCAUGAAGAGGCAAGUGACCUGUUUUUUUUCUGUUGAAUGGUAGUUGGCAAACGUUUUUUGAAGUUCAACAAGCCAAGUGGAAGAUUUAGGAGAGUCAAAGUUGAGAUAUUAUCGAAUAAUAUAUAAUAUGAAUCAAACGUACAUAGACAGAUUAUCAAAAUCGAAGUCUAGAAAGUAGGAGGAUGUCAAAAGAUGAUAAUUUUCUACUAAACAUAAUUACACAUCAAUAUGAGUCGCAUACUAUUCAGUCUUAUUUUUGACAAUUAGGUAACGCGCUAAAAUUUAUUGUGCCUACAGUUCCUUGACGGCUGCAGUUACCUGCAUUAUUGGACUUCAAUUCGGCCAUGUCCUUGCUCACGUAAAGGUGAUAUCAUAUGCAUUCUUUACUCUCCCCGUGAAUUUUCUUUUCUUAUCUUUUUCACCUGUAGUUAUUUAUGGUCACUGUCGUAUAGGAGAUUUAUAAUGAUGUGCAAAAGCAUUCUGCUUUGAGCUACAUGCUACUGCUAUUUCACGUACUAUAGAACAAUCACCAUUUUGGUAAUUGCUUGUCAAGCUUAUUGACGUUACUUGUUACACAUGCUUUUCAGGACCACAAAGGGCGGGUGGAAUGUUGGUCUUUCUUCUCAUUUUCACUUCUUCUACUUGGAUCAUCCCUCGCCUUCGUAGGUAUGCUCGUCAACAGCGCAUAACUUUUGCCUUCAAUAAGUACCUAUCGACACAUUUUUGUUAUGAAGAUAGAUAACACUUGUUGCUAUAGAAAACAUUCCAUCCUCAAAAGUAAAGCAAGGUGCUCUACUAAUAAGAACAAAUUGAUCUCCCCCAAUUUGUUCAUUUUAGCAAUCAAUUUUAGGUUCUUAGUAAAUACAUAUUGAAAGCAAAUCUUUGAUCUUCCCCUUUUGUUUUGCAGGCAUCCCCGUGAAUAAAUCUCUCUAUACAAUUAGUUAUAUGCUUAUUACUUCUGCUUUGGCAGGAAUCACAUUCUCAGUUUUGUACUUGGUGGUGAGUCAAUUCUACCUACUAUUGGAAGCAAAGCAUAAUCUUUAGCAGCUUCUUAGAUUUUCCAAGAAAUAUAUACUUGUCAGAUUUGACUUAAAAAUCUAAUUUGGUUGCUCUUGCAAAGAAGCCAACUGAAGCAUAAACCACGAGACCAUGAAAACCCUACUCUAUACUUACUGAAAAUUGAAGCAAAAGAUUAUUUUCAUCUUUCUUAACUCUGAAUCAUCACAACUUAAAAUCCCUCAAACCAAAUAUACUCCUCGUUCCUACUAUUUGACAUUUUUAUCUCUUUUUCUUACUGUUUAUAUACUGCCUGCUGUAGGUAGAUGUAUAUGGUUACAGAUGGGUGUCAUUACCGUUGGAGUGGAUGGGAAGGCAUUCCUUGAGUAUCUUUGUCCUUCUAACAUCUAACUUAAUUAUUAUUGCAAUUCAAGGAUUCUACUGGUCUAAGCCUGAAAACAACAUAGUGAGUGUUUAGAAGAUCUACUGCUUUUUAUUCACUUGCUACUAAUAUGUAAAUCCAAAGACAGCUAACACCACAUUUUUUUUCUUGUUGCCUCACUUUUUUAACAGAUUCACCAGAUUGUCGCAUCCUUCGUGCACAGAUGAUACAUAUGGUCAUUGGGUCGAAUUACAUGGUUAGAGAUUUUGAAUCUUGCUUUUAAGAUAGGGUAAAACACUGAAUUCUCUAGCCAAUCUCUCUUUUCAGACCACAUUUUAUAAUAGUGUUUUGGGAAAUCAAGGACAUAUUAUUAGUACCUAGUGAAUCUUUUUACUUUUCCCCCUCUAUAUACAAAAUGAAAGUGAUAUAUAUAAAAAUGUAUAAGCUUUAGACUAGCAAGAGCCAUUGACUGAGUACGAGGGAAAGUGAUAUUUAUAAAAAUGGGUAAGCCCUUAGACCAGCAAAGAGGUCUUUUGAGGGUGAUGGAUCAUCCAUUACCCUCGAGAACAAAACUGUGCAGACUGGAUCCAAAGCGGACAAUAUCUUGCUAGGCCUAAAAUGCCAUAUAUAAUGAGUAAAAUCACUUAACUUCUAAUAAAAUGAUUAAAUAGUUGAUGUUUUCAUACUAUAGAAACUAAAUAAUUUCUUCCAAAAAUAGAAUAACUUACGGGAUAAUGGUAAUAUUUACCCCUCUACUUACCUCUACUUACGGGAUAAUGGUAAUAUUCAGGUUUACAGAUUCAAGUGGCAGGACAAAUUCAAGCUUGAGUUAAUGUUCAAAUUAACACUCUCCUGAGGCCACUAAGAGGUUCAGCGAACACAAGGUCGCGAAGCAAUCCAAAUUCCGCAAUUGUCCAGUGUUUUUGCAUGAAAUGCGGCUCUCAGCUGUCAAGGCUUGUGCCUUGUUCUUGACAAGAGUUAUAACAUGCUCUAGACAAUAUUGUAGUCUUAUUCAAUUUUAAAUCAAUCAAGGGAAGCAAUGAAACAAUUUUAUGCAAAUUAUAUUACACUUUCCAAUUUAUGACUUGGUCUGAGGCAGAUAUUGAAUCAUGCCAAUAAAAAAAAAAUUUAAAAAAAAAAAAAAAAAAAAAAAAAAAAAAAAAAAAAAUACUGCCUGCUGUAGGUAGAUGUAUAUGGUUACAGAUGGGUGUCAUUACCGUUGGAGUGGAUGGGAAGGCAUUCCUUGAGUAUCUUUGUCCUUCUAACAUCUAACUUAAUUAUUAUUGCAAUUCAAGGAUUCUACUGGUCUAAGCCUGAAAACAACAUAGUGAGUGUUUAGAAGAUCUACUGCUUUUUAUUCACUUGCUACUAAUAUGUAAAUCCAAAGACAGCUAACACCACAUUUUUUUUCUUGUUGCCUCACUUUUUUAACAGAUUCACCAGAUUGUCGCAUCCUUCGUGCACAGAUGAUACAUAUGGUCAUUGGGUCGAAUUACAUGGUUAGAGAUUUUGAAUCUUGCUUUUAAGAUAGGGUAAAACACUGAAUUCUCUAGCCAAUCUCUCUUUUCAGACCACAUUUUAUAAUAGUGUUUUGGGAAAUCAAGGACAUAUUAUUAGUACCUAGUGAAUCUUUUUACUUUUCCCCCUCUAUAUACAAAAUGAAAGUGAUAUAUAUAAAAAUGUAUAAGCUUUAGACUAGCAAGAGCCAUUGACUGAGUACGAGGGAAAGUGAUAUUUAUAAAAAUGGGUAAGCCCUUAGACCAGCAAAGAGGUCUUUUGAGGGUGAUGGAUCAUCCAUUACCCUCGAGAACAAAACUGUGCAGACUGGAUCCAAAGCGGACAAUAUCUUGCUAGGCCUAAAAUGCCAUAUAUAAUGAGUAAAAUCACUUAACUUCUAAUAAAAUGAUUAAAUAGUUGAUGUUUUCAUACUAUAGAAACUAAAUAAUUUCUUCCAAAAAUAGAAUAACUUACGGGAUAAUGGUAAUAUUUACCCCUCUACUUACCUCUACUUACGGGAUAAUGGUAAUAUUCAGGUUUACAGAUUCAAGUGGCAGGACAAAUUCAAGCUUGAGUUAAUGUUCAAAUUAACACUCUCCUGAGGCCACUAAGAGGUUCAGCGAACACAAGGUCGCGAAGCAAUCCAAAUUCCGCAAUUGUCCAGUGUUUUUGCAUGAAAUGCGGCUCUCAGCUGUCAAGGCUUGUGCCUUGUUCUUGACAAGAGUUAUAACAUGCUCUAGACAAUAUUGUAGUCUUAUUCAAUUUUAAAUCAAUCAAGGGAAGCAAUGAAACAAUUUUAUGCAAAUUAUAUUACACUUUCCAAUUUAUGACUUGGUCUGAGGCAGAUAUUGAAUCAUGCCAAUAAAAAAAAAAUUAAAAAAAAAAAAAAAAAAAAAAAAAAAAAAAAAAAAAACACUAGAAAAGCUCUAAUAUUCGAGAAUCUCAUCGUAAAGCAAUAGUAUGAUUUACACAUUCACCCAAUACUCAGGGUUGUUAAAAUUGUGAACAUAUUUAAAUAAAUAUGAAUUUGGAUUGUAAUUAUAUCUAUUUUUAAGUGUAAUCCUUAACAUAUUUUAAAAACAAGGUGAUGUAAUUUACAUAACAUACCAGGAUCAUUAAUGUUUAAUAAUAAUUUGUUUCUCUAAUCCUCAAAUAGGACAUACCUCGGAAGCACAAGCAAUGCAAGGUACCAAAGAUGUCAAAACCAACUUGAAAUCCUGUGUGGUUUCAAAUGUUCGCAAUUCAUCAAUCAACGAGCUGCUACUUCAGUUGAUAGGAACUGCUUCCUAUCAAUAAAGAUUUAUGUUUGUUUAGAACUGAAACUCUCCUUUUCAAAUAACUCUUAACGAUAGAAAAGAUACCAACUCAAAUUUUAAGUUACCUUCGUGCAAGAAUUUCUCUGUUGAUCAAAUAAUGAGAGGCCUUAUCCAACACUGGGCAGAGACUUGACUACAAGUAACAUCAAUAGCAAUCUUGCAGUUUCCAGCUACAAAUUCAACUUGAGAUAUAAAAAGAUGCAGAUGCAUUAUAUUCUCACUUCCCAGGGAGGUCACUCCACAUCUGCCUAGCAAAGCAGCUCAUCUGUGCUAGUUGCUCACGAUUGGCUUGUAAAAUGCACCAUAUGCUACAAUCACAACAAACUUCUCUGUGCGGCUUGGGAUAGAUCAUAGUAAGUUUCUGUGUGAACGCUUCAACCUAAUAUGAAGGACAAAGAAAUCAAAAUGCAAACAUUAGAAAAUAUGCUUAAAAAACAAGUGAACAAUAGAUAUGAAGAAAACUCAAAUCCCAAGUCUCCAACGAAAUGAUUUUGUGAACUCAGACUAAACUUUCUUCAUAUCUAACAACAUAUUAGAUAUGAAGAAAGUUUAGUGAGUUGUAAUUUCCUGGCACUCUAUGUGAUUCUCCAAUCCAUUGUCUCUAGUUAACUGUGUCAUUUCGAACUAAUCCACCACUUUGUAAAGCUUGUUGAUAAAGUUCAUGCAACUUAAUUGAUGUAUUGAUCAGCAUAGCCAUUAUCGUCCCAAGCAUACUAAUUCAGGUAUUUAACCAAUCCUACCAAAGAACUAACAUAAUUGAUGAGAAACCCAAUUACGAAAAUGAUUAUGCAAUAUCAUUCAUGCAAUCUUUACUAUUUCAAUAUUGAUAACCAAUAAAUAUUCCUCCAUUUAAAUUGAAAAUUAAAUUAAAUGAUAAAAUAAGGGCAAAAUCAAGGAGUUCACAUGCAGCACUUGAUGUUGAGAUCGUGUUUUGGGGAGUUUGAGCUAAAGAUUGAUAAGGACAGAGACAAGACCUACAUACCGCCGCAUAAUCAUCAACACUAGGAGGAAUCUACCCAGCUAACUGCUGCUUCUUUCUUGAUAUUAUUCCUUUCCAUUAUUACUCUUAUUUCUGAUGCAUUUUCCCAUUGUCCCAUAUCGGCAUACAUGUUGUAUAACAAGACAUAUGGAACUGAGCUAUCUGGUUCGAGUUUCAUUAAUGCUUCAGCAGCAAUACGGGCAAUCUCUGCAUUGUUAUGGACCCUAGAAGCACCCAAUAAUGCACCCCAAACAGCCUUAUCUGGCUUAAAUGGCAUGCCAUUGAUCAAAUCCAAGGCCUCUUCAAGCUGUCCAUGCCGACCCACAAUGUCAACUAGGGAAGAGAAGUGUUCAAUCCUUGGCUCGAUGCCAUAUUCACUAACCAUGGAUUUAAAUAUCCCUCGACCUUCUUCAACCAGUCCAGCAUAAGCACAGGCAUUCAGAGCAGAAAUAAAUGUUAUAUAAGUAGGCUGCACUUUGGAAAUUCUCAUUAAUUUGAAAAGUUCCAAGGCCUCUGCAGCAUAACCAUGGGAUGCAUAUCCUCCAAUCAUUGCAUUCCAAGAAAUUACUUCUUUAUGCGGUUUCAUUUCAUCAAAAAUGGUCCAUGCCUCAAUUAUUGCCCCACAUCUUGAGUACAUCGUGAUGAGGGCAUUAUUCAAUGGCACAUCUGGGAUAACUGUCUUUCUGACCAGCUGAUGAAUCUGCAUACCCAAGUGCAGAUCCACAAUUCCAGAAGAUGCACUGAGAAGCGAAGAUAAUGUGUGUCGGUCAGGUUUCUCUCCUUCAACUUGCAUCCGAAAGAAGACCUUAAUUGCUCCUUUAUAAUCCUCCUUCUUCUCAUGCCCCGCAAUCAUGGAAUUCCACGACACCAAAUUCUUCUGGGGCAUCCUCUCAAAAAACUCAUGAGCAAGUUCCAAAUUACCUACCAGGGCAUGUCCUGAUAUCAUUGAAUUCCAUGAAAAGGAAUCAGGAUUUGGCAUUUUGCAAAAGAGGUUUGACGCCUCCUCCAUAUCUGAGACAUGAACAUAUCCACUAAUGAUGGUAUUCCAUGAAAAAGUGUCUAGUACAAUCAUUUGGUCAAAGAGUUCCCUAGCAGAAACAAUAUCUCCAGCCUUCACAUAGCACAUUAUCAUGGUAUUCCAUGACACCACAUUUCUCUCAAACCUCCCUUUACUUCCUUUUUGUUUGUCAUUAUUACUUGGCAUCUUAUCAAAAAGUUUCCGAGCUUCAUCCACCCUUCCUCUUUGACCAUAUCCCGCAAUCAAAGUAUUAUAAGCAUGCACCAACUCCUCUUUCCCACUAUUAUUAUUUCCAUAGUCAAGCAAAAUUUUUGCAGCUUCCUCAAGCUUCUCAUUAUGAAUAAGACCCGAUACAAGUGCACUCAACGAUGUUGAAUCCCUCUCUGGCAUUCUCUCAAAAAACUCAAUUGCACGCGCCACAUCACCAUUUUGCAAAAAACCAGAAACUAUAGCAUUCCAAGAAACAGCAUUUGGCUUAGGCAUUGUAUUAAAAAGCUGCAGAGCCUCCUCUAUUCUCCCAUUCCUUGCAUACCCACUAAUCAUUGUGUUCCAAGAAACGCAGUCCCUCUUUGGCAUUUUAUCAAACAAGCACCUUCCCUCCUCUAUAAACCUCUUCCCACGACAUGACACAUACCCCGAAAUCAUCAAAUUCCACGACACAACAUCCCUCUUUGGCAUUUCAUCAAAAAGCUUUCUUGCUUUAGUCAUCUCACCCUGUCUCGCAUACCCACUGAUCAUUGAGUUCCAUGAGAUGGUGUUUCUUUGCUCCAUUUUAUCAAACAAUGCCCUUGCAUCAUUAAUCUGACCUGUCUGGUUGAAACGCGUGAUUUUUUUAUUCAGGGAAAACAAGUCUCUGUCGCAAUCAUUAAAUGAACUCUUUGAUUUUGGAGCCGAUGCAAAACAGCUAGCUUCUAUGCUGAUGUAUGGCUUCCGUCUAGUCUGAAGCUUCCAUUUGCAUGAUGCGCCAAGGGCAAUUCUCAACCUGAGCAUAAUUUACAGAACAAGUUUACUGAACCUCUAAGAUUCAUUCAGCAACUGAUGAAUUAAACAAUCAAACUUUUUAUCAGAAAGUUAUUCAUUUUCUUAAUAUAUUUAGUUUUGCUCAGGUCACAUCACACGCUUGUCACACUCUUAACUUCUGAAACCAACAAAAAGAAUUAGGCGGUUUCAAAAAACGGUCAUCUAAUGGAACCUGCCAUAUUUGUCAAGCUAACUAAGAGUUUUCUUCACCUGUUCAACCUAUAAAAAUUUUUAAAACAAUUAUAAUCUACUAAAAAAAUAUUUUUUUUUUUAUAAAACUAAUAAUUGGCUAUAAAUAAAGGACAAUAUAAUUACCAAACCAGAAAUUACUAAUGCCACAGCUAGAUAUGUUAUUGACUUUUGAUUUGACAAUACUAUCUUAUAUGUAAGACGAUACUAUCCUUAUAUGUAAUAUUCUAAAUUUAUCAUUUUAUACUCUUAAAACUAUUCUUAUUAACUUCAAAUCUAUUCAUCUAUUUUUAUAUCAAUUCCAUACACAAUUUUUUCAUAUAGCCGACCCCCACUAGUUUGGACCUAAGGCUUGGUGGUGGUGGUUGUUUUUCCAUAUACAAUUUUUUCAAGAGAGAAAUAUUAACUUUGACAAACAUAUAAUAGCUAAACCUAAUACUUGUUUCAUCCUAUUAAUUAAUAAUGAAAAUUCGAAAAUCAGGACAACAAAAUUUAAAUGCAGAAAUAAAUAAAUAAAUAAAUAAAAUGAAAUUCUCAAGAAUACAUAUCAAACUAAAAAAUUUAAUUGUCUUCUUUAAUAAAAUAAUAAAAAAUGAACAUUAUUUUUCCCCAUUAAAUUUAUUCUUCUAAAUCCCUGAAAAUGUUAUUUUCCAGUUAACUCUGGUACCUGUUUAUAAAAUUAAAAAACAUUUCACAUGAACUAUAUAUUUUAGCUGCUUUUAAAAAUUUCACAUGACUAUACCAAAAUUUCCCUAAUCUCAGUUCCUUUGCAACCAAAACAUUUUUCCAUUCCUAUGGUUUGUUUAUUAACUGAACUAGCCAGUAUCUUACUGGUAGAUAAUUUGAUUUGGUAUAAUUUACUCAAAAAUCAAGUUGAAAAAAAAAAGCAGAACAUAUAUCCUCUCUUAUAAAAUGCUUACCGUGAGGAAAAUGAUAAAAUUACAGUCACGCAAAGAAGGCAAUACCAAAUAUGGAUUUUCUUUCUUUUCUUGCAUGUUCCCAAACAACUAAAGUGAUCUCUAGCCAUAUUUUCUCAGCCACCAAAAAAUUAGAAAAUAUAAUUACAGAAUUCUUAAUAUGCAAUUCGCAAAGUAAAACAAAUUAAAGAAGAGCUAAAAAAUGAAAAAGAAGGAUUGCUCACAUAGAUGUUGACAGUGAACUAAGUCGCUGCAGGACUGCACCUGCCAACAUAUUGAAUGGUGGUCAAAGACCGCUUUUGCUUCCUCCCAUUUUGAUUACUGCACAAAAAAUACCGGCAUAAAGGCUGUCAAGUAAAAGAGAUUCUCUAGAUUUCUGUCUCAGAUUCUAUAUCAAACAUGAAAAUAGAAAUUUGAGGCAAACGACAAUCAAUUUAUCUAAGAAAAGAUGAGUAAACAAAAAGUUAAAGUGAAAUGUGUCCAAUAAUGAACCUGAAUUCACAAAAUCAAAAAUAAUUGUUGCCUUCUUCCCUUCUAACUCUUCAAAAUUUCAGCUCUUUCAUUCAAAAUCUUCCCAAUCUCUUGCUAAUUCUGGAUAUUCAUGGAGUCUGGAAUCAAACGGUUAACAGAGAGGGUAGUUUCAUUUUUAUUUCAUCAAAAUUUGAUGAAAUGGAACAAAACUUGGGAUUUGGUUUGGGAAAUCACAAGGAAGUGUUGAAUUGAGAAGAAAAUAUUUAGAACUUUGAGAAGAGGACUUGGGUUGGUUUUUUGCUUAGUGACAUAAACAGGUUAGGAGGAAUGUGGCCUUUUUUUCACUCUUUUUUUGAAUGAAUUUCAAUGUUUAAGAGUAAAAGGUCAUAAAAAAAUUUAAUAAUAGUUGGACUUGUGCGGAGCUCGCCCGCAUGCAAGGUCCAACUUUAAAUAAAUAAUUAGUCAUUUAUCAGCAUAUUGUGGAUGGCAACGGGUCAGGUACACAAAAAGUGUCGUAUCCCAAUCCAAACUCACUUAAAUAUAAGGUACCUGAAUCCAUUUAAAAAAUUACCCCUGCAUUACCCAUAUUCGUCCCAAAUUGAAUUAGCAUUACCCAUUUGCAAUCCGGAUUCAUAGAAACAACCGUUUAACACAAAAUGAACAAAAUGCAUACAACACACAAUACACUAAACUGUAUAAACACUUGAUUAUUAUCGAACCCUUAUAAAAUAAAGAAAAUAGCAUGCUGUUAUUUUUACCACUCCAAUUGUCAGAAAUUGUAUGUAAUUACAUAGUUUUUACAAUUCAAAGAAACUUCAAGAAUCUACUAACUUAAUUAUAUAAUGGAGAGCAAGAAUGAAUACAUUUAAACUCCAGGUCUACGAAUAUGUGGCCUGUAAGUAUUUGGUCAAUAUAGUUUCUUGAAUCCCUGGACAAAAGAGACAGCUUAUUUGAUGAAAGUAAAAAUUAUUUAACUGCUGAAAAAGAAGAAUGCAUAAUGCAAUAAUGCAAUGUAUAGAGAAUGUAUAAUACAGUGUUGAUAUAUGGUUGUUAUUAGUUGUGUUUUCCAAUGCUUAUUUGUAGCAGUUCAUAUUAGUGAAGGUCUCACUGAUUACCUAAAUAAACCAAAUGAAAUAUAGGCAAUUUGAAUUAAUUAGUAAUCUUUAUUUCCUUGUGUAUGAGCUAAUGGAAAAUUUCUACAAAGGAGAGAGGGAGAAUAUGAAGAAUCAAUGUUAGAUUGUUGUUCCAGGAUUAGAUUUCAUUCCCAUCUGAACUUUGGCAGUCUUACAAAUCAGUUUCUAAUUUUGUGAAACUUAUGAAAAUUGUUCUGCAUGCCUACUGUAUAAAGUUUAUGCAUCUUUUGUCAGUUCAACUAAAGAAAAUAACACAUGCUGAUUUUACUUUAAAUAUUAAAUAGUAGCAUUUUUACGGAAAAGCCUUACCCUACAACCUACUGAGGAUGAUUUUGAUCAGAAGAUACAUAUUUAUUGAUCAAUCGUUUAGGUUUUUCAAUGAAAUUUUUGAAAUGCAUUUAGAAUUAAAUGCUUAACAGAAUCAUUUAGAUCUUUAGAAGUUAAGGAUUUUAAUCAACUUGCUUCAAUUUCACUCAUUUAUGUAUAAUUUUCUUGGUGUCUUUGCAAUUACAGAUACCAUCCAACACUUAAGUACAAAGAAUUCUGUACACUGGGAUGAUUCUAUUGUCAUUAAACUUGUUUUGACCGGCAUUUUAAGGAACUGAUUUUUCUAAACAAGAUUUACAAUCAGCAACAAAGAUAAAAAGAAACAAAAGAAAAGAAAUAAAAACUGCAGAAACAGGACAAGACAAAACCAGCAAAAAGAACAAAAGGAAACCAAAAACCAAAAAGAACUAAAGCGGCAAAACCAAACCAAAGAAUAAAAUAAGGCCCAAAGCAGCAGUAACAGUUUAAAAAAAAAAAAAAAAAAAAAAGAAAAAAGAAAAAAAGAGCAUAAGAAACCAAUUAACUUAGUCUAUCAUAUCAACGGCUAUUUACAUUCACAAAAUCAAACCACAUACUCAAUUUACAGUAAAGUGAAGAAAACAAAAAACGAAAUUAUUGACAGAGCUUUAACUUUAACAGUAACAAAAAUACCUUGCGAUUUGCGAGCCACAGAGCUAGUCUUGAACGAGACACAGAGCUUGUCGGCGGAGAUCGCCGCUCUUGAGGCGCGCUCGUCACUCGUCGGAUAAAAGGCAACAGGCAAAUCGAAGAUGAGAGACUAAGGCAACAAGAGAAAAAAUCAGAUCGAGGCAAAACUACUGCCUCGCGAAGAACGAAUUGAACUUUGAUUUAAAAAGUUAAUUCAAAACGACGUGGUUUGGUUAAGGCAUUUUCUGUGUCAAAACUUCGUCGUUCUGGUAGUGAAGUGUUAGUUAUUUUCUUCCUUUCUUUUUCUGGCCUAAUACAGAGAGAUAAUUAAAAUUUUAUGUAAUUCAGUUAUAAAUUUAAUUUUUAUAUCUGAUAUGCAAAAACUAAAAAUUUAAAUUUUGUGAAUUUAAUUCUAUAAUAUAAUUAAAUUAAAUUUCAUAAAAAAGUGAAAUUUUAGAAUGAAUUUCAUAAAUUUAAACAAUAUAUUUUCGCAGAUAAUAGUAGAUAAGUUCUUGAUGGGCUUAAAUCUAUGUUUCUGUAUUUUACACAACCAGCAAUUGAACAGAAAAAAAAAACAUUCGACCAUAAAAUGACAAGCAUCUAUUCCAAUCAAAAUUAUUAGUGAUCCAAGUUAUCAAAUGGGCCUCAAAUAUACACAAAGCCCAAACACAACAGAUACACACUCAUCAUCCUUAUAUUUAUUCAUCAAGUGGGCCCAAGCCAGCAGGAGGCGGUUACCAAAUGUACAAAGUUAAAUAUAUAGAGUAGAUACAACAGCUGCUAGCAUCUGCUUCUUGAAUGUUUUCACUGUAUUGAACUAUUCUACAAUACAAUUUUUGUCUCCAUUAAUACACUGUUUCAGUUUUCUCUUUCUCUGGUGAAGAAUGCUUUGAUAAUCUCAUCAGUUAGCAAACCUCAAUAAUCUUUUUUGUUGUUAAAAUUUUGAUUAACAGCCUAGCCUGAUAUGGUGGUGACAAUUCUAAAUGAAAACAUAACCAAUAAUUAAAAAAAAAAAAAAAAGAAAUAAAAAUACCUAUGCUUUUAUUGUGUUUCAGCCAUUCAUUUUGUUAAGAUUUGAUGGGAGGUUUAAAUUGAUAUAAUCUUAAAUUCAUAUAUUGAAUUGAAAAAAUUACGAAAUCAAAUCGAAGAAAAAGUAAACUUUCUUUUUAUUUGAUGCAAAUUGAAUUGCUUAGCGUGACUAAUAAACUACAGGCCCAUUUUGGCCCAUUCUCCAAAUUUUGGGCCCUCAUACUGGGCCUAAACGCACUCGUACUUUUACCCAAUUCCUCUUUGGCAAAAACCCAUAACUAUAAAUUUCCAUCUAUCUCUGGUAGGAAAAAGAUAAAAUUCCAACUAGUCCAUGAGGUUCAGCCAACUGUACAGUUUCAUCCCAAUAUUUAAAAAUAAAAGGAAUUAAGGAGUCCCAAAAUUUAAUUCCAUUAAUGAAAUAAUAUUUUUAUUUCCAUAGACCUGGUUUAGGUAGGUCUAAACCUUAUUAUAAUUAAUAUUAAUUAACCAAUAGUCAAUAAAUAUUUUUUUGAAAAAUAUAAUUCAUUAACUAUAAUAUCAAACAUUACGAAUAAUCAUAUAGAUCAGACAAUGAAUUUUACUAUCAUAAGCUAAUAGAGUUCGUUGAUCUUUUAACAAGCUAAAAUAAUUAUAUAUAUUCUUUUGAAUGAUAAUACUAAAUAUAAGAAAAUAUAAUAUUAUAUCUUUCCACUUGAAGAUGAUCUUGAUAAAAGAUAUAAAUAUUCUUAUUACCAACUAGUUUUUUAAUUGAUUUGGAUAGUAAAAUAAUAAUUACUUUGGAUCUUUUAUAUCUGAAUUGUUUUUAGCUAAAUUGUUUUUUCAAGGACUUGUAAUAUAUAACAUACACAUAUGAAUUCUCGCCAACAUACAUCAAUAGUAUCAAUAGAGGAACAAGUCGCACUAUUAGACUUCGUUGAUCAAAGAUUCACAUUUACAAAUCAAUAUCAAAAGUUUCCAACCAAAUAAAAUCAAAUAUUAUACUUUUAUUUAUAAUAAACUCUCAUACAGAAGGAACAAAAAGCUCUAAAUACGGAAACAAAAUAACAAUAAUAAAAAUCAAAACAAAUAUAUUAUAUGAUAAAUAGAUAUGAAUUUAUUAAAAUGGCUAAGAGAAUUUAAAAGAGAAAAAGAGAAGAAGUUGAAUCAAAGGAAAAAAAUAGAAUGUAGGAGAUUAUCACUAAUCAACAUCAAGCGGCCACAAACUAAAUUUUUAAACAUUUUAUAAAUUUCAAUCAAUGACUUCGUUAUUUUAGGUGUCUCGUCAUGCCGAAGAGAUAAUAAAAAAUCAAAAUUCGAAAGACUCAAGAAAGAUCAUCUUUUCACCAUUCAUAUUUAAAUAUAAUAUAUAUAACGGCAGAGCUUCUUAUGGUCGAAAGGUCGCUGGGCAAUUCUAAGAAAUUUUUUUUAAAAGAAAAAUUCUUAUGAAAUAUUAUAUUUUGGUCUUUAAAAAUAUAAAAAAAUUAUAUUUUGAUACCCUAAAAGUUUUUAAAACUUCAUUUAGCUUGUUUAAAGUAAUUGUCUUAGUUCUGUGCUGAAUAUAUAUAUAUAUAUAUAUAUAUAUAUAUAUAUAUUAAAUAUUCUAUGUAUUAUCCCUAUCACAUUUGCAUUGAUAACCAGGACAAGAAGCUUGUAGCCAAAUGUUAGAGUACUGACAACUAAUUCCCACUGUGAAAUGUUUUAUUAGCCUCUGAUCAUCAAUGAUUAAGUGGCCCACUUGUUUUAAUUUGUCCAGAACUUAUGGAAUAAUUAAUCAAGUAUUAAUAAUUAUUUUUGGAAGCGAACAUUCUAGAUAUACCUUUUUUCUCUUGUUCAGCUACUGCAACAUUUUUGUUGGAGAAUCAAGAACUUAUGGCUUAAAAUAUUCGCAUAUACUAUAUUAAGUACUCCCAUCUUCAAAAUAGUUCAUUUUCUAUUUUUACACAGAUUAAAAAAAUAAUAAUUAUUAUGAGUUUUGACAAUUCUAUUCCUAUAACUUUUCUAUCAUACCAUUUUAAAUAACAUAUGAGCAAUUAUUAUAUUUAAAUAAUAAGUAAAAAUUAAUGAGGGUUAUUGAAAAUAAGAAAAAAUUUAAUAAGGGUAUAAUAGACAAUUUCAUGAUUAACUAUAAUACAAAAAAGAAAAAUAAACCAUAUUUUAGGACAAAUUAAAAAGAAAAGAUGAAAUAUUUUUUUGAGGCAGAUCUAUUAUUCUUCUCACAAUAAUGAUUUUAUAAGUACAGUUUUUUUUUUUCUUUAUACUCAAAUGAUAUGAGAAGCUAAUUUUAUAAAAAACGAAGAUUAAUUUGUCUUUGAAUUUGUUUAAUAGGAUAAAAAAUGUCAAGAUUUGAUCUUUUUAGAUCAAUUUAACAUCUAAACUUAUUUAAAAUAAUUAAAAAGAUCAGAUUUAAUAUUUUGGAUUAAUUUAGUCCCUGACUAUUCGCUGUAUUUAUAACGUGAGAAUUCUUAUAUAGACAUUUAUUAAAAUUAUAGUUGGAAUCACGUGGUAUAAUUUAUUGAAAAAUUUAAUUAAAUAUCAAAUUGAGGAAAUAAUAUAUGAAAUAUAUUAUAUCCCUCUUUAUCUUGAUCUAUCAUUUUAAAUUCAUAAAUAUGUACUAAUUUAAAUAUUUUAAAAUUGAACUUUACUACUAGAUUAUUGCAUAUGCAGUUCAUGCAUUUCUCAUGUUAAACGAAUUCAAAGUUACACUACAUAUUUUAUAAAUUUACUGUGUUAAAGAAAUAAUAUUUUCGUGAUUUUAAAAUUCUAUUCAGAAGUAUUGGAAAAGUUUGAUCUAGAUAUUCCUAUUAAAUUGAAUCAAUUUAUUAUUUUGUAAAAAUCAAAAUAAAUUUAGUGGCUGAAUUGAUUUAAAAAAAAUCAAAUCUGACUUUUAAAUCCCAUAAAUAAGUUCGUGAGCUAAAUUAGUCUUUAUUCCAUUUUAUAACCACAAAGUCGUGUUUAAAAUUUUAAACAAUAUGGUUCUUAUGUUGCCUGUAACGGUUUCGUAUGCUCUAGUAGCUUUCUCUCUUUUGUCCAAGGUUUCUUGUCCUGCCAACAUGGAGAGGGACUUUAAUCAUUUGUCAAUCGCUGAUGAUGAGGAAGAAGGCUUGCCUGUUAACGCAUCUUCAGAUGCCACCAAGUCUACCUACGAAUUUUGUCUUGUCGACAUGUUCUUGACUUGCGGGACUGUGAAUUUUUAGUCCAUGCGAAACACUUUCGCAGAUUUGUGGCAUUCGCUCGGAGGGAUUAUAAUUACUGAUUUGGGAGCCAAACGUUUUCUGUUUCGGUUCUACAACAAAGUGGAUUUGGAUAGGGUUUUGAAUGGUGCCCCAUGGACUUUUAAUCGACACUUGCUGGUAUGGGGUCUGAUAAAAAAUGAUGAGGACCCGCUGCUGAUUCCUUUGCUAUACUCGGAUUUCUGGGUUCAGGUACAUAACUUGCCGGUCGGGUUAAUGUCUGCGGCAGUGGCCAAAUCAAUAGGGAAUUUCAUUGGUACUUUCAUUGAAUAUGACAUUAAGACUGUUCAUUUUGAUCCCAAUCAAUUUAUGAGACUGCAGGUUAAGUUGGAUAUUCGUACCUUUACGUAGAGGAAAGAAGUUGAUUGAUUCUAAUGGUAAUGUUCAUUAUGUCCAAUUCCAGAAUGAAAAACUUCUUGUGUUUUGCUAUACUUGCGGUCGCUUGGGACACACCGAUUCGUUCUGUAAAUUACAAUUGCACAAGUCUAAAAAAGAACUCAAGCCAGCUUGGGAUGAUCGAAUAAGGGUGCCGAUUCGCCGGAAAAUUCAGCAAACAACCAUGGCUGCAUGAUGAUAGAAAGUUUGAUGAUACUCCAAUCCAGGCAGAUAUUUCGGGAUGUGUGGGCGGGAAAUAUGGAGUUUUGAAAUCCCAACAAUUUUGAGCUUCCUUUUAUGGCACGAUAGUUAAUUUUAAUGUUAGUACUAAUCCCAUAGGCUUUAUGGAGACUGAUACAAAUUCUUUGAAUGGGUCCAAUACUGAUGGGCUUGACGAGGAUGUGGUCUUAGAAGAUGUGGGUGAAAUGAAGAAGAGGCCCCGAUGAUCCUUUUUGGUGAGGGUAUUAAAGUGGCUAGUGAUCCUUGAGGAGGAUCCUUUUUGCUGUAGAAUCAACGUGGUAGCUCUACUGUGGAUAUUGCCGUGAAGUACCUAUCGAAUUGGAGAGAAGUGUGUCUGCCACAUGAAGCUGCUGUGACGUCCAUUUCAGUGCUUCAUUGACAUGCACAUAAAGCACCAUCCAUUCACGCUCACAAUUUUGUUUGGAUUUGCUUCAUUGAUGGAUCAGUGUUCACAACCAUGGAUUUCAUUGGCUAUGCUUAUGUUAUUGAGGACAGUGAGGGACGGUUUCAACGUGCAGUGUCAGGGUUUCAGGAAGGCAAUGGCUCGGCGGUGGUGAUGGAGGCUAUAGCUCUUCGUUCCUGCCUUUCAUAUGCUCGUGAUUUUCUAUCUUUAAAUGGGUGUAUUUUUUCAAAUUGCCAAAAUCUUAUGAAUGCUCUCAAAUCCCAUUGUUUUAGAUAAUUUUGAAUUUGGUUUGAUUGUUCUUGAUUGUAAGCGAAUUUUAGAGUCUAGACAUGAUAUUACUGUCAGGUGGAUUCAGAGACAAGCUAAUAUGGAUGCUCACACUCUUGCUAGAGCAUCUAUACAUCAUGCUCGUUUCCAAAUUUGGGAUGAUGUUCGUCUUGUUAGUUAGAUUUUUUCCAUUGAGAUAAUGCAAUAUUAUUUCAUUUAAAACAAAUUUAAAACAAUAUAUAAAUUUUAUCAAACAAAUUUAAAUUAAUAACUCUAAAAAAUUUUAAUUUUUAGAUAUUAAAUGGUGUUAUUAGAUGUAAACUAAAUUUAUAUUGUUAUUUCAAUUUAAAUGUCUAAACAAAAUUCUCAAAUUCUUUUUUUGUUAAUAUUUUUUUGGAGAAAUAUAAUUCAUUAAUAAUAAAAGUAUUACAAAUACUCAAUUAGAUCAAAUAUAAAACUUAUUAUCAUAAUUAAUAAAAAGUUCGAUGAUCCUUCAACAAUAAAAGAAUUAUCUAUAUUUUUUUGAAUAGUAAAACUAAAAUUAAAAGAAACAGUUGGAGUUUUCCGCUUGAAAAAAACUUUGAUCGAUAUAAAUCUUCAUAGUAACAACUGAUCCUUUAAUUGAUUUGGACGAUAAAAUAACUUUUUCGAACUUUAUAUGCUUGGAUUGCUUUUUCAAAAAUUUGUUGCAUAUAACAUAUGCGGAUGAGUUUAAACCACUAUGGGUUAAUAGCAUGAAUGAAGGAACAGACUGUACUAUCAGGUUCCAUUGGUUGAAGAUACACAUCAGUAAAACAAGAUCGAAAUUCUCCAAUCAAAUAAAAUCAAAUGUCAUACCUUUUAAUAAUAAAUCUUCACAAGGAACUAAACCCUCUCAAAAGAAUGGGCAAAAAAACUCCAAAUAUGGAGACAAAACAAAUCAAUAACAAAAACAACAAUAACAAAAAUAUAUCUAUUAGAAGAAAAUGGAUUUGAGUUUAUUAAAAACAAAUAAAAGAUUAGGAGCCAGAAGAAAAAAAAAAAAAGUAUGGGGCUACUACUGAUUAACAAUGGCAACCUCAAACAAAAACUAUGAUUAAAUAAAUCAGAGAGAAAAGAGGAGGAGAGAAACCCUAAAACUAUCGAUUUUUUUUUUGUUAAUAUUUAAAAUGACGGUUUUUUUUUUUUUUUUUUUUUUUUUUGCGAAUGUUAAACAAAUCCCUAAAUAGUAUAGGUAAUAAAAUAAAAAAAAAUAUGUAUCACUUUAAUAAUAAUUUCAUGUUAAAAAAUGUUGGAAAAAUAGAGCUCUUGAAUAGGAAAAUCCGGUAUCGAAUUUUUGCUCUGCUAGGGUUUAUCACUUUAACAUUUAAAAAAAAAAAAAAACUAUUUUCAAGACAGUUCAUUUUCUAUUAUUUCUUUUUAAUAUUGAAUAUUAAUUAAAUAACUUACUUUUAAAAAUAUUUUUCCUUGACUUUUUUAAACACUUUAAAUAUAGAAAAAAUUCAAAAAUAUUUUUUAAAUAAAUUAUUUUCAAGAAAAAAUCUUGGAUAAUGGAAAUUUGGAAAAUUAGAUAAAUAAUAAUAAAACCUUAUGCACAGCAAACAUUUGUUAUAUGGUGUCCCAAGAAUAGUAAAACUUGUGGCUGAAUUUUGUAUUUCUUUUUUAGAUCACUCUCUAUCACGCUCUUAACAAUUCCCAUUUGCUGAAGUGGUCCCCAUAAAAGUAUUCUUGAUUGAGAUUUGAAUACGAAUUUCAAUUAAGUAAGCUUCAAGUUACAAACAUCAUCUUCACAAAAUUUCCUUCAUUGGUGAAGCAUUUAUCAUUUGGUAAGUUUUCUCAGAUUUAACACUAUGUUUGGAAUUGGGAGAUUUUAUGAUAGGAAGAAAAUUUUGAAUGGAAAAUAAGAAAAGAAAGCUAUUUUCCUCCUGCUUAAAUGUAAAUAAAAUUUGAAAGGAAAGAAAAUAUUACCAAAAUCCUUUCUGUCCCAUAUUUUAUUAAUCUCUCCAAAUUGGCGAGAAAAUAGGAGAUAAAUGUAUAAAAGGAUAGAAGUGUAAAUUUACAACAAUACAAUUUUCUUUCCUCCAUAUUUUAGACUUUUCUAAAUAAUAUAUAUAUAUAUAUAUUUUUUAUUUUUUUUUUUCCUUUCAAUCUAAACAUAAAAUGGAAAAUAAAGAAAAAAAGAGCUCUUGUUUUACUCGGCACAUGUACAAAAUAUAAGACAUCAAUGUGUUGAACAUGCAAAUCCCAUGCAUGUAUCUGCCAUGCAGGGAUUCAUAAUUAGCUCAACUGAAAAAUUGUUAAGAUCUUUCUUCAUUGUCUUUUUGUCAUAUAAAAAAACACGAGAAAAAUAAAAUAAAACAAGAAAAGGAAGCGCAUGCACAUGCCUGUAAAUGUAUAAUAUACAUCCAUCCAAAUGGGCAAAGAUUAGAUGCCUUCUCACCAUUUUUCCGCGCAUCCAAAACCGUAAGGGGCCACUCACACUUGAUGUGCAGGAUACUUAAAUCAGUUACGCAGCCAGAAAAUUAAAAUUAGAGAUAAAAAAAUUUUCAAGAGUUAACAAGAGUGAGAUUAAAAAUUUUAUUAUUUUAAAAGGAAAAAUAAAAAAUUUUAUUAUUUUUUAUUAUUAGACUAAUUUUAAAAGGUAAAAUAAUAUAUUUUCAUAUAUUAUUAGACUAAUUUUAUUUUAAAAUUUAAUAUUAUUUCUUCUAAGUAUUUUUUUAUGAAUAGAAAUUUUAAUAGAGAAUUAGAGAUCAUCCACUGGAUUUAAAAGUUAAAAUAUAUUUAUAAAUUAUUUCAUCUAUUACACUUAAAUUAUCAACUUGUAGCUUCUUCAUACAAAAUAAGGAGAUAAUUAAUUUAUCUUAAAUCUAUAAAAUUUUCAUUUGAAAUUAUUUUAAUAUUUAUUUUAUAAAAUAUUAUUAAGAGCGAAUGAAUAGUGAGAUCCAAUAAAGAAGAGUAAAAAAUUAAAAAUGUAAUAUACUCUUUUCUAAAUUAUAUAAAAAAAUGACACUUAAAAUAGAACAAAAAAAAAUCUUAAAAGUUAAACAGAAUAUCGGAAGUAUAAAUAAUAGAUUUUAUUUUUUAUUUUUUAAAAAUCGAAUUAAUCAGAGCAAUACUAACAAAAUAAUAUUGUAAAGUUACUUAGGACAUCCCUUCCUCUUAUCUCUCCGUGUGGUCGCUUUCAUUGGCUUCAUAAUCAUACACAUAUUCAUGGCCCACUUACGAAGCCAUCUCACAACCACAAAAUAUAAUUUUCAAAAGAAAAAUGACCGUUCGGACAGCUUGUUAAGUUUUUCCACACUUCUUCCUCACUUUCCCACUCUCUAUAACGGCUACAAUAGAAGGCUCUGGAACAAUCUACCUGUUUUAAGACGGCGGGACACGUGUAACCAAUCACAUGGGCUGCUUUUGCUCGAAAAUGGAGAAGAAUAAGCUGUAGUGUUACUCUUAGAUGUGAAUUAUUUGCUUCAAAUGAUGCUUUAGUUGUUUCUAGUGAAAAUAGAGCAAUAGUAAUUUUUUUUUUUUACCAUUUAAUAUGAUGUACAAUGAAUUUUUUACACUAUGUACUAUUAUGCAGCAGUUACAACAUUUUAAAGUCCAUCAAAUAGUAUAAUCCAUUAGAAAAUCCAAUAAAUUUCUCAUUGCUCUUUUGAAUAAUAUUUACUAUAUUUGUGCAUAUUAAUUAUUAAAAAAAAUUUAUUUACACCCGGUGUUUGGAUCUAUUUAUACAUCAAAUCAAUCACAAAUAAUAUUUUGAUUUAAUCAAAUGUAUUUCUAAUCAUAUAUUAAAAAAAGAUAAAAUAAUAAUUUUUUUGAUUGGUUUACUGAAUGAGACUACCCAUAUACUAAGUGUUGAUAAAAAUUUCCUUAAUUAUUAUAGAAAAGUUAGAAAUAAUUCAAUCGCUUUUCCUUAACUUACUUUUUUGCACUUAAUGUAAUAAAAAAAACUUCAAAACUUUAAUAAUGUAAAAUGAUUCUUACUAAAUUGUAUAGUUAAGUCUAAUAGGAUUGUUGAGACUUUGGUUCUUAAUUUAUGAAAUUUCAAUUUUUAUCCUAAAAAAAAAAAAACAAAGUAACAGGAAAGCUCAUAUAAAUGAACAUGCAAGAGAAAAAAAAAUCAUUUUUUAACUAAAGUAAAUUAUUGCAUACUUCCCUCCUAGAUUACUCUGAAAAAUAAAAAAUAAAAUACACAAAAUUAAAAAUAUACGAGCUUUGUUAACAGAUACAUAUUACGUACAUUUACGAUUACAUUCUUAGCAUAAUAUCAAAAUUUUCAAAAACAUUACAGUUCUUUUAUUCUAUUUACAUUGUAAGUAUCUCUCUACACAGAUUAUGCCAAAAAUACUUUUUGAAUAUCAGUUAAUCAGAUUUAAAAUAGAAUCAGGUGCAGGUGAUAUUACUUAAAAAAAUAAUAUUUCACUGUGCCACGGCAUAUAAGAUAAAAGUGUAAUCGGCAUAUAAGAAGGCACAAAAUCAAGAGAGUUGACAUGAAUGGACUGCUGUUGGGAGUGUGAGUUGGACGGAUUUGAAAUAAAGAUAAGAGGAAAGGCAUAGGUGGGACCUGUUUACUGUGCCACAGCAUGAACCGUGAUGUUUUUUGCCAGCUGGUGGACACGUGAUUCUUGAUUAGUUCAAUUACUGCAUUUGAUCAAACAUGGCCCCACUCUUUGAAUAUUUAAUUUAAGAAAAAAACCCAACCAGAACACCUCAUAUUUCCUGACUGAAAUGCUUGCUUGCUGCGGGCUACUACAAUAUAUAAGAUAUAUCUAUACUGAAACCCUUUAUCUUUAAUUGGCAUUAUUAAAAGAUUUUGUAACCUUACACCGUGGAAAUACUGGAAAUGACAAUUUUAACUCAUUUAAAUGUAAAAGUUAAUUAACAAAUUUAUUUUGGAUAAUUUAUACAAAAUAUGAAUAAAUAUUGUAUUUCUAAAAUAUAAGUCGUUUAAAGUAUUGCAUGCGAUUAAUGAAUCAAUUAAUUUCGCUAAAAAUUAUAUCACUCCGUCUCAAAAUUUAAGUUGUCUAAGGUGAUAAUUUUAUCACAAAAUAUAAGUCAUUUUGAAUAUUUUAAGAAAUUACAAAUGAUUUUUUUUCUUUCAACUGUAUCCUUAUUUAUAUUAGAUAUAAUACAACGAUGUGAGAUAAAAGUAACAAUGAGAGAUAAAUGAUAAUUUGUUCAAAUUACUCUUGAUUUUGUUAGAAAUUUAGAAAAAUUAAUUGCAUUUUUAAUUCUCGUAUAAAAAUCUUAAACGACUUAUAUUUUGGACAAAUAGAGUAAUAAACUCAACAAUAAUUUGAUUUAUGAGAAUUAAUUUAAACGAUCAAAUUAUCCUUAAUCUCAAAAUCAAGUUAUUGUAUUAUGAAUAAAGUUAAAAUUGGAAAAAAGAUUAUUUGUUAAAUAUGUUUUGAAAUCAAAUAGUUUUAUGAGUUAAAAAGAUUAGAAAUAAUCAUUUUUUAAAUUCAUUUGGUGUUAAAUUGGGAUGAUAAAUUAUCAAAAAAAAAAAAAAAAUAUAUAUAUAUAUAUAUAUUUGACAAACAGAUUGAAAGCUAGUUCUUUUGAAAGUUUACUGAGAACACAAAUUACAAGCUCAUAGUAGUUAGUAGCUUGAUUAAGGAAACCCAUGAAGGACAAAAUGACAGUGGCAAAUGCCUUUGAGACCAAAAGGCUUCAGCUUCAAUUUUUUAUAACGUAACAUUUAAUAUCUUUCUCUUUAUGAUUUUUAAAUUAUUGUAAUUGCUAUCAACAGUAUAAAGUAUAGAAAAUUCAUUAUAUAUAAUAUUGAAUAAAAAAAAAAAAAGGGUGAGAAAUGUCAUUAUUUAUAGAAUUAAUUCACACAAACAUAAAUGCGAAGCUUCAUUCUACCUUUUAGGUGCUACCAUUCACUGAAGGGGAACGCACGCAUCAUUGAAGCUCAACGCCUGUCUUUUGCACUUUUCAAACUGAAUCAUUUCAUUCGUGAAAUAAAUUGAUGGAUAAAGGGCAAUUGCCAAACAAUAUUAACGGCAAAAACAAACGAGUCUUUUUUUUUUUUCUUUUUCUUUUCUUUUCAUUAGAAUAUUUAAAGUAUUGGUUAGAGGUAUAAUUAUAAAAUAUAAUUGAUCUCAUAAUUAAUCUUUUCCUUUUCUUAAUAAUAAUCAUUAUAGUCUUGCUUUUGGUGUUAUAGUUGUUUUUUUUUUUUAAUAAUAAAAAAAUAAUGUAUUAUGUCAAUCGAAUGUGAUCUGAUUGGUAUUUCCAUUCACCUUGAGAAGUUUCAAAUUUUAGAUAGUUAACUAUCAGAGUUAUCGUCAAUUUUGCUUAUAAAACAACAAGAGAGCUACCUAUAUUAUGCAGCCCACAAAAAUUCUUUAUAAUAAAUUAAAAAAAUAUUAUUUUAUUAAAAUUGAUAUAUUAUAUUUGUUAUUUAAUAGUUUGAACUAGAAAAAUAAGCUACUAAAAUUCACACAGAUUUUCUUAAAUAUAAAUUUUUACUAUGAAAAAUAGAAAUCAAAGUCAGAAAACAGAAAUGAUACAAAAUAGACACGUAAUCAUAUUUGAUGAGCAUUUCUCAUAAUACACGUUAGCUUGUUUAGCUUGUUUCGUGUAAAUUGAUGAUCCCAUUCUGUUUCGACAUAAAUGGUAUCAUUGGUUAUUAUAAACAAUUUCAAAAAUUUUUGAGCUACCACCAUAAAUACAACUUGUAUGAUUUCAAUUUUCAAAUUUAAAAGUUAUCUAAUAUCUACUUUAUCAAUGGACCUACACCUUUCCAAAUUUCUUGUUAAUCUUAUGCAUUAGAAAAUUUAGCCAAAUAAAAUUGAUAUUAUAUAUCAAUUUUAUUUAUUUUUCAAUUUAAAAUCACAAGUUUAAUUAUCGGAAAAUGCAUAUACUAUGAAGAAAAAAUUUUUAUAAUCAACUAUCCAAAAGAGAUUAGUUUACACCAAUAUAGUAGAAGAAAAAUAGUGGAAGAACACGUGACGAUUCUAAUAUGAUAUACAUAAACUAAAAAUAUUUUAAAGGAGUCUUCACUUAUAAUUUUGUUUUCAAAAUUUAAUACUUGUAAUUUGUUUUAACCAACUAUUUACUAUUUUUAAUUGAUUUUGUAAACUCAAAACUCCAUUUAUUUUUCAAAAAAUAAUUUAUUUUUAAAAAAUAUUUUUAAAAGCAAAACAUACUUGAAAAUUUGAAAUAACACAUUUUCUAUUGUUUGGUUACAAUAUUGAAAAAUUGUUAAAAAAUAUUAAAGCUUUUAUAAGAUCGAAAAAAUUUAUAAUUAUAAAAAGUUUCACAUUUUAAAAUUUUAUUAUUUAAUACAACAUAAAUAUUUAUUACGUGCUUGAUUGUAAUUUGUAUCUAAGACUUAAUCAUAUUUUAUGGACCAAAGAUAUAUUUUGUAUAGAAUCCAGAUAGAAAUAAGAGAUUAUAUUCCUAAAUCCUUCGCUAACUCUCAAUGAACUAGCAAUCACUCCAAAAUACUUAUUGAAUUGGUAUUUCAAAUAUUUAUCUAAUAAAGAUUCCACCUACAACUCUAAUGAAAAUUCUUUACCUCUGUAUAAAAGAGGGAUCAAACUCCCUACUCACACUAUUUAGGCAAUGUAAUACCAAUAUAUUUCAUUCAAUUAUAAGUAUUUAUUAUUUAUUUACUGACUUAAACAUAAAAGUGAUUGCAGGCCUAGAUGAGACCUUUAUUAUUCGUUUAUGUCUUGCAGAUUUCUACGGACCUCUCUUUAUUUUUCCUUGUUCAUUUAUGUCUUACAGAUUUUUACAUAGGCGCUAUGGAUAGAUUUUUCUAAGUCUAUCAUUAUUAAAUAUGAGAAACAAUAUUAUAAAAAAAGAUAAAUUACGAUAUCUAUCGAUGACCGUGGUCGUGAAAAUAAUGAUUAAUUAAUAAUAAAUAUGUAUUUAUAAGUUUAUAAUAAAUUUAUCAGUAUCUGAAAAAUAUUUUUCUCUUUUAGAAAAAGAAAGUUAUAAAAAUGAUUUAGUUCUCUCUUUCUUAAGGAAAAUAUCAUCUGUUGCUAAUUUUCUUGAACACUUCAAACAUUAAAAAAAAAUCUAAAAAAUAUUAUUCAGACAAGUUAUUUCUCGAAAUUAAUGGAAUCUCAAUAUUAAUUUAUUAUUAUUUUUUCCAUUGAGAAAAAAAUAUAUUAGAUUUAUUCCACUAUUGAGAAUAAAGGAAAUCAUUUAAAAUAAGAAAGCUCAAAAAGUUAUAGCCGUAAUACUAAUAGCAUUAUUUCAAAUUUGUUUGACAUGAUGUAAUCAACCGAAAUGAUAAUUACAUUAUAUGAGUAAUUACAUUAUUUGAUUAGACUUUUUUUAAUAGCGUAGUAUAAUUGAGACUACGUGUAUAAUCUUCAUCACUUAAAUUGAUGUAAUACUCAUUACAUGAAAAAACACACAUAUUGUCUAUUACAUCAAGUAAAUGGAAUACCGAUUAUAUUAAGUCAUCCCAAUCAAAACUCUACCAUUCUAGAUUAUUUAGGCUGUGUUGGGUAAUAAAGUUUUGAGUGGCUUUUAAAGUUUUGACUGGUCAAAACGUUACUUAAAAAGUUGUUUGGUAACAUAGCGUUUGGACUAGCUUUUAGAGAUUAGAAUAACGUUUUGUGAAAAGUUAACUCACGUAACGUUUAGCUUUUAGCGUUUCAUGAAAAACUACUCAAACAGCUAACAACUAAACACUAUUAAAAUAGCAAAUAGCUACCAAAAUAGCUAAUUUUGCCGAACAUAUCCUUAAUACUACCACUUCACCACCACAACCACUAUCACCGCUUCACCACCACAGCACCACCUUAACACCCACCACAACCACUGCCACAAUUACUACUCCACCACCACCACCACCACUACUGUUCCAUCACUACUUCAACCACCAUUACCGCUCUGCAACGACAACCAUCACCAUUGUUCUACCAUCACCACUACUACCACCAUCACUGCUCCAUCACUAUCACCUCAACUACCACCACCGCUGCUGCUGCCUCAACUCCUACCAUCAUCGCUCCACCACCACUAUCACCACCAUCGCUUUACCACCACCACCAUGUGGUGGUGAUAUGAUUAGUGGUGAUGGUGUGCUAAUUAUAUUACAUAUUUACAAAAAAAAAAAAAAAGAACGAUGAUUAUAUUCCUAAAUUUUCUUGAUAAUAUUAUCAAACAUAGUAAUGAAAUCUUAAUUAAAUUACGUUUUUCAUCACAUUACUUCUUUAAUUACAUUAUAUUGCCUUACAUCAAACCAGACAUAGCGUUAGCAUGUAUAUCCUCAUACACAUCAAAACUUGACUCUAAUAUCUAUGAGAAAAAUGCACAGUUAAGCCCUUAAAUUUAAUCAGUUUUUCCAUUAAACUUUUAUUUAUGAAUAUUAAGUUUUUAAACUUUUAUUUUUUUUAAAAAAAUUAAACUCUAUUUAACCGAGAUUUAAACUUUUAUUUUUUUAAAUUAAACUCUUAUUUAAUUAUGAGUUAAACAAUUAUAAUCCCAUAUGUUAUACGCGGUUGAUGGGAAAACUUAAUCGAAUUGUUAAAUCUCUUAAACUUUUAUUUUUUGAAAAUUAAGUUUUUAAAUUUGUACUUUUGUUAAAGUGAGUAUUUAAAUUAUUUCCAUUAUCAGUGAUUUGAAUUUAUUAUUUACUCACUAUCGAUUUAGAACUUAAUUUUAACUUAAAUAAAAAUUGAAGGAUUCAAUAUUGAUAAAUGAAAUUGCAGGAGCUUAGUAGACAAAACUUGAAAAAUAAGAGGCUUAAGUACAUCUUUUACCAAAUAUAAUCAAGAGUUAAUUUACACUCACACAUAGGUGAGGAUAGGAUUAGGAUAGAAGUGUGGUAAGUGCCCGCGAACUUUGAGUUAUCCAUAUCUAUAUCUGUUUAGAGCUUUAAAAUCAAUUGUAUCUAUGUUAAAUCCGUUUAAAUACCUAUAUCAAAAUCUGUUUAAAAUUUUACUGUCCGAUCCAUUCAAAAUCUAUUUUAAAUACUUGUAUUUGAUGUUCAUAAAAUUUAAACCAUUUAAACACGAACUUAUUUAAAAAAGUAUCUUCCAUUGAUAAUGGAUAAAGUAUCAAGGAUACUCACAGUAAAACUCAUUUAAUAUAAUGGAUAACAAGUAACGAAUAUUCAAACUCAUUUAGUAAAACUCCUGAAUUCAAACGACAGGAUUUGCAAGUGAAGAGAGAUGGAACCUAAAACGGUUGGCUAUGUACUCAAUGUAGAUUCACUAACAAAGUACAACAAAUGCAAAUACCAAGUAAAAAGGAACAAAUGGUUAAGAAUUCAGACAAAGUCCUAACUUCAAAGUUCAAAGUUCAAACCAUAAAAUCAUUUCAGUAAGGAGAAAUCAAACUAAAACUUUUGAAUGUUAAAAUUUCAACUUUAACCACAGAACCAAAACCCUGUUAGCUAUGUACUAACACAAAGUGCAAGAAACACCGAGUACGAACUCAAGCACAGUAAGAUUGAGCUGGAUUGCCCAUAACCCAAAAACACUAGAAUGUGUCUGGUGUGGAGGGGUCCAGAAGCCAACUUAAAUAGAAGCAGAGGGACAACACUGGAAAUUAUGAUUUAAAAAAAAAAAAAAAAAAAAAACUAAAAAGCAAAGAGAGAAACAGACAAGAAAUAACCGUUGUAGGGGUGGCUUUUUGGGUUGGAUGCCAGGCUGACGCUUGAGCCCCCCUCAGAUGAUUCAGCUCACAUGGUCUAUCUGUACACUCUGGGUCCCACCCUCCACUUUCUCUCUCUACUACCCUCUUUGGAUUAGUUGUCAAAUGAUCCUUUUAUGUUAUCAUAUUACACACUUUCAUCCUAUCUAUUUCAAAGUUACUAACUUUAGUUAAUGAGAUUUAAUCUGCCAAAUGCAUAAAUUAAUAUCUAAAUUUUAUAAGAAGAGUCUAGUAGCACCUUUAAACGUUGAAAACUUCUUUUCGUAAAAUUAUAGCUAGUAAAUGCCUUAAUUUAAAAAACCGUAUUUAUUAAAUACUUAAACGUAUAUAAUUAUGUUUAUUAAAUAUUUAUCGGAUGAUUUAAAAUAUAAAAAUUUUAUUAUUUAAUAAAUUAUAUUAAAAGUUAUAUAAAAUGUUACACUUAUUGAAUAUAUUAUUUAGUAAUUGUUGUAAAAUUAAAAACCCUGUUUUUUUUUUUUUCAAAUUAAGUUGAUACUUAGUCUCAACUGUGCUUUUAUCCAUAAUUUUAAAUAAUUUAUUUGUAGAAACCCUAAAAACCAUAUAUUUUUCGUUGACAUAUCAUAAAAAUUAAAAUUAUUAAUUUCAAACUGUUUAAAUACUGGUAAAAUGUAAAAUAAUGCAAAUGGUGACAGUUUUUGCAACCAACUUUUUUUCUUGGAAAUUCUCUGUAUUACAAUCGUCUUUUAUAAUAUUUUUAUUAAUAUUAUUUUGUUCCAAACAUGCCCUUGUCUUAUCCAAAUAAUGCCCCGUACUCUCCUGCCCUUCUCUCUAUUCUUAUAAGGGCAGUGGCCUGUGGAUCAAAGACCACAGUCCCAAGAGAGAAGAGAAAGACAAAGCAAUUAAGCUCACAAGAGAGAAGCUCUUCUAUUUUCUAGAGUAAGAAAGAAGAAAGAAGACGAUGGCCAAGGAAGUAAGUGAAGAAACGCAAACUACCCAUGCAAAGGAUUAUGUUGAUCCACCACCUGCGCCACUGAUCGACAUGGCUGAAAUCAAGCUCUGGUCUUUCUACAGAGCUUUAAUAGCUGAGUUCAUAGCCACUCUCCUUUUCCUUUACAUAACUGUAGCCACUGUAAUUGGCUACAAGAAACAAACUGAUCCAUGUGGUGGAGUUGGUCUUUUGGGCAUUGCAUGGGCCUUUGGUGGCAUGAUCUUUAUCCUUGUUUACUGCACUGCCGGUAUAUCUGGUAAGUAAAAAAAAAAGGAACUAUUUCUCUAAGUUACUAGUACCCAAAUGGGUAUUUAUUAAGUUUUAGGUUUCUGUGAAGUUUCUUUGUGGAUUUGGUCAUUCAACUUGAAAAAUAACAAAACCCAUUUGUUUUCAAGACCUGUUUAAUAAUGGGUUUUCCUUAUUUUGGUUACAGGUGGUCAUAUUAACCCAGCAGUGACCUUUGGGCUGUUUUUAGCAAGAAAGGUGUCACUAAUUCGAGCCUUGGCUUACAUGGUGGCUCAGUGUUUAGGUGCCAUCUGUGGUGUAGGGUUGGUCAAAGCUUUUAUGAAGAAUCCAUAUAAUCAUCUUGGUGGUGGUGCUAACUCUGUAAAUACCGGCUAUAGCAAAGGAACUGCUUUGGGUGCUGAGAUCAUCGGCACUUUUGUUCUAGUCUACACUGUUUUCUCUGCAACUGACCCCAAGAGAAGUGCACGUGACUCACACGUUCCUGUAUGUUAUCAACCAUAGCCUAGUAUAGCUCUCCUCUUUCAUGUCAAAGAGUUCAAAUCUAAACUUUGUUUUGGUUAUGUUUGGUUGCAGAUUUUGGCUCCACUUCCAAUUGGGUUUGCAGUUUUUAUGGUUCACUUGGCUACCAUACCCAUUACUGGUACUGGUAUUAACCCAGCGAGGAGCUUCGGUGCUGCUGUUAUUUACAACAAUGAUAAAGUCUGGGAUGAUCAUGUAAGCCUCUUGAUAGUCAACCAGAAACUUAUUUUUCUUGAUUUUAUGGUUGUUUUGAAGUUGGUGCUUUUUAACAUAAAACAUCAGAAGUAGGUUAAUUUUCAAGAAUAUGUUUAUCUUCUUGAUAAAAUAAUUUAAUUUCCUUUUUAAUUAUUUUUUGGAUGGGCAGUGGAUUUUCUGGGUUGGACCGUUUGUUGGAGCAAUUGCAGCAGCUGCAUACCAUCAAUACAUACUGAGAGCAGCAGCUAUCAAAGCUUUGGGAUCUUUCCGCAGCAACCCCACCAACUAAAAUGAAAGAAAGAACGAAAGAAAGAAAAACAAGAAAAAAAAAAAAAACCAAAGGCUUUGUGUAGCUAUCUUUAGUCUCUAGUCUUUCUUUUUCUCUAUUUGUUUGUUUGUUGUGUGUAAUGAGAGGAUUAUGAUGAUGACCCUUCUUUCUUCUUUCUUUUUUUACUUCAUUUUUUCUUUUCUUAUUGUUCUUUUGUAUCAUUGUUAAUGAGUAGUGCUGUUCUUUUUUCUUUCUUUUGAUCAUAUUUAAUUGCUUUGUGCAGUGUAGAACGUUCUCUCUCAACACUCUUUUAAUAAUUAGCCACUAAAUAAACUACCAGCUAACUAAAUUUUUAUCCUCUCGACCUUCAUUACAGCGGUGCUAGUGAAUUUGUGAGUAGCGGUUAGGCCAUCUUCGGGAACAGUUUUUUCAUAUGGC